rnacentral:lncRNA from 1 species
UGGGUUUGUUUUGGUUCAUGAUAUAUUGCAUGGUAUGUGUAUGAUUAUUUGGUUCAUAGCAUAUUGCAUAAUCAUGUUCAUGGGGAUGUUUAGUUCAUACCACCUUCAUGGGAUGUUGUAUGGCAUGUGCAUGACUUUAUUUUGGAAUACUUGAAAGACUAAUUGGACUCUUUUGAUUUUUGGUAGGACUCUUGUGUGAAACCAAGGUUUGGUUAAUAUUGAUUUUGAUGAUAACAAAACAAGGUUUAGAACUAAUGAUCAUAUUUCAAGUGUAAUUAGGCAAGAUGAUUUCCAAAGUGGCAAUCACAAAGACAAAUCAAGUCAAGGAGAAAUCAUGAAGAAGAAGACCACCUCAAAGAGAAGUGUAUUCAAGAUCCAAGCUUCAUAAGAUCUCUUUGUAAGGUUGUUGGUGCACUAGGAUUUUCAUGCAUUACAUUAUUUACUUAUGCACCAAAAUCAUCCAAUAGUUAUUUUGUUUUAAAUAUCUUAAGAAUUGGAUGAUUUCAUGUUUUCAACUAAAAUCUUGUGUUAAAUGUUUUUCAAAUUUGUUUUAAAAGGUUUUAAAGUUGAAAAAGUUGGGUAUUGAGCCAAAAAAUGGCUCAACUGGUUCAACCGGUUGAGGAACAGGUCGACUGGUUGUGAUCGUCCGGUCGAGUAUCGGUCGAGGAAGACCAAAAAGUUUCUCUCUCUCCCAGUGGCCUUCUCUUCCCAAUCGAUGACCGAUUGAGGCCCAACAGUUACCUGCCAAGCAUUUAAUGCUAACGGCUAGUCAACCAGUCGACCCUUAGCUCGACCGGGCUGAACCCCCAAAUGGCUAGUUUGGUUUUUCUCUUCUAUAAAAAGGUUCCAAUCUUCAUUGUUUAAAGAGCUUAACCUUUCCAAAUCCUUCUUGAUUAUAUUUGAGCCUUGGAAGAGAAUUUUUGAGUGCACCAUUAUUUCAAAACUUGCAUAUCUUUAGUGCACCAUUCAAUCCUAGUUUUUCUUGUAUCAUUUGAGCUUAAAGUUCUUGUGCUAGGAUUUUUGUGAGAUCUUUUAUUUGUAAAUCCUUGAGAGGAAGUUGUUCAAGAGUGGGAUAUCUCUUGAGAAGUGUAAAGGGUGCUUGGAGCCAAAAGUCCAAGAUGGUGAAUUGGACCAUAAUCCAAUUGUAUUGCUUGAAGGCUUGGUUUGGAAGCCUUGGAUUAGUGGAACCUUAAGCUUGGGAUUGAAGUUAGAGGAGAGUGGAUGUAGGCCGGGUUGCGCCGAACCACUAUAAACUCUUGUGUUUGCAUUCUCUCUUCCCUACUCUUUAAUUUAUAUGCAAUUGUCUAUAUAUUGCUUAUUAUAUACUUGCAUAUAAUUGUCUCUUACAUUCACUUGUUUAAAUUUGCGAAAAUAGACCAUCCCCCUAUUCACCCCCCCUCUAGGGUGAUUACCUUAGGUUGGAUUAGCCCUAAUUUCCUAACAUCUAAGACCAUGUUUGAGAGUUUAAGGAAAUCUAAAUUCUAAGAGAUAUUCAUGAUAUUAGAGAUUGACACAGCUUGGAGAGAAUGAUGGUUCAUGGUUUGAGGAUUUUUAGAAAGAGAGGUAGUCGUGCAUGGAUAAGGAAGGGCUAUCAAAUCGAUUUUAAAGGGAAUCACAAGGCUACGUAUUGAAUAUAGAAGAUCAUGGGGUUGCAUAUUGGAUUUGGUUUACUGUGCCUUUAUAAUAAAAAUUUGAUUUGACUUACUUAGUAUGCUUCUAAAAUUUUUCUUGUGAUUGUAUGGUAUUGUACACCCCUCGAAUAUGUUUUUAGAAUUUUAUUUGAAUCAAAAAUCAAAUUUCAAAUAGGAUAUAUGAACUAAUAUUUUAGUAGGUUUAGUUUUCACCUAGUUCUGGACAUCUAAAUUGUUUCUAUAAAUUUAAAUUAUUUUUUGACCUUAUAAAAUUGUUUGUAUUUUUUUCUUUAUUUUAGACUUCUCAAAGUUAAUUUUAGUUUCUUGUUUCAUUAAAAACCAACUCCCUAAGAAACAUUUUUCCUUUUUCACACCUAUUACACUAAUUUGAUUUUGAACAAAGGGGAUAUUUGGUUGAAUUUAAAAAUGAUCCAUGUGUACAGUUGCCUUGCCAUUAUUUUUUUAUGUAAAUUAGACACUUUGAAAAUAUUGUAUGAUUUUUGGUAGGAUCUUAUCACACAUUUGGAUAAGAUAGGAUUUUAUCCCAUCUUGAACCAUUUGGAGAUUUUUGAAAACUCGGACUAAUUGGGGUCUUAAUAAAUUGUUUGGCCACUUGGGUGGUAAUCUAGACACAUAGGAAAGACUCCUCAAUUUUUAUUUUAUUUUUUAAUAGUAAAAUUCCCCUUCUAGAUAUUUUUUUAGGAUUUGUUUUGUGAGACCUUCUAUUCUAAUUGCAUGUUGGUAAUUGUCACACCCCUGAAGAUCACACUUAAUUUUUCACGAGUGCGCAGUGUUAAGAACCCUUCCUUAGCCAACCUUCCUUAGCCAACCUUCCUUCCCAGCUUUUAUAGAAACCGAGCAGAAGCAAAGUAAAAGCAUAGUAAGAACAAAGCAACAGGGACACACACGAGGUUACGGGAACCUUUACCCAACUUGUAUUAUUUCACUCUACAAGACAAAAUCGUUUUCCUGAACUAGAGUACAAUGCUCACACCCAAGCAUACGAGAAGAACCCUAUCCCCCAGAUUCUCUCUCUCUCUGUUUCAAGGCUGUAGGAGCCCUUUUAAAAGACUCAAGCUGCAGUUACAAAUUUGAAUUUCCAAAAUUCAAAUGUUAGAGCCAAUAUGGUGGUUAUGCAACUGGCCAGAACCGCCCACAACUGCCUUGCAUAACCACCCACCACCCAGAUAAUGGCCUCACAUGCCACCCACUUGCACCAGCCAUAAUCUCCUCAGCCAACUGUAGGUCAAAUGACGGCUUGACUUGGUCACUUGUUGCUUGAGCUAGCUGCCACUAAUUAGCUGCACUGCCAUCUCCUCAAGCCUUGCUCGCCAAGCUGUUGGAGAGUCCUCCUAACAAGCUGCUUUCUUCCCUGUAAGGUGCCUUUUGUGACCAAGUGCCCAUUAGCAUGUCUUUGAUCAAGGCCUUUUGAGCCAGGCAGCGUGCACCAACCAUUUGACCAAGCGUCUGGUGCAUCAGUGUGUCUUCCCCACACUGAUGUAUGAGCCCGUGCCAUGUCUAGGUGCCCAUGGCUUGGGCUUGUUGCUUGCUUCCCCUGUCCGGUCCAACUUCACAGCAACGAGGCAUGGCAUUGUGCCCAUGGCUGAUCCCUCUUGGUACACAGGGCAUUGCACCCCUGUGCAAUGCGUAGGCAUUGCACCCCUGUGCAAUGCGUAGGCAUUGCACCCCUGUGCAAUGCGUAGGCAUCAUGGUACAAGUCAACUUAUUGUUUGGUGCCAUCAGACCAUGACAUUGUGCCCAUGGUUUCAUCAGCUGGCUCACCGCACAAGGCUUAGGCGCUCUCAUGCCUGCGUGGGGAGAGGGUAGGCUGCACCAGGCCCCGUGCCGUUGCGGCCACGGGGUGCACACCACACAUGUCGUGGAGCCCAUGUGUGCUUGCUCGAGUCACAUCUAUGUGUCUUAGGCAUGCCCAAGGCCUUGCCAUGGUGCCCCCUUAGUGCGGUCAAGGCUUCCCUUGGUGUUCUCUCCUUUGAGUCACCUACCCCUUCCCUUAAAGAGCAAUACAUACCAUUUUCAUUGUUUCUGGAGGAGACAUCAAUAUGUCUGAGGAGACAUAAUGGAAUAAUAAAUAAUUAUAAAUUAACAUUCCAAAAGUCCCUCAGCUUUCAUCUGCACCACCUAAGUCAGGUGUGCGCGCGCGAUGCCCAUCUGGUGCGCACGCGGUGCAUGUCUAGUUCGCCCGCAAUGUGUGCGCGGUGCGCAUCUGGCCCGCCCGCGGUGCGCGUCUGGCUCGCCCGCGGUGUGCGUCUGGCCUGCUCGCGGUGCGUGUCUGGCUCGCCCAUGGCCUCCUCACUUAGCCCUUGGAGUUUGAACCACCAAACCUCCAGGCUUUCCUUGCUUUUAGCCUAGGCUCUCAUGGGUGCAAGGCCUACCCAUGAGGCCUAUUCCUCCAUGGUUAAGUUAAGAGGCUAAGGGGUUGACAAUAAUCCUGUAUAAUGUUUAAUUUUCCAUUUAAUCUGGUGUUAAUUGGUAUCUCAUCACAUGAUUUUGGCUUUUGUAUUGUAAUAUAGACAUAAUAAGGAUGUUACCUAAUUUUUAUCAUAAUGAAAUAAUACUUUUAGAUAUUUAUUUAGGAUUUUUCUAAUAAGUCUAAUUGUUCUGAUCAUUUACUAGGUGCUUUUACUAAGUCACUAAUUUGGCAUUUCUAGUUCCCAUGUAAAAUAAUUUAACAUUAAUGAUGAGUUGUAGAUGUGUCAUAUGUGCUAGUAAAUGCUUCUUUAUACUCCAAACUAUUUUUUUUAUAAAUUAAGAGGACUUGCUUUGUGAUUGCAUGCAUGCUAAAAAAUCUACAUCUUUUAGUUUAGAUAAUUUUUUAUCAUUCAAACUUGUUGAAUUCUUGCCACUUUAUUUAAGUUUUAUACGUGCCAUGUAUAUAUAGGAUUGGUUAACAUAGUUACUUGUUAUCAUAAUUGUUUUGCUCAUUAUCACUAGUAGUGAGCUAACCCUUUCAAUUCUUAUACAAGUGCAUUGUAAGCUAUGUAUGCUAUCAAGGUAUGCUCUUUACACAUUUUAUCUCUUUAAUUAUGUAAAUAUACAUACUUUGAGUGUGAACAUUAUCUGAUUAUGCGUAGUCAUUGCUUGAUUUUUUGAAUGGAAUGAAAUGCAUGUUGUAUGCCAUAUUAACUGAAUUAACCUCAAUGUCUUCAUGAAAGCACUUUAGGUUGCAGUUGAGGUAUGCUUUUCUUCUCUUUUUAUAUGUUUGAAUCCUUUGGUAUGCUUGUUUUAGAUUGAAUAGCAUCUUGUUAGGCUUUAGAUAUAAUCUUUUUUGUUAUCUUGUGAUAUCCCUAAUUUAUCAACUAACUGUCAUACUUACAUCCACUUAGUUAGUAGGAACCUGUUUUAGGGUUUAGAGGAGUACAACAUUUAUGGUACCUUUUCGAGGGGUAACUUGACCCUCAAAUUUAAACUUAGGUUUUUAAAGACAUGCUUUUGGAUUUUAUUUAUUAUUUUAUUCUCCCUUUAAAAAUAAAUAAAUAAACAUAAGUGGUAAUUUCAAUCUUUAUAAAAAUCAAAUUUUCAUUAAAAAGCAAAUCUCGCUAUCAAGUGAGGGUACACGUAAAAAAUACAAGUCUAUAAUCAUAUUUUUCAUACUUUAGUACUUAGGUCAUAUUUUUUGUACCUAAGUCACAUUAUUCGUAUCUUAGUACCUAAAUUACUUUUUUGGUACCUUAAUACCUAGGUUACAUUCUUAUUAUUUAGGUUAUAUUUUUCGUACCUAACUACCUCAAUAAGUCAUAUUCUUCGUACAUAGGUUACUUUUUCCAUAUCUUAGUACUUAAAUCACUUUUGUUGUACCUUAAUAACUAGGUUACAUUCUUCGUAUUUAAAUCACAUUAUUUGUACCUUAUAUUUAAGAUACUUCUUGUGCAUUGAGGUUACAUUCUUCAUAUUAAGGUCAAAUUAUUCAUAAUUAAUUACCUAUGUCACUUUAUUUGUACCUUAGUAAAUAGGCCAUAUUCUUUAUAUAUAGGUCACAUUUUUUCAUACUUUUAGUACUUAAGUCACUUUUUGCGUACUUUAAUAACUUAUUACAUUCUUAGUAUUUAAGUCACAUUCUUUGUACUUCAAUACUUAAGAUGUUUUUUUUAUCUUUAUUCUGAGAUUGCAUUCUUUAUAAAUCACAUUAUUCGUAUUUUAGUACCUAGGUUACCUUUUUGAUACCUUAGUAUUUAGGUUACUUUUCCAUACAUAACUACUUUAAGUCAUAUUCUUCGUGUCUAAAUUUUUUUUUUAAGCCUUAAAUACCCAAAUCACUUUUUUCAUACUAGGUCACAUUCUUUGCACUUUAUUUACAUUUUUUGUACUCACAUUAUAUUUUGUAAAGUAUACCUUAAUACUUUAAUCAUAUAUUUUGUACUUAAAAUAUUUGUAAGUUUGUAACUUGGCCAAAUUAUUCAUAUAUAAAUCACAAUUUUAUCUUAAUACCUAGUUCAUUUUUAUCUUACUGUAGACCCCCAUUUGGGGGCUCACUUUUUGGCAGCCUGUGUUUGCCAAGUGUCGCAAUCUCAUAAGGCCACAUGCCUUCUUAGGAUUGGUCACUGUAGAAUCACUAUAGUGGAAGUGAUGGGCCAAUUAGGGAAAGACAACUGGAAAGGGAAAGAAUUUUCUAGAAGGAGAAUCUGCUGGCCGUUAGAGGAGAGAGGCUGCCAGAUGCAGGUGGUGUCGUCUGGGCAGAGAGAGUGGAGGCUGGCAGAGGAGUGGGGGAGGUUUUUGCUUUUGGGGAGACGGUUAGAGAUAUUUUUUGAGGGGAUCCUUUGCUUGGGUCAGGCGGGUUACUCAGGGGGAGGAGAGAAAAAAACACUAAAAAAAAGAGAUUCCAGGAGCUUGGGGGACGGCUUUUGGGUAGAGGGGUUUAGGAGUUUGGGGAAGAUACCUGAGAGAGGCUAAGGAGUCCAGAGAGGGUGACUGGGAGAGGGAUAGAGAGAGCUUGAAGGGCAAGUUUUUCUGGCUAAGUGAAGACACCAAACAGGAGUAACGAGGGCAGACUGCUUUUGGUAGAGAGAGAUACUUGAGAGAGGAGGUGCUUUUUGAGGCUCGGCUGGAGGUAUUUUAGAGGCAGAGAGAAGUUUGAGGAGAGAUUUUUCUAGAGAUUGGUUGCUGAAGAUAAGCAUUUUCAGGUACUUUCAUUGUGUUUUCCCAUUAGCUUCUACUGGUAUACUUUUCUGUUCAGUUUCUGCUGAUUUUUGGAUGAUAUUUGUUGCUUGAGGUGAGUAUAUUCAUAUUUUGCUAAUGGGUUUUUGUUGAAGUUUAGUUUGCUUUGUUAUGAUUUCCUCAUGAGACAUCUUGUACCUCUGUUUUACCUCUUAUUUGAUGCUCAUUUGAUCUCAUCCACCCAACAUCUGAGUUCAUGGACCGAUAGAUGAAAUGAGGCUUAUAUUGGGCUCAUUUGACUUUCAUUAUUUUGAUGCUCUGUUUUUGUUAUGCUUGCACCCUUGCUAUCUACUCUCUGUUCCCGGUGACUAUUUGUGCUCCGGAGGGGAAGUACUUUGCUGUUACGAUCAUGAGAGACAUUAAGGAGAGUGAGAUUCAUAUGUGAGCAUUUGGUGAGGCUCCGUAGGCCAAAGCAGAGGAUGAAUGAAUGAAGAUUCUGGAUGAUGUGGGAAACAGUUGAAAGCGUUCUCCGAUUGGUUUUUCCAAACCAAGGUGGCUAGUAAUUUAGAAGCCAUUUUCCAGCUGCUACAUACGAAUAUGCACUUUUGGAAAGAGGAGGUUGUUUUCAUUCAGAGAUGCUGGUUCGAGGAGAUAUUUGGAAGAGAAAGAUUGGUUUAAAGAGCCAGCUGCCCCAAGGGAAAAUCACAGAUGGUAUGCGGGCUCUCAAGCUCUUGUGCAUCACUGGGCUCAUAUGGAGGUUCUACCUUGGCGAGGAAAACUGUUGUUUGGGAACUCUAGGUUGUUUCAUUCUAAACCAUUUUCAAGCUUAUCAUGUCUGCAUGUAUUAUUACAUCUUGGGACUGUAAGGUUUGUGGCAAAGUAAAAGCAAGCAAAGCUGUCUUCGAAGCCGCCGGCGGCGAAGCGCCUCCGCCAUCACCGGAACGCCAAGUAACCAUUGAAGCCCCUUUUGAAGAUACUUUUACCUGUUUUCUUUCAUGCUAUGCCUCCAUGGUUUCUUCUCUGUUGUGGUUACAUUCUCGUUUUUGGAUCUUGUGCUAUGCUUGAACCAGAUCCGAAAACUGGCUGACAAUUGUACUGAUCUCCAAGGUUUCCUUGUUUUCAAUGCUUUUAGUGGCGGUACUGGCUCUGGGCUUAGUUCACUGCUUUUGGAGCGUCUUUUUGUUGAUUUAUGGCAAGAAAUCAGUAACUUGGGUUCGUAGAGCUUCUAAAGUUGGAGAAACUCUACCAGAGUAAGGGGAAGUAUGGACCAGCUUUUAUGAACUUAUGGAAGUCAUUGUUGAGCAGCCACCGCCUGGUGCAUCUGGCAUCUGUUGAUCAAUUUUCUGCAGAAUUCUGUUCCUUUAUCUCUGUAUGCAUACAGAGAGGUCCAGAUGACAGAAAGAUCUCCACAAUGGGCUUGCCCGCAGGUGCACCGUGUAGGUCUCAUAUGCUAUUGGUGUGCCCGAGCCUUUAUCCGUAUUUGUUGACACGCAUGCCACUGGAAAGAUGCCAGACAAGGAGAUUCUCAAGAUUGUGAAAGAGAGCUUUGACUUCAGGCUUGGAAUGAUUGCCAUUAACCCGGAUCUCAAGAGGGGUGGCAAUGGCAGGUUCUUGAAGACGGCUGCAUACGGGCACUUUCAAAGAGAUGACCCGACUUCACAUGGGAAGUUAUGAAGCCUCUCAAGGCAAAGGAUGACGAGCACCGCGAGGGAGAGUGAGGCUUCAGAGGUCGAGCUUCUUGAACGCAGAUGAGUGCAGUUUCUUAGGCGACUCCACGGUUGCUUGCACCCAGGAGACCUUUGAAGAUGGACCUCCCAAAAGUUUUCUCAGUGGACAAACUCAUCACUAUGACAUCAUCAGAAGGAAAUGUCUGCAUGAAAGAUCCCUAGGCAGUCCAUGGCCUGAGCUUAGUUCAAUGGAUGAACACGCAGCAAAAUCCUCCUUUGGGUAUCUCUCCUAUCACAUCGGUCAAAGCUUCGAGAAGAUCAACCAAAACACGGAUCGUGAUUUCUUCAUAAGCACAAAAGAAGCCAAGGAGUACAGAUUUACAGAUGGCGUCAUCUUGAAUCCUCUAAAGGCCUUCCCAUCUCUGGCGGCUAUUGCAGAUCGAAUAAAAGGCUUCCUUUAGAGAAGGAGAUUAAUCCUAAAGUCACCUGCGAUCUUGAGAUGAUGCUGAUAGAAACAAAGCAGGAGAUGCCACAUUAGGUGUUUUGAAUGAAGAGUUAGAAAAGUCAACCCAAGGAUGAAAGAUCUGAAGUCCAUAUCCAAUACCCAACUAUGGCAACCUGGACCCACCCUUAUCUAUGACUUGCAUGGCCACCUUUGGCAUGCAACCCUUGACCAUGUGGUUUUCUACAUUUCAUUAUUAUUAUUAUUAUUAUUAUUAUUAUUAUUGCUAUUUUAAAGAUAAUUUCCUAACCCCAUUUUCAAAUAUUUUUUCCAAAUUCCAAAUUCUCAAACUAUCCCAACUUCCCCAUUUUUCAUCCUUAAAAUGUUUAGAUCCCAAAAAUCCUCCCAUUUUUAAUAAAAUCUGGCUUCCAUCUUUCUUUAUGGCAAGCAAUUUUCACACCUCCUCUAUUUUUUUAAAAUGUUUUGAAAUAAGCAAAAAUCAAAUUCCGUAAUUCCAAAUGAUGGAAUUUAUGGAAUUAAUUCAUGCAAAAAUAAAUGGGCUUUGGUGGGGGCCCUACAUAUGGGACUUCAUGAUUGAUUGACUGAUUGAUUGAUUCAUUAGCUAUAUGUGAUUGAUUUACCCUGAUCCUUGAUAUGCACAUAAUUAUAUUUGUUCAUUGUUCACUAACCAUGUUUCAUGAUAGCGCGUUCGUGAUUGCCGUCCAAGUACGCAUCUAUUCAUAUUUCGCUCAUUCCUUAUACAUGUUUUGCUUCUCAUAUUGUGCAUGAUUGAUUUGACUAUUCAUCGAUUUUCUUGUUGACUGCCACACUAGCUUCAUUUUAUUAGUAGAGACCCGACAUUAGGGACUUAGAGGGGUGCUACGGUCCGUACCGUACCUUCCCGAUAAGUAACCUGACCCUCGAACCCGAUCCGGUUUUUCACAGACCGCCUUUUCCAAAAUAAGGAGUCACACUUAGGGUUUUUCUUUCUUAUUUUGUUUACCCUUUAAAAAUAAAACAAAAAUAAGUGGCGACUCCAAGUCAUUUUCAAAUAAUCAAUAAAAAUCAAUUUUUCAAAUAAAAAUUCGAGUUUCGCCAUCGAGUGGGAAACGCAUCGAGCAAUCGAAAAUGCGGGGUUCACACUUACCUAGAUCCAUGGUUUGAAAAAUCUGAUUUUUUCGCCAAAAGAUCAACAAAAAACGAAAUUGGCCACUAACAAUCAGUUAAUUGGUAGGGCAAAUAAAUCGCUAGAGUGUCGAGUGAAAUUUAAAAAUCGGGUAUGGGAGGGACGCGCGUGGCAUAGAGCGGUUUGAAAAAAUCGGCGAUAAAUCUGCGAUUUUUCGAAAAACAACGAUAAAUUGGCGAUUUUUUCGAAAUAAUCAGCAAUUUUUUGAAAGUUUUUAAUAUAUAUAUAUAUAUAUAUAUAAUAUUUUUUAAUUAUUCAUUUUUAAUUUAUCAUUUAUUUUAAAUUUAUAUUAUUAUUUUAUUUUUAACUAUUUUUCAUAUUUAUCUCAUUAAUUAUAUUUUAAAAAAUUACUAUCACUUCACUCUUAAUUUUUUUUUAUUUAUCCUUUUAAUUUUAAAUAUUUUUAUUUUAAAAUAUUAAAAAUAUCAUUUUACUCAAAAAUUGCUACAAUAUAAAAAAUAUUAAUGAAGCCCUAAUAUUUUAUAAAUUAAAAUUAAUUUGACACGAUAAAUUAUUAAUAAUUUUAAUUAUUUAAAUAAAUUAAUGCUAAUAGAAAAAGUUGUCACCAUAAUAAAAUUUUAGAAAUAAAAUAUUUUAUAUAAAUCAAUUUAAUUUUUUAUUUAAAAUGUAAUAAAAAAAUGUUUUAAUAAAAAUAUUUUUUAAUUUUUAAAACAAAUGAAUAUAAAUUUAUUAAGGAAUUUAAUCUAAUUUUUUAUAAAAAAAAAUGAUAAAUACUAUCUUUAAUUAUACUUAUGUUAAUUAUACUUAUAAAAAAAAUAACUUUAAUAUAUGUAUUCUUAUUUAUUUUAUCAUUUUUUUUUUAAGUUUUUUUUAAGCAUUUUCAUGAAUUUUAAACUGUUUUAUUCAAUUGAUAUUUUCGAUAUAUUCGUAAAAUUCAAAUACCGAUAUAUCCGUAUUUAUCGAUAUUUUAAACCUUACCUAAAUCAUAUUACUUUUACUUAGACGACAAUUGAUGCACUUCUGCACCUCAAUUAUACUCUUUGGAUACUUAUUACUUUUAACUCUUGUUACAUUUUUGUAACCAUGUCAUAAUGUUUAUAUCUUAAUACCUUAUUCACAUUUUUUUUUUUUUUUUGUUUCUAAUCUUUGUGAUGCUCUACUUUCUCAAAAGAUGAUCAAGACUUCUCUAAAAGGUAAAAAUCGAAAGGUUUUGUAAAUAGAAAUUUAGAAGGUGAGUCAAGAGCCAAAGAGUAGAGUAGAAGUGAGAAACACGCUAAAACUCUUCAAUCUUAAAUCUUUUUUCCUCAAUAAUAAGUCUUUUUCCCUAUAUUAUCACACCUUUAGUUAUAGAUAUACAUAAUGAAUUUUUUUUUUUAAGCAUUACUACAUUGAAAUAAAUUUUAAUACAAUAACUUUAAGGGAAAGGAAAUAUAAAAAUUACAAUGAAAGAAAAAUAAAAUAUAGCUUCAAUCCUUUACAACGUUAUUUAUAUUUUAAUGUAAAGAAUUAAGAAUUUCAAAAAAUAAAAAUUUGAAAUAAUUUUAUCAUAUAUAUAUUUUUUAUUAUUUUCAUUAAUUAAAAAAAAAAAAGAGUUAGAGUUUUUUAUUAUUUUAAUAGUUUUUGAGAUUGAAUCGAUAUAAGUUUUAAAAUUUAUAAAAAUGGUAAAAUAAGGAUACUAUAAUUAGUAUCUCAAAAUAACAAUUAUCAAUCCCUUAAAAUAAAAUAAAACUUAUUUAAAUAUUUUUGGGAUGAAAAAGAAAAAACCAUCAUAAUUUUUCAAAUAUUUUGAUUCUAUUAUAUUUGUAUUCCAUUUUUUUUUUUCUAAUUUUCCAUUUUUUAAAAUUUUUUGUUAAGAAAAAAAAAGAGACACAAAAUGACAAUGCUCGGAAGAAAAUAAUGAAGGAGAUGCACAAAAUCAAACGAAUAAUGAUAGGAAUCCAUUCUAAUCAAUAUUUCAACAAUUAAAUAUUAAAAAUAUUUCAUUCAUUUUAAUGUAGGAAAUAAUAUUUAUUUUCUUUAAUUAUAAGAUAUUUAUUAUUCUUUUCUUUGUAUAAUUUACCAAACAUUCUUAUACAAAUUUUUAAAAAGAAUUACCUAUCAUAGUAGAUAAUAUCAAAAGGUAAGAGAGGAUAUGCUCGAACUUAAGCCUUCUCCAAAAGAGGUCAAAUGCCAUAGUAGGGUUGACCUAUUCUCACCAACCAUGUCUUCCUCUUGGAAAAAAAGGUAAUAACAUUAAUAUCCAAGUCUUCCAUUAAUUUUCUAGGUUAAUUCAAUUAAGCUAAUUUUAUAUGAAGACAAAGUAUACCAAUUUGCUUAUGACUUUAUAGUUAAAUGUAUUUUUGUUUUCAUUUAUUAUGCUUACUGUGAUGGGGGAGCCAAACAGUACCCAAAAUUUUGAGAAAACUAACUUACUACCACUAGGUUAUAUAAGUAGUUUGCUGUAGUUUCGCAACCCUUAAAGUAAGUUUCAUAUGUUGCCCACCCUCGGGCCUACCAUAUUUUAGCCAAUUCGUUGGAGUUCAUUCUUCAAUGACAUUGACAAUCAAUCACUACCAAAAAAGAGGAGAGAACGUUUUUACAAAAGUUUUUAUUUGAAUAACAAAAUCAUGGUUGAAAUGGUUGACGAAGUCACGAAGGGAAGAGACUUCACCCUUCUUACGUGUUCCAAUUCUCAAUAAAUAAAUAAAUUGAUAUUUUUAUUAAGUCUUUGUCAAUGAUGUCUUCACCAUAUUUUGGGACAAGUUAGACUUUCAUAUUUAUUCUCACUCUAAGCAAAAAUAAAUAAAAGAUUACACAAAUGGUAGGAUCCAAAAUAAAAUAAUAAAACAGAUACAUAAAAUCAUGAAGAAGAUGUACAAAAUCAGUGCAUAAUGAUAAGGAUUAACUCUUAUCAAUAUUUUUAAAAUAAAGAAUAAUUAAAUAUUAAUAAUAUUUGAUUCUUUUAAUUUGAAAGAUAAUAUUUAUUUUUCUUAAUUCUCGUUAAUUUUAGAAUAUUUUUUAUUAAUUUUUAUGUAUAAUUUAUAAUAUAUUCUUGUAUAAAGUUUUUUUUUUAAAAAAAAUAUUUUUAUUUUCAAAUUAUCAUACCCUUUUUUUUUUUGUGAGAAAUUGUUGCUAUCCUGAAACUUUUUAUUAUUAUUUACAUAUAAUCUCUUAUCUAUAUUUUCAACCACCAAAUUCACCUCAAUCCUUUUUGUUUUUCUAGAAAAUUAAAAAAGAGAAAAUAGAACUUCAUUACCUGAAAAUACCAGCAUAUCACAUUCCCAAUCCCCCCUAAAGCAUCUUUAGAAAAUUGGCCAACUUUAACAAAGUAGGGAUUACCUUUUUCUUUUUCUUUUUUAUACGCCAUAAAAUGAGCUUGCUUUGUCGCUUUCAAUCCUUUUCCUUCCUCCACUUCCUCUCAUUUUCCUUUUUAAUGACUUUCAUAGCAGCCGCCCAUCCCAUUUUCUCAUCCGCGUGAAAGGAUGGACCAUCGGCAUUCACACAGCGACUUCGCUUGUCUAUAUCCUAUUGACUUUUAAGUCAACAAAAAGACGGGUAGAAGCUACUCUACUCAUUUUAUAAAAAUUCCAUUCCAGAAUAAUGGUUAAAAAUUCCCAUUUUCAACUUAUUUUUUAAAACUCCAAUUCCUAAAUUUAAUUCUCAAAUAUUUUUAAAAUUUUAAUUUCUUUCAAAUUUAAUUUUCAAAACUCCAAUUCUUAAAUUUAAUUUUCAAAAUUUCAACUCUCAAUUAUUUUUCAAAACUCUAAUUUCUUUCAAAUUUAAUUUCCAAAAUUCUAAUUCUCAAAUAAUCUUCAAAAUUCCAAUUUUUUUCAAAUUUAACUUCCAAAAUUCCAAAUCUUAAAUUUAAUUUUCAAAACUCCACUUUUCAAAUAAUUUUCGAGAUUCCAAUUUUCAAAUAUUUUUUUAUUUCAUUCUUUAAAUGUAAUUUUUAAAAGAUUUCAAUUUUCAAAGCUCCAAUUUUAUUUCAAAUAGUUUUAAUUUCGCGCCAUUUUUAAAAUAUUUUUUAAAUCAUAAAUUUUCUUUAAUUUUUAAAUAAUCUUUUGUUUUCCUUGAUUUUUAUUUUAAUAAGCAUGAUUGAAUUUUUCAUAAUUCCAAAAUAAUGGAAUUUGUGAGAUUAAUUCAUGCAAAAUCAAUUAGGCUUUGGUGAUGCCUCACAUAUGAAUUUUCUCUUAUGAUUGUCUAUUGUUAUGUUUAAUGAAUUUUGCUUGAUCUUUGUCCUACUCUUUGAUAUGCAUGUGAUGAUAUAACCCCGUUUCCAUGAUAGCGCACUAUUGCAAUCAAGGUACGCUCCCACUCCCACUUUGCUUACUCUUACGCGUGAUUUGUUUUAUUAUUUGAUCAUUUCAUUGGUAUCUAUUGAUUUCCUUAUCAAUUGUGUCAUGAUUGUCUCGCCUUAUUUAGUAGAGACACAUUUCUAAGAGUUUAGAGGGGUGCUACGGUUUUUACCGUACCUUCUCAAUAAGUAAUUUGACCUCUGAACUCAGACUUGAUUUUUCACGAGCCACAUUUUUUAAAUAAGAAGUCACACUUAAGAUUUUUUUUCUUAUUUUGUUUAUCCUUAAAAAAUAAAAUAAAAAUAAGUGGCGACUCCAAGUCAUUUUCUAAAAUAAGGAGUCACACUCAGAGUUUUCUUCUUUAUUUUGUUUACCCUUUAAAAAUAAAACAAAAAUAAGGGACGACUUUAAGUCAUUUUAUAAAAAAAUAAAUCUUUUUCAAAAUAAAAAGCUAGUUUUCCAAAUAGAGGGUCCACACCAUUAUAAUUUUUCAAAUAUUUUUAUCCUAUUAUAUUUUAUUCUACUUUUUUUUUUUUUUUCUAAUUUUCUAUUUUUAAAAUUUUUUAUUAAGGAAAAAAAAAAAAGACACAAAAUGACAAUGCUCAAAAGAGAAUAAUGAAUGAGAUGCACAAAAUCAAACGAAUAAUGAUAGGAAUCAAUUAUAGGAUAUUUAUUAUUCGUUUCUGUGUAUAAUUUACCAAACAUUCUUAUAUAAAUUUUUUAAAAAAGAAUUACCAUAAUCAAUUAUCAAACAUUUCCUACAUUUCAUAGUAUCAUAGGUAGAUAAUAUCAAAAGGUAGGAGAGGAUUGACAUACUCUCACCAACCAUGUCUUCCUCUUGAAAAAAAAGGUAAUAACAUUACUAUCCAAGUCUUCCAUUAAUGUUCUAGGUUGAUUCAAUUAAACUAAUUAUAAAUCAAGACAAAGUACACCAAUUUGCUUAUGACUUUAGUUAAAUGUAUUUUUUUUUUUUCAUUUAUUAUGCUUACUAUGAUGGGGGAGCCAAACAGUACCCAAAAUUUUGAGAAAACUAACUUACUACCACUAGGUUAUAUAAGUAGUUUGUUGUAGUUUUGCAACCCUUGAAGUAAGUUUCAUAUGUUGCCCACCCCCGGGCCUACCAUUUUUUAGCCAAUUCGUUGGAGUUCAUUCUUCAAUGACAUUGACAAUCAAUCACUACCAAAAAGGAGGAACACGCAAAAGUUUUUAUUUGAAUAACAAAAUCAUGGUUGAAAUGGUUGACGAAGGGAAGAGACUUCACCCUUCUUACGUGUUCCAAUUCUCAAUAAAUAAAUAAAUUGAUAUUUUUAUUAAGUCUCUGUCAAUGAUGUUUUCACCAUAUUUUGGGACAAGUUAGACAUUCAUAUUUAUUCUCACUCUAAGCAUGAAGUGGUAUAUUAAGCAAAAAAUAAAAAUAAAAGAUGACAAAAAUGGUAGGAUCCAAAAUGAAAUAAUAAAACAGAUACACAAAAUCAGUGCAUAAUGAUAAGAAUUAACUCCUAUCAAUAUUUUUAAAAUAAAGAAUAAUUAAAUAUUAAUAAUAUUUGAUUCUUUUAAUUUGAAAGAUAAUAUUUAAUUUUCGUUAAUUUUAGAAUAUUUUUUUUAUUAAUUUCUAUGUAUAAUUUAUAAUAUAUUCUUGUAUAAAGUUUUUCUUUUAAAAAAAAUAUUUUAAUUUUCAAAUUAUCAUACCCUUUUAAUUUUUUUUGUGAGAAAUUGUUGCUAUCCUGAAACUUUUUAUUAUUAUUUACAUAGACUCUCUUAUCUAUAUUUUCAACCACCAAAUUCACCUCAAUCCUUUUUGUUUUUCUAGAAAAUUAAAAAAGAGAAAAUAGAACUUCAUUACCUGAAAAUACCAGCAUAUCACAUUCCCAAUCCNNNNNNNNNNNNNNNNNNNNNNNNNNNNNNNNNNNNNNNNNNNNNNNNNNNNNNNNNNNNNNNNNNNNNNNNNNNNNNNNNNNNNNNNNNNNNNNNNNNNCUUUUCUUGACCUGGUCUUCUCUGCCGUGGGAUCCAUGAGCAUGACCUGACGAGGCUGAUCUCACCGUCCCUUUGGAUUAUUUAUAUCAGAGAACACCGAACCGUCGUGAUCAUUACUGGGGACGCUCUUUCCACUAGUGCUCACCCCAGAUGUGACGGUACUCCUUGACCUUGACACCGAGAACAGGUCAUCGUUAUCACUAGUGGUGGCUCCUCCACGUGUCACAGCGGAUGAGCUCGGUUGUGAUCCGUCCGGUUUGACUCCAACCCGACCCAUAUACACCUCAUCUCCACUGUUGAUUUGGGCGUUCCUCUCCGCAGUCUCCUGGAGCUGCAGUGCAAACUCAAGGGCCCACACCACAUCGCUCAUUGGUGGCCGUUCGAUUCCCUCGUUACGCACGCAGCUAUCAGCGAUCUCCCCAAACUUUUUCAAACACUCUGGCGCAACCUCGUCCCUCAGAUUUUGGUCCAUGAUCCGAUCAAGGGCUCCGUUCCGAUAAGAUCUCCGGCCCCACUCUGCUACACUCACCUGCUCUUUUGGAGCACCGGGGAUCACCGCCGGCCUUCCGCAUAACACUUCAAACAGCACCACUCCGAACGAGUACACGUCAGACUUCUCCGUCAAUUGCCGCAACCGGAAAUACUCUGGAUCCACGUACCCGAAACUGCCCUUCACUGCUGUGCUGACGUGGGUCUGGGUCAUACUCGUGGGGCCUACUCUAGACAACCCGAAAUCCGAAACCUUGGCCACCCAUUUCUCGUCUAACAGGAUAUUGGUGGAUUUGACGUCCCGGUGAAUGAUUGUAUGCUUCGCGCCUGUGUGAAGGUAGUGCAAUCCACGCGCCGCCCCAAUGCAGACUUGAAGGCGUUGCUUCCAUGGGAGUGGAGGGUUUUUUGUUUUAUAAAGAUGAUCACGGAGAGUGCCACGAGCCAUGUAAUCGUAGACAAGGAUCAUCUCUCCUUCUUCAUCACAGUAACCGAUCAGAGACACGAGAUGGAUGUGGCGGAGCUUGGACAGCAUUCUGAUCUCUGUUUCGAAUUCGCGGGCACCUUGUUUUGAUGAUGGAUUCAGCCGUUUAACCGCAACCGUGGUGGAGCCGCCUUUGAUGAAGCCUUUGUAAACGUUUCCGAAACCUCCCUCGCCGAUGAUGAAGUUCUUGUUGAAGUUGCAUGUGGCGUCUUUAAUCUGGGCAAGGGAGAAGUGGCGGCAGAUAUCGGCCGGUAGUGACGAGCCGUUGGUGGUUGUGGAUCUUGUCGUGUAGGAAAAUGGGACCCAAGAUGACUUUGCCCGACUGAUGCCACCAACGUGUUUCACUCUCAUCCGCGGUCGGAGAACCAAGAACCAGAGAAGAGAGAGUGCGACUACUCCGCCGACCGCAGCUACAAUGACUGUUAUCAGCACCAGUGGCGCCCUAUUGUUGGGCUUUCCGGGGAGUUNACCGCUGUAAUUAUUUAACUUGAACAUCUCUAAUCCAUUUAAUAUUACGUUAGCAUACUUGCUAUCCGCAUUAGGAUGUAAAUCGAGCCACAGCUCCUGCUUCCUUCGGCUGCCAUCGGAUAACAAAUAAACAACAUAAUCUUGAUAAAUUGGAUAUCCUGUGCCACCACUCCUAACGAUGACGUCCAUUUCUUCUUCAGCUGUCUGAUUGUUAAGAAAUAUAGAAAAAACUCGUUCACCUGGACGGGUUACCUCCAAUUGCAACUCGCAGAAAUGAAGCCUAACAAGAUAAUAAAACCCAGAAUCCACAUGGAAGAGCCACGUCAAGUUGGUUCUCUUAUUUAUCUCCUCUUGUUUAGUCAUGGUGCGUGAAGUGGUGUAGACUGUACGUGGUGCAAUGUAAGGCGGUGUCGUCUGAGUGUAUUGUAUGAGGCUAUCCAGGUUAGGUGUCAACCCCAAAUUUCCUCCGUAUAUGUAAGAGUCAUCCUGACUCCAUGACCGAAACAUGCCACUGUCUGCUUCCGCCGGGAUAUGAUUGCCACCAACAUUUAAACGAUAAACAGUUUCAAGGGCUGUGUAGUUAUCCAUUUCAAAUUGCUGAACCGCGGAAACCAAUUUAAGGUCAAUUUGUCCGUAGAGAUGAUUUGGCAUGGAAACGACUUCAAUACCAUUAACGAAGGCCCAGGAGUUUGGGGAUGGAGAGAAGGUUAUAUUGAGUAUUUGGUUGUCCCACACGUUGAUGGAAAAUUCUUUAACAAGGGAAGAUACUCCGGACCCCAUAGGAGCAACUGUAAGAGAAGCGCUGAAGUUGCUUAGGAGGGUGUACACCCCUGAUGUGACGGAGAAGAAGAACUCGGAUUCAUUAUGGCCAGAGUACGCAGUUGGGUAGAAGUAGAAGCGGACAAACUUGGGUCCGGAUGACACAGGGAAGCUGUAUGUGAACGAGGAGUUAAAGAUACGAGCGGUCAUGUAUGGAACUUGCUCGACCGAGGGGUCUUGCCGGAAAGCGUUGGAUGAUGAGGAUGAGUUUUGAACAUCAGAAGUUCCAGAGAAUUUUGACCCUUGAUCACCUUGCCAAGUCCUGCCAUCAGGAGACAUUUUGCUGAUGGAUGAGCCGCAGUCGAGGAGAAUAUUAUCAGUGGGCCUAUAAGGCGGAGACUCAUCCCCGGCCAUGGAGAUGAGGAAUUGAAGAAAGAAGGAAGAAAGAUAGACAGCUAAGGUGAGCAUGGGAUUGAUUUGAUCCAAACUCAUUAAUUUGAUGAAACCGAAAAUAAAGGGAUCAGCUGGGUCUCAGCCGGGUGUGAUGACAUAAGGAGUGCUGAUGUUUCAGACGGUGCGUAGGAUUGGUACUGGCAGUCUGGCAGUAAAGAUGGAAGUAGGAAGUCGAAGGUGGAAGGAUCAGAGCAACACAAGCGAACGCCGAGACCGUUCAGCUGGAUCCGUAGUUGAGGCUGUGGUGGAAGUGGAGGACAUAGCCAAUCUGCAACUGGUGACUGUGGCGACUGGAAUUCCUCUACUUUCUUGGAUUUAUCGGGCCUUUUAUAAGAAACCAGCAAAAGCGCGUAGAGGUACAUUGGAAGGAAGUCAUUUUAAUUUAGUAGACUUUGUUAAGGAAAAUUCUACAGUACCGAAUGCGGUACUGUACCGAAACUUUUUUUUAUCCGUUAGAAGUCCAAGAUUAGAUCUUGACCAUCCAUUUUAAAUUUGAAAAAAGAAAAAUGAAAAAAAAAAAAGAUAUGACCGGUUAAGGGAGUAACCGGUUGUUAUUAAAUGAUUUUCAUUAAAUUUAAAUUUUGUUUAAUUAAAAUAUGAUGUUUGAUUCAAAAAGGGUGGAUUUAAAUGGAUAAUACAUAAUUUAUAAUUAAAUUUAAUGGAUAAUAGUUAUUUGAGUUUAUAUAAAAUAAAUAGUAUAUGAAUAGGAAUGAUUAGUUUUAAAUGGAUAAUGGAUAGGCGUCAGCCCCUUAGCCACUUGAUUCAGACCCGGAGAAAUAGGCCUCAUGGGUAGGUCUUGUACCCAUGAGAGCCUAAGCAGAAAGCAAGGAAAACCUGGAGGCUUGAUGGUUCAAACCCCAGGCGCUAAGUGUGGGGAUCCGGAUAUGUCUACCCGGGGAAGUUGAAUCGUCCUCCUCUCCCAUCCGGAACGGUGGCCCCGGAUAGGCACCGGAUGUGAGACAUCCGGGUGGAUGGAAUGGCGGCCCCGGACAGGCGUCGGAUGUGGGACAGGCGCCGGAUGUGAGACAUCCGGGUGGACGGAAAUGGCGGCCCCGGACAUGCGCCGGAUGUGAGGUAUCCGGAUAAGGGAAAUGUCGGCGGACAGAAUUCCGGAUAUGAAAUAUCCGGGUGGAAUGAGGGAGAAUUCCGUCCGGGUAGAAUGUGCGAUGUCACGCGUCGAAAAGGGGGACGUCUGUGUGUCCAAGAGAGAGGAAGUCACAUGGCAGUUUUUAGAGAGACCACCAUAUGGGUAGUGGGCGGUUUCUCAGCGGACUACGAUCUGGAUAGUGGGUGAUUGUGCAAGUGCUUUAAGGGGGAUUAUGGGCGGUUGCAUAACCACCAAGGGAAAAACGGUAGGGUGAGUAUUUUAAAAGGGCUCCUGCAGCCUUGAGAGAGAGAGGAGAGAUUAGGGAAAGUGCCUCUGAAUGCUUGGGAUGUAAGCAUUGCUCUCUGACUCAAGGAAACAAUUUUGUAUCUUGUAUAUUAAGAUUAAUACAAGUUGGGAAAGAUUUCCUAUAAUCUCGUUGUGUCCCUGUUUCCGUUGGUUUGUGUGGUUUAUGUGCGUUUUGAGAAGGCUGGGCAGGAAGGUUGGCUAAGGAAGGGUCCUUAGCACCGCGCACUAGGCGAAAAUUUUAGGGUGAUUUUCGAGGGUGUGACAAUAGGAAUGAAAUAAAUAACACAUAAAUAUUGAGAUAAAAAAUAGAAUUGGAUAAAAAUAAAAAUAAAAAUGAUAUAAAAUUUAUAAAACAUAUUUACUUAAUAAAAAUAAAAAUUUCAUCACAUAUCAUUCACAUUGUUUUAUUUUUAACAAAUUAUUAAAAAUUCAAAUUCACUCACUGAAAUUUAAAAACACCAAUUAUAUACCCUUAGGAUUGGUGGAAAUUAUGUAAAAAUAAAAAAUAAAAAAUUAAACACUAAAAAAUUGUGGAGGGUGUCAUAAAUGUGAGAAUGGUACGCAUUCUUCAUAUAUUUCAUACUUUUUUUAAAUUUAAGAUUUUUUUUAUUUAGAAAUACAAUAAUAUUGUUUAUACAUACUAAUUAAGACUUAUAAAUGAUAAACAAAAAAUUCUUAAAAAAUUAAAAUACUAAAAGAAUCGGAGAUGGUACGAAAAAUGUGUGGAAAAAUACGAAUAAUGUGAGGAAUCUUUACAUUAUUCAUACCAUUCCGACAUUCUAUGUACACUUGAUAUUUUACACUUUUUUCAAUUUUCAAUUUUUUUUUGAGGGUACAAAGAAUGUAAGAGUAUGAACAAUGUAUCAUAUCCUUCCCCACAUUCUUUAUAUCCUAGAUAUUUUACAUUUUUUUUUUCAAUUUUAAGAAUUUUUUUUUCCACUUGAAAAUGAUAUAAUAUUGUUUACCCAUAUUAAUAAGGCUUAUAAAUGAUAAAAAAAAAUAUUCUAAUUUUUCUUUUUAAAAAAUAAAACACUAAAAUUUUAGAGAUGAUACGAAGAAUGUGAGAGGAAGAGUAUGAAAAAUGUGAAAAAUCUUCACCUUCUUCAUACACUUCCCAUACUCUUUGUAACCUCUAAAAUUUUCGUUUCUUUUUUUUAUUUUAAGAAUUCUUUUUCUCCACUUCAAAUAGCUUUAAUAUUGUUUAUUUAUACUAGUUACAUUUUGCAAUUGAUGAAAAUUAUAAACAAAAAAAAUUUAAAAGUAAAAAAAUUCAAAAUUGGAAAGGGUAAGGAUUAUGAGGAAUGAUACGAAAAAUGUAAAGAAUCUUCAGUUCUUCUACCUUUCAAAAUUUUCAUUUUUUUUUUUUUAAUUUUAAGAAUUUUUUUCUCAUUCUAAUAUUGUUUAUUCAUACUACUUACACUUAUAAUUGAUGAAAAUUAUGAACAAAAAUAAAUUUAAAAGGCAAAAAUAUCAAAAUUGGAGAGAAUACAAAGAAUGUGGGAAAGAGUAUUAAGAAUAUAAGGAUUCCUCUUAUUCUUCUUAUCAUUCCCCACAUUCUUUUUACCCUACAAACUAUUCUAUCUUUUUUUAAUUGUAAGAAUUUUUUCUCCACUUCAAAUUUCAAUAAUAUACUUUGUUCCUACUAGUUACACUUACAAUGAUGAAAAUUAUGAACAAAAUAGUUUUAUAAGUACCAAGCUUCAAAAUUAGAGAGGGUCUCACAUUCUUGGUACCAUUUCCAUAUUUCUCGCACCCUUUAUAUAUAUAUUUUUAAUUUUAAGAUUUUUUUAUUUCAAAUAACAAUAAAAUACCUUUAUUGAGUUACAAUUAAUGAAAUAUUUGAAAAAAAAACAUAUUAAAGUUAAAUAAAAAAAUGGAAAACACUCGUACAUUCUUUACAUUUUUCUAUCCUCCUCACAUUCUCUGCACUCUAAAAAUUUUAUAUGUUUGUCUCAUUUUAUUUAUUUUUAAAUACUUUUAAUAUUUCGUCCCAACCUCUCCAUAAAAAAAUUAAAAUUAUAAUAAAUAAAAAAAUUAUUAAUACAAUUUUUAAUUAGUAAUUGAUUGAUCACUAUAAUAAUUUUUAACAAUAAAUACUUAUUUUAAUUUAUUUAUAAAUGAUUUUUUCACAACGUCCUAAUGUUAUAACUUUAUAUCAUAAAAUAAGUGGAAACUUUUAUUUUAGAAAAUUUUAAAUAUUUUACAACUUUUAUAAAAUAAUUUGUUGAAUAAUAUAAUUGGUUGUUGUAAAGAUAAUUUAAAUUUUGGGUGUAUGAGAUUGCUUGCUUUUAAAAUACAUGGUUAACCGGUUGGUAACUUGUAGUAUUGGUGUUUUUCAAUUUUUUAUUAAUGUAAACUUUACAUGUGUCAUAUUUUGAUUGGUCAAAAAAGGGGAGGUAUGACAGACCCUAAAUAAUGUUUUUGUUAAAAAUACUUUAAAGAUAGUUAAUAUUUAAAUAUAAAAAUAUCUAGGUAACAUUUUUUUUUAUUAUUAUUAUAUUGAAUACAACUUUUUGUAAAAAAAAAAAAAAAAAAAACUUGUAAUCAAAUUGAAAAUUUGUUAAUGUUAGGAACAAGUACUAAAAUUCUUCUUAUAAUAAAUUUGAUUUAGGUGGUAUUUGUUUUUUUUACUUAAUUCUAAAUAAAACCUUAAUGCUUAAUAGUGUUAAAUAUUAGGUUGUUUGUUUUUGUAGUAUUUUAUUUUUAUUAAGUAUUAAAAAGUAAAGAAAAACCAUAUAUGUUAUUUUUUCUAUUUAAAAAAAGUUACAUAUUUUAGUUUUUUCUAUUUAGUAAAAAGUUUAUAAUAAGUCAUGAAAAAGUAGGAAAACAAACAUCCUAAAUUCUAAAAACAAAUUGCUUUUAGCAAAAAGCCAAAAAAACAAACACCACCUUAGUCUUAACUCGGAUUAGACCUUGGCAUGUCUUGGCUUGGGCUUAGACUUUGAUGUGUCAGCUUGGAGUUUAAUAUGUUGAGACCUUGGUGUGUAGUGGGCUAGGCCUCGAUUUUUGCAUAUCUUCAAUUUGGACUUGAACCUUAGAGUGCCUUGAGUUGGACUUGGACCUUAGUUGGAUCACAUUAACUGAGGGUAUAAAUGUUUGAUCUCGAAUUGAAAACGUCUCGAUUUUAAUCUUUGAAACUUCAAACUUGAUCUUCAAAGUUUCGAACUUGAUAUUCAAAUCUUUCAAAUCUUCAAAUCUUUCAAAUCUUCAACCUUGCCCUUCAAAUCUUUAAAGGCUUUAAAAAACUUUUUGAGUCUUUGAGGGGAGCUUUCCAUAAUUCUUUUCAAGUGUGAAACUCGUGUUUAGUACAAUUUUGUAGAUUAAAGAGACCCUUUAUUUAUAGGGUAUAAGAGAGACAUAUUAAAAUCCCCAUAAACAAUACUAUUAAAACCAAAAGAAAUUAUUAUUUUAAUAGAGUUACUGAUUUGUUAAUAAAUGAAUAUUUAUUAAUUUAGAGAGAAUAUUAUAUUUUUACUAUACUACCUAUACAUGAAAAAAAUAUAGUGUAUGAAUUACAAAAAAUUAAGGAUCAAGUUGAAUUUAGUUUAAAUACAAAGAAAGGAUAGACGAUUUUAGAUGCAUAUUUUGAUAAAGAGUUGGUAUUAUGAAUUUUUAUUUACUAUUUUUCAUGUACUUCAUCAAUUAUUAAUUUAUAUUUCCUUGAUUCUUGAAAUAUUUCUAAAAAAUUUAUUAUUUUAUGCAUUUAAAAAGGUUAUUAAUUCAGUAUAUUGAUCCAACUCCAACUCGAAACCAAAAGAUUUUAUUAUUUAAACAUUGUUAUUAAUUUAAUGAAAAUUUAUUUAUCAUGAUUUUACUAUAUUUGAAUAGUUUUUCUUAUUCCUUAUAAAUGUUAUUCCUUAAUCAAAGUAGAUUUGGAGAUAUUUUUAAACAUAAUUUGGAUAGUUUUGACCCUUAAAAUAUGAUAUUUAACUAAAAAUACAAAAUAUAUAUGAAACUUUGGAAAAUACAUUUGGAUACCUUCUACUUUAUUAAUGAUGGACAAUUACUUUUUCACUUAUUAGAUUCACCAUUUUAUUUAUUUAUUUUGGUAAUUAUAUUUUAAUUACCAAAUUUCUUAUUUCUUUGUUUAAUUUAAAAUCAACUUGUUUUCCUUUGUGUGGGUCAUAGAUAUGCAUCACAAUUUGAUUUGAUAGAAUUAUAAGUGCUAUUACUUUUUUUUAUAUGCAUUUUGUAUUACAUAUCUUUUUUAGACAGGGUAAUCACUAAGUAGUAAAUUUUUUUUACCAUUUUACAAUUCCUCCAAAAUUUCUUUACAUAUUUGAAUGUGUAAAAGUGGGUAAAUUUUGAAUAUAUUUGAUUGGAUGUAAAUACAUUUAACCACAUUAGUUUCAUAGAUGAUUUUCUUUCAAGAUUCUUUGGAUUCUUGUAAAAAGAAUACUUUGCUAGUUUACAAGCCUUUGGUUGGCUCAACCACUUGUUGGUCGUUUUGCACCCUGGAUGAUUUGUUUCACUUUCCUUGGUGGAGCUCAAGAUCUACUUGAAAAUUAUUCUAUCCUAAGUCUAACAAUAUUUUGCUUCACCCUUGGUGAUUCGUUUCCCUUUCCUUGGUGGAGCUCAAGAUCUACUUGAAAAUUAUUCUGCCCUAAGUCUAUCAGUAUUUCAAGAUCUCUAUCAUCCUUGGUGUUGCAAUCUCUACUUCAUAUGAGUAAAGCUCUCUCAAUUGUGGACAAUUUGACUAGCGAUUCUUAAGAGCAGCUCUUGAUGCUCAAUUUGUUGAUGAGAUGUUAUCCAAGGAUGAUAUGACCAAACAUAAAUUGUGAGUCUCUUUAGUCACGUUGGUAAGUAAUGAAGAAAGACUUGGAACAUUCAAAGAACAAGUUGAACUUCUUAGUAAUAGUUACGAGGAGAUUGAAUCCCUAAUUUGCCAAAGUAAAUUGGAACUUUUAGAGUAAUGUACCCGUAUUUUAGCCUUACUUGAUAAGAUUAAUAUUUCUCAAGAAUAUUCCUAGUAUUUUUAAAUAACGAGGAUAUCAUAUCCUUGAAGCACUUUUAGAAGCUUCUAGAGGAAGCUUGUAGUGAAUUUCAAUGUUUCACCUGAAAGCCUUAAGUUGGUAGCUUCAAUUUAAGUAGCAUGUAAUUGGACAUUUAGCUUCUAUAAAGCAUUGGUAUGUUUAUUGUUCCAAUUACAUUACUGAAUUUCCUUCAAUUCCUCGAGACAUUCUUUCUUUAUUCUUAUGACUAAAGCAAAGACACUUCAUAUAUAUGUAUAUUUAUCCUGAACUGGCUCUAGGUAGUUAUACCAAAUCACAAGGGAAACAUACUCUAGUGUUUCUAUGAAGGUGGUACAGGAAUUGUUAAUGUGACCUCUACCUCCUCAUAAAUGAUUAAGAGUUGGGGGAAGCAUGGCCUCCUCAAGCAAUUCACCUAAUCUCUCCAGCAUAGAAAACCACAUGCUUAGGAACUAACCAAGGUUGCUAGAUAACACAACCAACUCCACAAUCCAGAACACCCAUCCCCUUCCCCAACCAAACCCCAUUAAUUAAAGAAAUAAAUAAAAGGGUAGCUCUGCAAAAAGUAUCUUCCAAUAUUUGCUUAUCAACUUUAAAUUCUGUAAAGAAACAUAUUGUAUAAACACAAAGGAUGUGAACUGGAUGAGCAAAAGGUGAACUGUAUUCUAUACAAAGUAACUAACAAGCAAAAGCUGAUAAUGGUAGGUGCCUGGGAGAUAGGAUUUUCUUCAAAACUAGGCACUAAGACACUCAAAGCAUGAUCGACUGUCCAUGCUUUAACACUCCUGAAUGGAAGUUAACAUAUGCAUGUACCCUGCAACCUAAUAAGUGUCCUGCUGAAUGGAAGCUAGUUCAGCAUCACCUAACUGCUUAGGCACACAUAAAACCACAAACUAUAUUGAGAAAACAAUUGUGCCACAGAAACUUGACAAACCUUCCUCCCCCACCUCUAAAUAACUUCUCACACUAAAAAAUAACUGGGAAAAAAAAAAGAUGCAACUAAGGUAAAAUAACUAAACAUCUUUUGUAAUUCCUUGUUCACUAGUAAUUCUCCAUCAAUUGGAACCAUUUUGCAGACAAUUUUACCAGCCCUGAAAGUUUCACUGUAAGUACCUUCACCAAUUUUGACAAUGCUUUGUGGAUCACUGCAUUCAAGAGAGAUUCAUUUUCCGAGAUGUUAAUGAUGCAAGGGUCCAUAUAUAGAUGAAAUCAUCAGUGCAUGAAAACAAAGAUUAAAAUGAAAAAUCAAAGCAAGAUAAAACAAUAUGGCAACUACAGGAAUGAUAAUUUGUACCCCUGAAAAUCCUCGAGUAGCGAGUUGUCCAAAAGCCAAAAGGCCUGGAACAAGAAUAACUAUACAUGUCAUGUUACCAACAAAUAAAAAUGUUAGGAAAUCAAAGCAGACAGAAAUAACUUUUAAUGACCAGGAUUUCCACCACAUAAUUUUCAAACAUGAAUCGAUACACAGGGAAGAAAUCCAAGUGAUGAAAAAGAAUGGAUCCUUUUCCAUGCUUAAGAAAGUUAAUAUUUCACUAAUAUAAUAGAAGGAAUGGCCAUAAACCUGAAUAUUGGGGCCAAUUGUGAUAUAUGACAGAAAGAUAAAGAUGAACAAUUAGUGAUACUGAUAUCUAAACAAUUAGUUCCCAUCUAUUAGCAGGAACAGAGAAGAUAAGACACAAGACAAAUAAAGUGGUGCAAUUAAAAUUAAUAACUAGCAAUUCUUAACACUUAUCACAAAUCAGCUAGUGACAUUCUCUUAAUAGACCAGAAUUUUCCAUAAAUGGAUCGAAACAAUACUUUAGCAACCAUUGAGUUAGGGCUUUAUGAAGCAAUCUCCAAUCAGGACUUGUUCUAAAUGCAAAACAUUAGUAAAAGCAACCAAAUAAGAUAGAAAUAGGAAAUCAGAUUGUUAAUACUGAUUAUGUAGGUAUUAUUGAUUGUGUAGUUUCUAGGAAGUAUAUUGGCCAAACUUAAUCUUACCAAGAAACCUAAAAUUCAUGCCACUUCUGCUAAUUGCAAAUAUGCAACAAUAUACAGAGAAGUUACUCUGAUUCAGUAUACCCUGUAUAGAAAAUUAAAUCGAAAGUUUAGGACAUAAGUUGAAGCAACAUACCAAGAUCUGUUUAGAUGAGUGCCUCCCUAUCAUAAUUGGGUCUAGCCAGAACAAUCCCUGAUGGUGAAAUGAUGGCAAUGCCUCCAGCAUAGACAACAGAAUCUGGCGUAAGAUCAUCUACACCCGAAAACUCAUACUCAGGACGAGGUAUUUCGUAAAUCAAGACAAGGCAUUGAAGAGGAUUCUUAUACCCUAAAAGAGGUAAACCAAAAGAACAAAACCAUGACUUCUUAUUCUUAAGAGGACCGCAUCCAAAAAACAAAAGAAUAUCCAGCGAAGUGGAUACUUAAGGAACAUUCAAACAAUAUACAUCAAAGUUCCUAGGGCUCUUUCUUUGGAGAUUAAAAAUUUGGGGGAAAAGACUGAGUUCCUAGGGCUCUUUGUCACUGAUCUCUGACAUAGAUGAGUUGAUUCGGUUCCUAGGGUUCUUUUCUUCACUCGUUUCUGACCUGGAUGAGUCAACCCAAUUCCUAGAGCUCUUCCUCAAGGACAUGGAAUUCUUAUCUGAGUGAGGCAACGAGUUCGAUGAGUGAGAUGGUCGUUGAUGUAAGCCUCGUCAGUGAUGAGGACGUUGGUGAUGGCAGUAAUCUAGUUGGGGAAACAAUUCUUUCAAACACUGCAAAAAUCAUCACAAUCUCAGAUAAGAGUUGCGGAGCACUAGGUACAAAAUAAAAAUAAAAAUCAAAAAUCAAAACAAAAGAACAAUCACAAGAGAAACCUUAGAGAAAUAAGUACGAAGAAAAAUCAUGGAUAAAAUUACAGAAGAGUUUUAUGGCUUUCAGAGCUGAAAUCUUGGAGAAAGUUCAAAAACGAUCAAGGAGGGCAUGGAAGAUGUGUACAAUAACACGUAUGUGGUAGCGGCCCAAAACUUGGUCCAGUUAGAGGAGAAUAUAUAGUUUUAAAAAAUAAUUCUUAAAGUAUCUUAGUUGAGAAAAUAAUUCCAAAUCUAUAGGAAAAUAUAUAUACAUUUUUUUAAAUCGUCUUUUUAAAAGGCUAUUUAUAUCAUUUUAAAAAAAUUAUACCAAAAAAAUCGUCUUUCCAAGAUACAAUUACUAAAAUUCCCUUUUAAAAAACAAUGUAUAGGCUUUCUCAAAAUAUAUAUAUGAGAAAUCGAAGAGUGAAAAAUCGCUUUCUCACAAAAAAAAAAAAAGAAAAUCCACUUUUCCAUUCCCUAUAUCCUUAUACAAUAAUAUAAUUUAUAUAAUCAAUUUUAUUUACUAAAUUUAAUAUAUAAAAAUAAUUAUAAUUAUUGAGAUAUUUAUCAAUAAUAAUAUUUAUAAAAAUAGAAAUUAUGUUUAACAUUCUAUAUUUAAAAAAUUUAUAUUAAAUUAGAUGUGAAUUUAAAAAAUAUUUUGUUCUUAAUCUUCAAUUUUUUCUUUAAAUUAAUUCAAUUAAUUAUAACUAAUAAAAUUAAUUUAAUUUGAUAUUGUUUUUUAUUUAUAAGAUAAAUAAUAUUUAUCUAUUAUUUUUUGUUUCUUUCACUUUGGAAUUUAAAAAAAAAAAUUAUUAUCAAUUUUAUGUAAAAAUUGAGUAUAUUAAAAACAAGUUUGUUAUUAAUUUAUUAAAUAAUUAUUUACAAAAUAAAUAAUUUUGUUUUGUUUUAAUUUUUAAAUUAAUUUUAUUAUAUAAAUUUUAAAAUUAAAAAUAUUAAUCUUUAAUUUAAAAUUUCACCUUAAAAGGAAUAAUUUCCCAUAUUUUUAGGAGAACCUUACUUACCACAAGACCUCCCACUACACACGCAUCAUUUCCUCUAGUUUAACAAUGCACUACACCCAUACAAGAAUCUUACCUACUAUACUUCAUCACUUCACACACUACUGCAGUACAAUUCCAUUGCAACACUUAACUAAUUUGAUAACUGUUUCAAGUGUGUCAUUUCUUCUUAAAUAUUUAAACACUCCAUCAAUUUGACCGCUUCAAGUAUUGUAACUUUUUUUUGAAACAUUCAAAUGUUAUAUAUAUAUUAAACACACCCCAUAUCCUAUACACUACACUACACUCAUCCUACCUCUUGUCAUCUUCACUUACAAUAUAAAUCUACUACAAUCUUUUUCAUCCUCAUUUUUUCCUUCUUUCCCAUUUGAAACCCAAUUUUUUUUUUUUUUUUUACUUUCCAUAGCUUCUAUCCAUAUCCCUCAUUUCUCUCUGUGCAACUUCUCCGCAUACCCCACUUCUUCGCAUAUAUCAUUUUUUCUUCAGAAGCUCAUGCUGCUCAUCUUGAAAGGUAAUAUUUUUGCCCUUAUUUAUUUAUUUAUUUAUUUCAAGUUAUUUUGUAAUAUAUGGUUUUUAUUAUUAUAUAAGUUUUUUAAUUUAUUUGGAUUAUGUAACAUUUGUUUGAAUAACAUUUAUUGGAAAUUAUUAUUUUAAAUAGAUUAAAUCAUUCAAAAAAAAAGUUAUAUUAUUUUAUUAAUAUUUUUACCUUUGUUUCAUUUUUAUUUUGUAAUGCAUGAUAGAUAUUAAUUGUUAUAUAUAUAUAUAUAUUUUGGAUUUAUGCUAUUUUUAAAAAAUAUUAUUUGUUGUAAAUUACCAUUAUAUAAAGGUGAACAGAUUAAAAUCAUUUAAAAAAUAAAGUGAUAUUAGUUUAUUUAAUUAAUUUGAAAUAAUAGUAAUAUUUUUUUUUUGUGUUCAUCAAUCAAAUAAUAUGUUUUAUAAAAUAUUAAAAUUAAAAAUAAAAUAAAAAUAUUAAUAAAAUGAGAAUGGAAAAUAAUAAUAAUAGAAUAAUUAUAUAUUUAUAUAUUUGCAUAAAAUAUGAUUUAAAAAAUAUUAAAAUCUAAAAAACAGAAAUACAACAUUAUCUGAAAUUAUGAAUUUAUCCUAUAUAUUUUUAAAAUUAAUGUUAGUCUUAAAUCAUUGAAAAAAUUGUUGUAAAACAUUGAGAUGUAAAAAUGAAAAUAUAAAUAAAAUUAAAGUGUUAUUUGAUUUAUUUAAAUGUAUAUAAUAUAACAAAAAAUAGUAACAGUGUAUAAUAUAAAAUAGUAAUUGUGUAUUUAAAUGUAUAUAACAUGUAAAUUUACAUUUAAAAUGUUAUAUUAUAUACAUUUAAAUAUCCAAUUUAAAAACAAAAGAAAUAUAUAGUUAUAAAAUGGUAUAAUAUAUAAUAAAAUAAAAUAAAUGAAUUUAGUUAUGGUUGUUAGUAUUAAAUUAUUUUUUUGCAUAUAAUAUUAUUUCAAAAAUAUUAAAAUCUAAUCAAUAUAAAUAAAACAUUGUUAUGAAUUUAUCUUAUAUAUUUAAAAAAAAUUAAUAUUAGUCUUAAAUUGUUAAAAAAAUUCUUGUAACAUAUUGAGAACUCAAAAUAAAAAUAUAAAUAAAAGUAGAAAUAAAACUAAAAUGUUAUUUAAUUUAUUUGACUGUAUAUAAUAUAACAAUAAAAAUAGUAGUGGUGUAUUAUUAUGUUGAAAAAACAAAAGAAAGAUGACUUGGAAAAUAUUAGAAUAUAUAAUAAAAUAAAAUAAAAUGAAUUUAUUAAUGGGUGUUAGUAUUACAUUAUCCAAAAUUAUGAAUUUAUCUUAUAUAUUUAAAAAAAAAUUAAUAUUAGUCUUAAAUUGUUGAAAAAAUUCUUAUAACAUAUUGAGAGCUCAAAAUAAAAAUAAAAAUAUAAGUAUAAAUAAAACUAAAAUGUUAUUUAAUUUAUUUGAAUGUAUGUAAUAUAACAAUAAAAAUAGUAGUCGUGUAUUAUUAUUUUGGAAAAAUAUGACUUUUAAAAAAUAGAUUUAGUAAUGGACAAUGCACCAAAAUAUUAGUAAAAUAGAUUUGCAAAAUACAUCUUUUUUAUAUGGUAUAUAAAUCAUAAUCAUAAAGUUUAUUGAUGAUCAUACUUCUUUGUUGAUCUUUUUAAUAGGUUUGAUAAUGGACGAUUACACGAUAGUGUUGUGUUAUACUAGUGGUGACAUUAUUGAUUGUGAAUUUGGGGUAUGUUAUAAUCAUUUUCUUGAGAAAGAUGUUUCAAUUAAUAGUAUGAUAACAUUUGACGAGUUAGAAACAAAAUUGUGUCAUGCUAAUAUUAAUCGUACUUACACCAAGUUAAAUAUGGUGUUCUGAUAUCUAGUUCCCUUUCCAAAUGGAAAUGGUAUUGUUAAUUAUGUCCCUUUAUCGAUUUGAGAUGAUGGUGAUGUGAGUAUAAUGUUUAAUGUUGUCACACAAUCUCCUCCUCCAAAUAUCAUUGAAAUGUAUUGUCAAAUUUCUUCAAUUGAUCAUUACUCCAUGCUAAGUAUCUUUACUACCUCAAUGCAUAUUGAAGGUGUAGGUCUAAGUCAACAAAUGGUAGAAGAGAACACCUCUUCUUCUAUAUAUAUGCAAAGUUGUGAUAAUGACAUGAAACCUAUAGUUAGGAUAGAUUUGGCAAGGGUGUCUGAUUCAGUUAUAAUGAUAGUUGAAAAUUAUGUUGAUAUUUUAUCUAGCAAUGAUGAUGACAAUGUGCAAUUAUUUGAUGAAGAUGAUGGUAAUGAGGAUAUUAUGGACGGAUAAUGAAUAUAAUGAAAAUACAAAAAAUGAUGCAUCAUUGCUAGGUGGUGGUGAACAUGAUGUCCAUUCCCAAUUAUUUAAAGAAUUGAAUUGGGAUAUAAUCAACUCCAUGACUUGUAAGGAUUUGACAACACACAUUGGAUUAUGGAAUGAAUCAGAUGAAUGGUUUAAGGGUUUGCAGUUUGAGAGUAAGGUAGACUUACAAUAUGCUGUUAAACAUUAUUUCAUAUGUAGGAAUCAAUAUUUGAUUGUUAUUGAAUUUAAGUCAAAUAUGUGGGUUGUAAAGUACAAAAAGUGGUAUGAGGGUUGUAAUUAGAGGCUUCGUGCAUGUCGUUAUAAAUCUCAUGGUUUGUUUAAGAUAACAAAGUACAUAGGUCCUCACACUUGCGUUUACCCUAAACUAUCACAAAACUACUCACAAUUAGACUCCACAUUGAUUGCAUGAGAGGUUUAAAAUGUAGUUCAAAAUGAUAACACAAUUUCAAUUGUUGCAUUACAUCAAAUAGUAAAAGAUAAAUUUGGUUAUAAUGUUCAUUACAAGAGAAUUUGAGAAGCAAAAAAGAAAACAAUCAUAAAGAUAUUUAGUAAUUGGGAUGAAUCUUACCAAGUUUUACCUAGGUGGAUGAAUAUUGUUAAACUAACUAACCCUGGGACUAAGGUUGUUUGCAAGACAUCGGUACUAGCAGGUUGCAACGGAAAUGUAUCUUUUAUGUGUGUGUUUUGGGCUUUUGGGGCAUGUGUUGAAAGAUUUAAGCAAUGUAGACCAGUAAUACAAAUAGAUGAUACUUUUUUAUAUGGAAAAUACAUAGGGAAACUUUUGAUUGCAAUAUCAAUCGAUGCUGAUGGUCAUGUCUUCCCUCUUACAUUUGAAAUAGUUGAAGGAGAAUCAACGAAUAGUUGGUCUUGGUUUUUUUAUACAUUAAGGAGUCAUGUAAAAAGAAGGCAUAUGUCUCAUUUCUGAUCGUCAUGCAGGAAUACAAGCCGCCAUUAGGGAUCUUAGUGUUGGAUGGAACAUGCCUUAUGCACACCAUCAAUAUUGUCUUAGACAUGUGACAAACAACUUCAAUGAUAAAUAUAAAAAUAAGAUAUUAAAAGACUUAGUGUAUAGAGUUGGGUCUCAACAUCAACCACAAAAGUAUAAGUCAUGUAUGACUGAGUUAAAACAAUUAGAUGAGAAAUGUUUAUAAUGGUUUAAUAGGUUGAACAAAAAGAAAUGGACUUUGGCACAUGAUGGAGGACAUCGGUAUGAGUGGAUGACUACAAAUAUUGCUGAAUGCAUAAAUGGAGUGCUUAAGGGGGCUAGAUUGUUGUCUAUCACGGUUUUUGUUUGAUUAAAUUUCUAUUGUUGUGUUUCUUAUUGCGACUCAUCAAACAAAGAUACAAACUCGAAUUGCAAAUGGAGAUUUGUACACUUCCUAUGUCAUUAACAAAAUAGCAAAAUAUGAGUUAAGGGCUAAUAGACACAUUGUCACAAUCUUUCACUGUUCAAAUGAGAUAUUUGAAGUGACAAUUGCUCCCCAUGGAUUUCAUAUGGAUAAAUGAAACAAUAUACAAAUUGUGAAGUUGAAAGAAGGAACAUGUACUUGUGAUAAAUGACAAUCUUUUGGUAUCUCAUGUUCACACAUGUUAGUUGCAUGUGCAUGUGCAAUGAUUGAUAGUUGGCGAUUUGUUGAAAAACAUUAUAGGAUAGAUGUAUAUGGUUGAUCUUAUGCACAACAAUUCAAUCUGAUUCUCCAUGAAUCCUAUUGGCCAUAACCUAAUUUUCCAAUUAUCCACCCUAAUCCAACUCUAUUAUGUGAUAAAGGAAGACCAAAAUCUUCAAGUAUUAGGAAUGAAAUGGAUUGGAGAGAAUCAAUUGUCAAAGUUUAAUAUGGGCUUUAUAAACAAGAGAGUCACAAUCGUAAAAAUGUUCCAAUAGAGGGGAGUUUUCUAACACAACCGCUCAAUGAUAUUGUAAGUUCAAGUUGAAAAUCUUACUAUUUAUAUGAAAGUUUUUUGUAACAUUAAAUAUGAACAUUGAGUUAUUUCCACAUAAUGUCAUUACAAUGUCAUGUAAUAAACUAAUGAAAUUAUUUAAAUGAUACAAGUAAUACAUUCUCAUGGAUUCAAAACCUUUAGAUCGUUCUAUUCUGUAUAACUAGGAAGUACACCAAUUUUCGCUUAUAUGGGUAGGAAAAGAUCCUAGAGAGUUCCAUUGUCGACGUUGUGAGACCAGUUUCUAUCAUAAUAGUGUUUUCGAUGCGCACAUUAUUCCAUAUUUGCAACAAUAUGGAUUUACAAUUUUGCCCGAUUAGGUUUCAUUUCAUUAGAUUGGCACCUUAGUACAACAUUUAUAGAGAGAUGACGCCUUGAGACCCACACUUUCCAUGUACCUCAGUGAGAGUGUAUCAUCACACUUCAGGAUGUUAGCAUUAUUUUAGGCUUAUUGAUUGAUGGUGUUGCAGUUAGUGGUAGCGUAUGAUUGGAUUGGAGAGAGGUGUGUGCUACAGUGUUAGGAGUGGUGCCUGAUAUAUCUGGACAAAGACUUCAUUUGACUUAGUUGACAAAACAUUUUCAUUCAUUGUCACCUGAUGCUGAUGUGGAGUCCGUGUGGUGUUAUGCUAUGACAUUCAUCUUAGAUUUGAUUGAAUGUUCUUUUUUUUUGCGGAUAAAUCGAACAAUAAGGUACAUUUAAUGUUUUUACCACUAUUUGAGGAUUUUGGAGUUAUUUGUACUUAUAGUUGGGGUAGUGUUUGCCUAGCUUUACUAUAUCGAGAAAUGUGUCAAGCAUCUCGUAUUGAUGCACAUGAUGUAUGAGGUCUUCUCAUUUUGUUACAAUUAUGGGUAUGAGAUAGAUUUCCCCUUUAUAGCAUCUCUCCGCUUACAUUCAACCCUACAUGAUGGAGUACUACCACAACCACCUUUGGGCAUGCAGUAUGUAUUUUAUCUUAGUUAUAGCAUAUGUAGACACAUACACACACACACACACAUACACACACACACAUAUAUAUAUAUAAACAAUUAUACAAACUUCUAAUAUAUAUAUAUAUUGUAGUUAGAUAGAUGAGUUUUGUACUACUUCAAUGCCUAUGCAUGGUUACCCUAGUAUAGGUAUCUACUUAAUUGACUUAUGCUAGAGCAAGUAAGAGAUUCAUUAUUUUGAAUAUUUUUUUAAACAAUUUGUAAUCAAAAUAUUAUUAAAUAAUGUGAGUCAUAUUUCAAAUUUAAUUGUAGAUUAUAUGAGAGUCAUAUACUGAUGAUGUCAUCUCUAGACUCCUAGAUUACUAUACUAUUGCCUCUAACUUGUGGUUAACUAUCUCACCUCUUAUCUGUUUCCACAUAAUGGAGUGACAUAGACCUGAUCAUGUUUUGAGGCAGUUUGGGCUAUUAUAGGAUAUUCCUGAGCAGUAUGAUACAGAGAUAAGAUUACAUAAAUAUGAUUUGAGGGGUCGACAUGAUUUGGAUUGGAUGAUUAUUCAUCACCAUUAUAUUCAAAGGUAAGAGGCUAGGUAUGAUCAUCUUGCUAAAGCUGAGGCAACAUUUACUUCUUUUGGAUAUAAUUACCUAUAUAUGGUUGUAGAUCCCAAAAUUUGUUCAAAAUUUAUUUUACUUUGUUUUUUAGCCUAAUUUUACCCUUAAAUUUAAAUCUUGAUUACAUAUAAUAUUUUUGGUCCACUUACCAUUUAAUUUUUAGUUUUUAUUAUUUUGUAUAUUGUUUUAUUAUUAUUAUUAUUAUUAUUAUUAUUAUUAUUUUAUCUCAUUUCUUCUCUCUCUACCCACUUACCCCCACUUACUUCAUCAUUCUCUUUCCUCCCAUACCCCUCUAUUUCUACGACCAUACCCCCCUCUCAUCUUCUUCCAUUUUGUUCCCAUUUGAUUUUAUUUCAUUUUUUCUUCUUCCACCUAACUUCCAACACUCACACUUCACUGCCACACGACUUUUUUUUUUCUCUCUCGUUUUCUUUCUCACAUUUUCUCGUUAUCUUCAUUUUCUUUUUUAUUUUCUUUUUGUUUUUCAAAAAGCCAUCAAACCUCACCACUGUUGGAAGGACCACCGACGAGUAGUCGCUAGUGAGCCAUUGUCGACUGGCGAACCCCCCUUCCAUUCUCACACUUUCUCACUUUACUCACUUUCCCUUUUUAUUACUCAUUUUUAUUUUUUUUUCAUUUUUUUUUCUCUUUCUUUCUUUCUACCUUCAACUCUACUGCCAAAUAGUUGUCGCUGACUAGUAAUUCUGGUCACUCAUAGGUUUUUAAAAAAAAUGUAUAAGUCUAUUUAUGCAUUUAAUUAAUUUAAUUUAAUUUAAUUUUUUCUUGAUUUGAUUUCAAUGGUAAUUGUUGUUUGUGAGAUUUUGAUUGUUGAAUUAAUAUGAAAUUUGGACUUUGUUAAUUAAUAUGGAAUUAGGGUUAAUUUGUUGUUGGUGAAUUAAUAUGAAAAUUUGGCUAAUUUAUCGUUGGUGAAUUAAUUUGGAAUUUGCUAAUUUGGAUUAGAUUAAUUGAUAAUUUAUAUGGUUGUACUCAUUUGAAUGAUUUAAUUUGGGCAUGAGAUAAUAUUGUGGUAUAUGUUUGUUACAUUUGAGCUUUACACAUUAAAUUGGGUUGAUUUUGGUUUGCAUAUUAAAUUAUGCUUCAAUUAUUGGAUAUUCAAUUUUGGCCUUAUGAAAUUUAUUUUAAUUUAUCAUGUUUUGGGUUUAUUAGGUUCUGCUUGUAUUUUGGUUAUUAAUUUGAAAAUUUUGUACUGGGGCUUACGGCACGUGAGAUAUUUCUAUUAGGUUAUAUUUGCUAAUUUGAGCUCAUUUUUAAUUGAUGAAAUUUAUUGGAUUAAUUUGAAGUUUGAAUUUAGGCUUGAAUAUUUGUUUUGGACUUUGUACAUUUCUGAAUAUUUACUUUUGGACUAUUUUUGUUUUUGUAUGUGUUCAUUCCACAAUUCUAUUGACUGAGUAUGGAUUUAUGACACGUGGAGCAUUGGAUUUCAUGGAAGAAAAUGAGACUUGGAAAGUUGUAGGAAAAUAUUAAGCUUUUAUAAGCUUGUUUGAGUAUACGUUUUAUUUCUCACUACUAUUUGGUUUUAUUUUUAUUGAUUUUUAUAAAUAUUUGUUUAUAUAUAUUUACUUAUUAUGUACAGGAAUGAACAUCAAACAAACAAAAUUUUUUGUUUAAAUAAGAGGAACAAUUUAGUAAACACGUUUUAAUAAAACAAUAUUUUAGAAAAUGUUCUUUUUAAUAAAAGUAAGUUUUCUUAAUAAAAAUUCAGAAAAGUGUUUUUAGGAAAAUUUAGAAAAUUAUUUUAAUAAAAUUUUAAAAAAAUUGUUUUUAAUAAUAAUUAUCUGAAAAUUGUUUUGUAAAUAAAGUUGUCCAAAAAAAAUGUUUUUUAAAUAAGUUCUUUUUCCUUAAGAUUAAAAGUAAUUUUUAGAAAUAGAGGAUUUAAAUAAUUUUUUUUAUAAUGAGAAUAGUAUGAGAGUUAUUUUUGCAAUUUAAAGUUGUAGAAAUCAUUUUAUUAAUAAAAUCAUAUUGAAUUUUACUAUUUUUGCAAAUAAAGCCAUAAAAGUAAUUUUUUUAAUUAAAAAUUCUUUUACAAAUGAAGUUAUAAAAAUCUUAUUUAUUUAUUUAUUUUAAAAUAAUUUGUAUAAAUCAUUUUUCUUUAAUGAAAAAAAUUGAAAUCCUUUUGUAAAUAAAGUUAUAAAAAUUCUUUUUUUUUUUUUUGUUUUUCAAAAAACUAAAUAAAAAAAUAUUUUUAUUGUAAACAAAGUCAAUUUGAUUUUUUUUAAAUAAAUUCUUUUAACAAUAAUAAGUGUAAAUAACUUUUUUGAAAAUUGAAUACAAAUGAUAUUGAAUCAAAUCACUUGAAGAAAAUAAAUUGACUUUUUUUUUUAUAAAUAAAUAAAUUGAAAUCAUUAAUUUAAUAUUGUUUUUUUAAUAAAAUCCUUUGAAAUUUCUUGAAAACUAUUUUUUUUAUUACAUAUUUUUUUUAUUUAGUUCAAUAAAUCAUUUUGCAUAAUUCUCUUGUCAUUUAUUUAAUGCAUUCUUGUAAUUAGAUUUUAUUCAUCAUUUUUGUGUAUAUUAAUUUGUUCACUUAAUUUUGGUAUCCAUGAUUAAUUAAUUAAUUAUCACAAUUACCUCAAUUCAUUUAGUAGAGACCGUAUGUGUAUGGCUUAGGUGCUACGAUUCAUCAUUGUACCUUCCCAAUGGGUAGCCUAAUCCUCAAAUCUAGACUCGAUUUUUGCAGACAUGUUUUUUCCAAAUAAGGAGUCAUAUAUGAUUUUCUUUCUUAUUUUGUUUUCCUUUUAAAAAAUAAAAGAAAAAUAAGUGGCGACUGCAAGUCUUUUCUAAAAAUCAAAUUUUUACCAAAUAAAAAAAGGAGUCUCAUCAUCAAGUGAUGACGCACGUGAAAAAUGUGGGUCCACAAUAGUGUAGUAUCAUUCUAUCACUCGUCUUUUUGUUAUUCCACAUGGAUCUUCAUAGGAGAUAGUAGUAAUUAUAAUGUCUUUUUAUUUAUUAUUCCACUUUCUUCUAAUUUGAAAAACAUCGAAUUUUUUAUUCUUAAUUCUUGCAAAAUCGCAGUUUGCAAUAGAUACAUUUGUAGGCUAGUCCAAAUAAUCCGAAUAUAGGUCAUCGCGAUGAAAUUCAUCAAUUAUAUGCAACCAUUUUAGAGGCUAUACACAAGGCUGAUAGGUUGCUUUUUCCUCCUAAUGUUGAUAUAAAGAGACAAUCAUCGGAAGAGGAGGUAGGGAUGAGAGAUGGAGGGGUACGAAUUAGAAGUGGUGAGGUAUGAACUAGAGGUGGUGGGGUAUGGACCAAAGGUGGUGGGGUUCGGUCUAGAGGUGGAGGUGUACGAACACAUACAAGGCAUAUUUAUGAUGAUCCACACUUCCUUAUCGAUGAUGCAUCGCUAGAUUUUCCAUCAUCUCCUCUACAACAUACUGCCUUCACUUUUCUACACCACUAGACCAACCACUACCUCCUUCAUCAGUUCCAUCCAUUGAUGAUGGGGUGAUAUAGGAAGAUGUUGGAACAUCAUUCAUCCAAGAGCUAUUGCAUUCUCAUAUCGACGAACCUUAUUUUCACAUACUUAUGUCAUCUAGUAUCGAUGUGUCGUUUACUUCACUUACAACACCACUCAUUGCUUUGUCACCACAAUCAUCAGGGCAUUCAUUUAGAGAUGAUGUGAUGAGGCAAAUGCAAUACUUUCCCACACCACUUGUUGAAAAAUAGGGAGAAUACUAGGUUCAAGAUCAAGGACGUGGACGAGGAUGAGGAAAUGGAGCAACAUUGGAUGGUCCCCUAGAUCAAUCAGAGUUGGAAAGAUGUCACCAACGCCCGCAAUGAAGAAGGAAGCCUCCUUCAUGUGACACACAUUGAUGACUUUUAUAUAUUUUAUUUAACAUAAAUUGAUGAUAUAUAUUGCUCUUUUGUUGCUUGUUGAUUUAUUUAUAUUAAUGAUGCAUGCUAACUUUUAUUGGUUGUUGGUUUAAAUUAAAGAUUAAUAUUUUUAAUUUUAAAAUUUAUAUAAUAAAAUUAAUUUAAAAAUUAAAACAAAACAAAAUUAUUUAUUUUGUAAAUAAUUAUUUAAUAAAUUAAUAACAAAUUUGUUUAUAUAAACUCAUUUUUCACAUAAAAUUGAUAAUAGUUUUUUUUUUUUAAAUUCCAAAGCGAAAGAAACAAAAAAUAAUAGAUAAAUAUUAUUUAUCUUAUAAAUAAAAAACAACAUCAAACUAAAUUGAUUUUAUUAGUUUUAAUUAAUUGAAUUAAUUUAAAGAAAAAUUGAAGAUUAAGAACAAUUAAAAUUAUUUUUUUAAAUCAAUAUCUAAUUUAUUUUAAAAUUUUAAAAUAUAAUAUAUAUUUUUAUAAAUAUUAUUGUUGAUAAAUAUCUCAAUAAUUAUAAUUGUUUUUAUAUAUUAAAUUUAAUAAAUAAAAUUAAUUAAUUUUAUAAUAUAUAUUUAUAAUAAUAUUAUUAUUGUAUAAGUAUAUUAUUUGUAGGGAAUGGAAAAAUGGAUUUUUGAAGAACUUUUUUUUUUUUUGCCAAAGUUGUCUCUUCAAGAGACGAUUUCUCACAAACGAUUCCCCCUACUAUUUCAAAUUUCAAGAAAUCGUCUCUUAAAGAGACAAUUUUAGCUUAUACAUUUAAAAAAAAAAAUGAAUUUUAUAAAUCUUAUCUUGAAAAUACGAUUUUUUUGGUAUAAUUUUUUUAGAAGGACAUAAAUCCUAAGGGACGAUUUCUAUUUCCAAUUAUUCUUGUAGUAAUAUAUCAUUCCCCUAAGCUUUUGCUAAUGUGUAGCAAAUUAAAAAAUAAAAAAAUUCAAAAAUUAUGUUUGAUUCUCAAAAAGUAUCAAGGAAAAAAAUAUUUAAAAAAUUAUUUUAUCAGAUUUUGAUUUCAUGAAAAAAAAAUAUAUUAAUUAAAAAUUUAUAUAUUUUUAAAUUAUUUAAUCUUUAUAUAAAAGAUAAAAUAAAUAAAUAAAAUUUAAAAUAGUAUAUAAAAAUGAUUUAUAAUUUUAAAUUUAUUUAUUUAUUUUUUCUCAUUGUUUUCGUUUCCUCUAUUUUUUCUUCGUGUUUAGAUGUAUUAUGUGGAUCCUUCCCCCUAUCCAAUCAUUCUUCAUGUGUUGUGGGCUGCAAAUUAUCAUUUGGGUUCGUACAAUGAAGAAUUAUUAAGUAUUACUUUUAGAAAGCAACCACUCUUGGAUGAAGUAACCGCACAAGCCCACUACCAUCGGUUUUCGAUAGGCAGGGAAUACAGAAUGAAAAGCAACCACAAUUUCCUCCAUUAAUUUGUUGAUAUAAAGUUGUUGACUGAUUUUUUGAUCUGCACUCUCACUAGCGGAAUACCCACGUAACGGGCCCACACUCACCUGUACAUGUAUCCUAGAAAAUACGCAUUAGUGGUCUAAAUUGUCGCACUGCAUCAUUAAUUAAUCCUUAUUCAGUGUUAGAGAAAAACAUGCUCAGAAAAAGUAUCUGCAUUCAUAAAUUAUAUGGGAAAAAAAACAUGAAAAUCGGAAGAGCCAACGUAAAAGCUAAAAUCAUGCCCUUAACCGUGUAUUUUCAGCUUAUCAUCCCUUCAAUUCUGAUAUUUUGAUGUUCGAGCCUUGACUCCAAGUUGGUGUUUUGCUGGCUGAGAUUCUAGGCGUUCUCAGAAGUCAUAUGGUCUUGAGAUGACGCAUUUCGAUUUUUCUUACACAAAAAAGAAUUCACAGGAUUUCAUUGGGCUAGCUGAAAAUGACAGGAAAAAACCAAAAAAACCCUCUUACCACUUGCCAUCACACUCAGAAAUAUUAUGAUCGAGUCCGCAUUGCUUUAUUGGUUCGAAUUUCCAAGGGAUAAAUCAUCUGCAAAUGACACAGAAAAAGCCGCUGGAGCUCCAAUCUCUGAUGAAACUACCUCUCUCCAGAUCUUCUAGGAAUCCAAUUAAAUUGCUCUUUCAUUCCACAGACCUGAAAAGAGAAAACAGCCUUGUCUUUACAUUCCUAAAAUAACUACUCUCUCCAAAUUAAACCUCAAAGCAUAUACUGCUUUCAGAUAUGUCAUCAUCAUCUCUGCAUAUAGAAAGUAAGAUCUACUCGGAUACGCUUCAGUUAAGAAACACAGAAAACAUCUGCUUCAGUUCAGCUUUUUAUAUUACUAUUUUGCAGAGAAAUUACAGGAAAAUCCAAGGAGUCUCCAAACAUGAUGAUUUAGUAUGGAAUCCCCUGACCUCAUGAUAACUUCGAGAUAGUUAUCACUCGAUAUUAUUCUGAUGAAACCCAAUAGCUUUGCUUCUAUGGCUCACCGUAUUACAAAGGGAAACGAGUCCAAAGACUUUAUAUUGCAAAAUAGCACAAUAUACAUAUUAGAAGGUACAGCAAUCUCAACAAGUAUCAAAGUACAGAAAUACAAACAAACAGGGGGAAGAUGAUUAAUCAUCUCUGCUAUUCAACAACAAUUGAUCAUUGGGCGCCACGCUUGCAUCGAUUGUAAUAGGAGCAGGGCCGAUUGUAUCCAGGUUUUGGGGUGAGGCAGCUGCCGUAAAUUUUUGCAUUACAAACCGGAGGCUUCUGAAGAGCACCAUAAGAAAUAUGAGGCUUCUGCGCUAGAGAUCUUCCCUUCACUUCAAACCCAAUCAAGAACUCUUGUUCGCCUAUGCAGUCCGAGAUCGUGCCAUUGCACACAUGGUCUUUGCUGCUUUCAAGAGAUUCCCACUGUCUUUCCAUCUCUGCAGUUGAAACAAUAACUAGGACUGCAAAAGCCAAAUAAAUUCCCACUCCCUUCAACUGGAUUCUCAUUGUUUCCCCCCAGAUGAGUCCUGUAGACUUCUCACAACCUUGGAAGGAUGAGCACAGCGCUUUUUAUCUCUUCUUUUGCCCUAACCAUUUUCCAGUUGACCCAGCGUUUACCUUGGUGGGUCAGCUGGUAAACCACUUUAUUGCACCACGGAAUAAUUCCUCAGUGACACGUUAGUCACCAUUUUCUUUGAUGGUGCCAUCUUGCCGUGUUUAUAUUUAAAGAGAAAUAAGAAUUUCCUCCACAUCACAUCACCGCACUAUCUAAGAAGAUGUGGAGGUAAUGCUUGGUCCUCCUCGUUGUUGAAAGACUUUAACAAGUCAUUUAUGACAAUUUGGAGGGCUGACAUUAGCUCAGCAUCAACAAAUUUAUAGUUUAUUUUAUAUACAAAAUAUAGAUUGUUUAAAUUAAGUAUAUGUUCAAAGAAGCUAUCAAAAGGAAACUGAUGAAAUGACGACAAAUUAUUCAGAAAAAAUAUAAACAAAGAAAAAGAAAGACGAAAGUGCUGGGACUUGUCUUUAAUGUAGAUAUUUCAACAAGUGAAGGAUUUUUGAUGGAUACUUUCUACCGGUCGUGAAAUUUCAAUUGUCACUUGUGUUUCUUCCUCUCCUCUGCGAGAUUCCAUCUUUGAUUGAUUUUUUCCUUUUUGUCCCUUGAUAGUGAUUGGACCUAAAGAUGCCGUAAGGGAAGGGGAAAAAAGUAAAGAAGACAGACUGGACUUGUGGGUCCGCAUUAACUUUAUCAGUAUCACAUUGCUUAGGACGGAUAAGAUAUCCUUGGUCACACGUUAUAAAGAUAUAAUUUAUUGCAUUUUUAUUUCUAAACUUUCAAGAUAGGGAAAAGUAAAAGUUAAUUAAAUAUAUACAACAACUAAAUUUCAUUUAAAUUUCAUCAACAUCUCUUUUAUUUCUCAAAUUUUACCGAUUUUUCAUAGAUAUUUUCUGAUAUUUCGAGGUGGCUAUUUAGCUCAAAAAUGUCUUUAAUUUUCUAUGGGAACCCAAACAAAAGGUUUAACAUGAACUUUAGCUUACCACUAGGACAAGUUUACUCCUUAUUAAAUAUAUUACACCAAACAUCUAUAUAUAUAUAUUAAAAGUCAUUAUAUAAGCAAAAUAUUAAAAGGAUAUUUUAAAGAACAAAAUAAUUAUAAUUAUUUUAUAAUUAAAUGAAAAAUUUUCAUUUAAUUGACUACCAAAAAUAUAAAACUCAUCAUGAUAAUUUUUUUCAUAGUGUUUUUAAUAUCAUUGCUAGAUUAAUUAAUUAUUAAAAAAUUAUACAUAUAUCAUCAUUUAUUUUAUAUCAUUUAAUACAAUUGAAUUAAAUGGAUAAUAAUUUUAAUAUUAAAUAUAUUUUAAAAUUAGAUAUAUUUUAAUCAAAUAUCACAAUAUUAUUUUCAAAUAAUAUUUGAUGUAAUUUAAUAAUAAAUGUACACUUAUAAAAUUCAUAUUUUUUAUCGACACAUAUAAUAUUAUUAUCAAAUAUAAUAAAUUAUAUCAUACAUAUAUUGAUUUCUUCAACAAAAUAAUUUUAAAACGUUUAUUAUACUUCUAAUUUUAUUUCUAAAAGUUUUUUUUCUUAUAUUUUCAUAAAUUUUAAUCAAUUUUAGACCUUAUAAACCCCAAUUUGCUGUUUUAAACUUAAUGAAACUCUACGAGAGGAAAAAAAAAAUCACUCAUUUUUUUUAAAAUUAAUCAUGGCAAAAUUGUUGAAAUAGAAAGCUCGUGACAAGUCUUUUUUUGUAGUAAUAUCCUUGAAAGGGAUGAAUUGGUUGAUAGUCUCUUUUUAAAACAUUUUACCAAAUUUUAACAUAAUUAGUAUAUGUAUGUAAGCAAUGAAACUAAGCAACAUUAUUGUGGUUUAACAACCCAUCUAUGCCCACACUCUCUAACUACUCCAUAAGUAGUGAGAUAUUCAUAUUCUAGUAUUCUAAAGGUCUUCUAAAAUAAGGCUUUCCUUAUUCUUCUUUACACUUGUAUUUCUUAAGUUUUCAAUAAACCUUUUAUAACAAGUGUUUUUUCGUACUUUACCAACUCACUUUCCGCCAUGUACAAAAAUUUCUUUCAAGAAUACGUACAAUACCAAGCUUUGAAAUGAAAUACACGAAUAAUGAUAGCAAAAGUCAAGGUGCACUAAGUGGAUUUUGCAAGUUUUGGAGUAGAAGGACUCAAAAAUGAAUUAAAGACUCUUUUUCAUGACAAAAAUGAUAUACAAUAGUUACAAUACCCAUCAAUGGUUUCUAAGAACCUAAAAUAGGUCAUUCUUGUAAAAAAUUCCUCAUAUAUUUUUCCAUAUUUCUGUACAGAGACGAGUAUGGUUAUAUAUCAAUACAAAGAGAAAAAUUAGAAGCUAAAUUAGGCUAUACACAAAUUACGCCUAUUAUAAUAGUUGACCCUUAACAGAAGAGAUUCUAACAAAUCUGGCCUAUAAGUUUUCAAUCACUGACAGCUCACGCCAACACUCUCCCUCAAGUUGAUGCAUAUAUAUCUUUCAUGCGCAACUUGUCAAGUGAGCUGUAGAAGACUUUGCUGGAAAUAGCCUUUAUAAGAAUGUCUGCCAAUUGAUCCUCAGACUGACCAAAUGGAAAUCGAAUUACCUUUUCCUCGAGAUUCUGUUUGAUGAAAUUUCUAUCUACUUCCACCUGUUUAGUACGAUCAUAUUGGACUGGAUUGUGGGCAAUAUCAAUGGCUGCUUUGUUGUUACAAAACAGGUCCAUUUCGGAACUAGGAGCAAAACCAAUCUCAGUUAGCAACCUUUUAAGCCAAAUGAGUUCACAGAUGCCCUUGACCAUUCCUCUGAACUCAGCGUCAGCACUAGACAAUGCCACCACUUUUUGCUUCUUGCUUCUCCAUGUAACAAGAUUUCCUCCUAUGAAAGUAAAGUAGCCUGAUGUGGAUUUCCUGUCAGAAAUAUUUCCAGCCCAAUCUGCAUCUGUAUAACCCUCAAUGUUUAGAUGAUUAUUUUUUGAGAGCAUAAGCCCUUUUCCAGGAGAGGACUUUAGGUAGUGAAGAAUCUGAAUUACUGCAUCCAUAUGAUCUUCACUAGGACAAUACAUAAAUUGACUCACUAUGCUUACAACAUAGGCUAUAUCUGGGCGAGUAUGAGAUAAAUAAAUUAGCUUACCCACUAAUCUUUGAUAUCUCUCUUUAUUUGUUGGCAAAUGAUCUGAAUACUCUCCAAGUUUAUGAUUCUGAACAAUUGGGGUCUCAGCUGGUUUACAGUCUAGUAGUCCCACUUCAGACAAUAGAUCUAACACAUAUUUCCUUUGAGAAAGAAAUAUACCUUGCUUUGAUCUGGUUACCUCAAUUCCCAAAAAAUAUUUGAGUCCUCCAAGGUUCUUCAUUUCAAAUUCAGUUGCCAAUUGCCCUUGAAGUCUAGAGAUCUCUUCGAUGUCAUCUCCUGUAAUGAUCAUGUCAUCUACAUAUAUAAUUAGAGUUGUUGCCUUUCUUAGCCGGUGUUUCAAGAAUAGAGUAUGAUCUGAAUUGCUUUGGGUAAAACCAUACUUUCUCAUAGCCAAGCUAAACCGACCAAACCAUGCACGGGGUGAUUGUUUUAGUCCGUACAAUGCCUUUUGUAACUUACACACAACCUCAGUCUUUAAAGAUGUCAUGUAUCCUGGUGGAAUAUCCAUGUAAACUUCCUCCUUUAAAUCACCAUGAAGAAAUGCAUUCUUUACGUCAAACUGAUGUAACGGCCAAUUCAAAUUUGCUGCAAGAGAUAACAAUACUCUAACCAUUUUCAGCUUUGCCACAGGUGAGAAGGUUUCUUGGUAGUCUAUGCCAUAUUUUUGUGUAUGUCCCUUUGCCACAAGCCUUGCCUUGUACCAUUCAAUGGAUCCAUCAGCCUUGUGUUUAUUGGAGAAAACCCAUUUGCACCCCACGGUCUUCUUUCCUUUCGGUAAUGGAACAAGAGCCCAUGUUUUACUCUUCUCCAGAGCAUCCAUUUCUGCUUUUAUGGCUUGAGACCACUUUGGAUUUGAUAAGGCUUCUUGUACUGUGCUGGGAACAUGGUAUGAGGAUAGCCUAUGCACAAACUCCUUGAGUGGUUUUGGUAAUCCUAGAGUAGACACAUAAUUAGCAAUUGGGUAUCUUGAUCUUCUUUCCUCAAAAUCUGGAGAAUACCGAUGUGGAGGUUUGCCACGAUUGUGUCUGAAAGGUAAAGUAUAACCAACAGAAUUAUCCAAGUCAUUAAUAGGUGUGAUGGGAGAGCUUACCUCAGGAGUAUUCUCAGGAGAAGGGACUUCGGGUACUGAGGAGUGGGGUUCUUCAUUUUCAGCUUCAGAUGACUCGGAUGCAGCUUCCUGAAUGAUAUCAGGAUUAUAUCUCAUUUCUUCACUAAUCACUGCCUCAUUGCCAUCACUCAUCUGUACCGGGUUGUCUUCAAAGCCUUGCCAAGUCCACCAAUUCAGUUCUUCAUCUCGUAUCUCCCCCUGAAGAGAUGAAGUGGAUACUGAUGAAGAGAAGAAAGUUUCUGAUUCUAAGAAAGUAACAUCCAUAGUGACGUAGGUGCGCUUGGUGGUAGGGUGGUAACAACGAUAUCCCUUUUGGCGUGUAGCAUACCCCACAAAGAUACACCAAACAGCACACGAAUCAAGCUUAGUUCGUUGAUUUUUAUGGAGAUGGACGAAAGCGACACAACCAAAGAUUCGUGGUGGAAGUAGCACGACAGUAGGCAAUGAAACAUGUUCAGAAAGAACCUGCAAUGGUGUCUUGAAUUGCAGCACUUUUGAAGGCAUACAGUUUAAUAUAUACACUGCCGUGGCAAUAGCAUCAUCCCAAUAUCUACUCGGCACAUGUGCCCCAAGCAAGAAAGCACGGGUUGUUUCUAGGAUAAGCCGAUUCUUCAUUUCGGCAACCCCAUUUUGUUGGGGUGUUUAAGCACAUGACAUUUUGUGAAGGAGGCCAUGGGUCGCAAAGUAAUCCUGAAAUUUCUUAUUGACAUAUUCACCACCAUUGUCAGAGCGAAGGAUAUGAAUUUUAGCUGAAAAUUGAGUUUGAAUCAAUGUAUGAAAAAAUUGAAACACACUAAACACAUCAUCCUUUGUUUCAACAGAUAUAACCAAGUCAUACAAGUACAAUCAUUGAUAAAUGUCACAAACUAGCGAAUGCCAGAAGAGGUGGUAAUUGGAGAGGGUCCCCAAACAUCUGAAUGAAUUAAAGCAAAAUGAAUAUCAUUUUUAUUCAAACUUGUGGAAUAAGAAACACGGUGACUUUUGGCUAGAAUGCAAGUAUCACAUUUAAAGUUAGAGUAAGGUGAUUUGGAAAAUAAAUUUGGAAACAAGUAUUUCUUAUAGCUAAAUGACGGAUGCCCCAAGCGUCGAUGUCAUAGCCAAAUCUAUCUCUUCUUAAUGCUUGCGUGGUGCAUAUGAUGAGCCUGACCAGAGCUGAAGUCAUCCAUAUAAUAUAACCCCCCCUUCUUAGUACCACGCCCAAUGAUCUCCUUGGUGAGAAUAUCCUGAAGAAGACAAAAGGUAGGAUACAUUAGUGUAACACAAUUUAGUUCCUCAGUAACUUGUCCUACAGACAUCAAUUUAUUUGAGAGAGAUGGAACUAAUAAAGUAUUAGAUAAAGAAAAAGAUGGUGAUACGACAACAGUUCCAGCCCCUGUAACUGGAUAUGUAACCCCAUUAGCAUUCGCAAUAUCAGUUCGCCUUGGUUGGGUAACUUCAAUAAAAUGAUCUGAAUUGAAUGUCAUAUGAUCCGUGGCCCCAGAGUCAAUUAUCUAGCCAUUGUCACCAUUCUGGAUAGAACUUAGUAAAGCAUAACCACAAUUACCUUGAUCAUUGAGAUGAGUUUCAUCACUCGAAGACUCUAUUUGUGAGGUAAACGAUAACUGAGGUGCUGCAAUUACCAGGGCAGCCCGACCAAGCCCUUCAUUAGAGGCAACAUCACGAUUUUUCCGAGCCUUGUACUCAUUUCACCAGUCUGGGUACCCAUGUAACUUGAAACAGGUUUCACAGGUAUGUUUCAUGCUCCCACAAUGAGUACAACCUCCUCCUUUUGAUUGGGUCUUGGCUCUGGCGUUGGUAUUCAGUUUUCCAGCACCUGUAGAGCCAUUUUUGGAUAACUGCAGAGAGGGUGGUUGUUGUUGUCCUAUCUUGACUCAUUUUGAUGCCAUAACAGCUCCAGUCGUGUCUGUACCUCUGAGCAUCACGACCUGUCGAAUCUCCUCUCGUCGAACAUGAGCAUAGGCCUAUUCUAUGGUAGGAAAAGGACAUAUCUGUAGCACAUCACUUCGAAUCUUGUCCAGCCAAUCGUCCAAUCCAUCAAGAAAGAUAUAGACUCUAUCUUCUUGUAGGAUUGUAUUAUAUUUUUGUAUAUCAGUGGCACAAUUCAUCGGGUUAGGAUGCCGAAAAUCAAUUUCUCUCCACAAGCCUUGAAGAUCAUUGUAAUAUUUUUCAAUGGAUCCUCCGACUUGUCUCAUUUUAGUCACUCGUCUUUUUAGAUCAUAUACUUGUGAAGUAUUAGUUCCAUCAAAGUAAGUAGUAGCAACAGAAUCCCAUACCAUUUUUGCAGUUGGGAAGCGAAUGAAAUUACUGAUCAAGGUCGGGUCCAUAGAAUUGAUCAGCCACUCUUUGACAAUUGCAUUCUCAGUUCGCCAUUGUCUGAAAGUCAAAUCGGUAGGUUCAGGUUGUAGGAAAUCACCAUUGAUAUAUCCCAAUUUGUCUUUGCCCGAGAUAUACAUCUCAACAACUUGGGACCAGAGGGCAUAGUUGGUGCCAUCCAACUUAAUGCCGAUUUGUGCAGCGGAAGUAUCAUAGGUCGGUAGGUGGGUUUGAGUUUGAUUUUUGGUCAAGACUUCAGUCAUUCUUGCCGUCAAAUCUUCUAGGAUAGAAUCUGUGGAGCUGCCGCCAGUUUGUACCACAUCAUUUGGGUUCACCAUGGCUGCAAAUCAGUGUUUAGGGUUGGGUUUGGUUGUAGAGCAAGUCCUAGGAUUAUGCUCUGAUACCAUGUCAAAAAUUCCUCAUAUAUUUUUUUAUAUUUCUAUACAGAGACGAGUAUGGUUAUAUAUCAAUACAAAGAGAAAAAUUAGAAGCUAAAUUAGGUUAUACACAAAUUACGCCUAUUAUAAUAGUUGACCCUUAAUAGAAGAGAUUCUAACAAAUCUGGCCUACAAUUUUCAAUCACUGAUAGCUCACGCCAACAAUUCUGGCCAUCAAGUAUCAAUAACAUGUUAAUUGAUGAUUGAAUGGUCAACUAGAAGCAACUUAUUGAUCCAUUUUUGAUGAAAAUUGGAAGCUAAGAACUACAAUGAAUUGAGAUUUGAUAGAUCGAUUGAGGUCCAACAUUAACAACCCUUCAAUUGUGAGGUACUACUUGCCAAAUGCACAAGUUCACCCUUAAGUGGUUGACCUCUUUGGUCAAUCAUUGAUCAAUUAGUAUACAAGAAACAUAAAAAGGUCACUGCAUAAGUGAUCAAUAAUGGCUCUUGUUGAUUUAAAUUGAAAAGUUAAGAAUGAAAAUCCCUUUUUAAUGAUGAAAAAAACAUAUCAAUUAAAAUUGAAAACUUAAGAUUGAAAAACUCUUUCGAAUGAUGAAAACUACAUCAAAUAUAAGUUUUUAUCAUUGAAAUAAUCAAUAUUUCAUUUGCAUCUUUUGACGCAUGGUCUUUGUAGAGCCAAAUUUGGUUUGAAAGAAUUUUUCUGGGUCUGGGUCUAGAACUAGAAGUGGUAGUUAAUACCGCUACAAAUGGGCUCGCUGCUUGAGAAUUAGAGCAAGAAGCACUCUUAAGCGAGAUAAGCCGCCUUGUUUUCCACAAGAGAUCGAGGGAUAGGUUUUCCCAAGCCUCCUCAAGGAGGGCGAGUCUCAAUUCGAGAUUGAGAGAGAUCUCCUCUUUAGAUUCUUAGGAAAGUACAGAUUCACGCUUUGAAUGUAAAUCGUGAAAUGAAAAUGCAAUAUUAUUUUCUUAAAAAGUCUUUUAAACAGUUCAUUCUCUUUUAUUCAAAUAAACUUUGUUUUUAAAGACAUUUAUUCUUAUUGAUCACUACUUUGACUCAACCUUGUAUAAUCUUGAAAAAAACCUUUUUUUAAUUUUCUCUUUAGUUCCAUGACAUUAAAUUAUGUGCCUUCUUUUUUAUUGAUCCACACAACCUUUUGUCCUAUCGUACUUAAAAAGUUAUAAAUGUUGAAUUUGAGAUCUUUGUUUUGUUAUUAUUAAAAUUUAAAGCCCGUUUAGCAUUGCUUCUAGAAUAAGUGUUUUUAUUGGAAGUGUUUUAUCUUACAACACUUCUAUGAAAAACGCUUUUAUGAGAAUCUAGAAAGUGAUUCUAAUAGUGUUUUUGAUAAUAUAUCGCAUAAGUAUAAAAAUGCUUUUAAUGAUAAUAAAUUAUUGAAAAUGACAUUUAUUAAAAAAAUAUAUAUUAUAAUAACAAAAAGCUUUUAUUAUAAAAAAUAUAUAAGCAUUUAUAUUGUUAAAAAAACUCAAAAAAUUAUUUUUAUGAAAAAAAAAGUGAAAAAGAAAUAGGAGAGUGAGAAGGAAGCGAAGAGUGAAAAAGAAAUGGAGGAUAGCAAGAAAGAAUAUUUUAGGAAUAUAUGAAAAUUUUUGAAGUGUUUUUUUGAAGAAACACCUUCCAAGUGCUUUUGUAAAAAACACUUCAAGUGUUUUUCUAAGAGUCUAUUUGACAGUAAUUGUAGAAAGCGUUUUUAGCCCUUUUAACACUUGAAAAAUAAAAUUUUUCGAGUGUUAGAAAUACUAAAAAUGCUUCCUAUAAUCACUAUUGUGAAACCAAGGUUUGGUUAAUCUCAAUUUUGAUGAUAACAAAAUAAGGUUUGAAACUAAUGAUUAUAUUUCAAGUGUGAUUAGGUAAGAAGAUUUCCAAAGUGACAAUCACAAAGACAAAAUCAAGCCAAAGAGAAAUCAAUAAGAAGAAGAAGACCUCAAAGAGAAAUGUUUUUCUAGACCUAAGUUUUAUAGAAUUUCUUUAUAAGGUUGUUGGUGUACUAAGUCUUUCAUGCAUUACAUUAUUAACUUAUGCACCAAAAUCAUCCCAAAGUACUUUUGUUUUAAAUCUUUUAAAAUCAAAUGAUUUUAUGUUUUAACUAAAAUUUUGUGUCAAAUGUUUUCCAAACUUAUUUAAAAGGUUUUAAGUUAAAAAUGAUGGUUGUUGAGCCAAAAACAACUCAACUAGUUGAAUCGGAUGAGGAACCGAUUGACCAGUUCAGCUCAACCGAUCGAAGGGUGCAAAAAACUUUCUCUCUCUUCUAGAAUGUUUGUUCAACCUGUUGAGGUUGAAUCUUAACCAAUCGAGGUUGAACUCCAACUGGUCGAGGUCCGAUCCAGGUCUGGUCAAGAGGUGGUUAAGGUCCAACAAUAACCUGCCAAACAUUAAAUGUUAAUGGCUAGUCAAUCGAUCGACCCCUAUCUCGAUCGGUCGAACCUCCAAUGACUAGUUUGGUUAUUUUCUUCUAUAAAAAGGUUUUAAUCUUCAUUGUUUCAAAAGUUUAACAUUCCUAAACAUUUCUUGAAUAUAUUUGAGCCUUGAGAGAGUGUUUUUUAAGUGCACCAUUCUUCUAAAACUUGCAUAUCUUACGCAACUUUCAAUCAUAGUUUUUCUUGUACAAUUAAGCCUAAAGUUUUGUACUAGGAUUUUGUGAGAAUAUUUCCUAUCUUCAUUUAUAAAUCUUUGAGAAGAAAAGCCUAAGUGUGUGAUAUCACUUAGGGAUUCUCAAGUGUGGGGUAUCACUUGAGGGGUUAUUCAAGAGUGAGGUAUUUCUUGAAGAUUGUAAAAGGUGCUUAGAGCCAAAAGUCCAAAAGGGUGAAUUAGAACCAUAAUUCAAUUGUAUUGCUAAAGGCUUGGUUUGAAAGCCUUGAAUUAAUGGAACUUCAAACUUGGGAUUGAAGUUAGAGGAGAGUGGAUGUAGGCCGGGUUGCACCAAACUAUUAUAAAAAUCUUGUGUUUAUAUUAUCUCUUCCGUACUCUUUUACUUUAUAUGCAAGUUUUUAUAUUGUUUUAUUAUAUAUUUGCAUAUAAUUGUCUUUUGCAUUCAUAUAAUUUAAAUUUGUAAAAAUAGACCAUCAAACUAUUCACCUCCCCUCUAGGAUGAUUACUUUAGGUUAGAUUAACCUAAUUUUUCUAACAACUACCAAAUACACUCUAAAUUUUAAAAAGUGGUUUUCAAAAUAUUGUCAAACACCGAUUUUUUUUACCUUAAAAACACUUUUAAGUGUUUUUAGAACUAAAGACACUUUUAAAAAGCACUAUCAAAUGAGCUAUUAGGUCUAAUCAAACCUUGGAUUAAUAAAUGGAUUGUUAUCAUGAAAUAUCACUAAAACUCGCUAAUUUAUCGACAUUGUUUUCUUUUUUUUUUUUUUGGCGAUUUUUAAAAAAUUUCCCAUAAUAUCUUUUUUAAAGCUGGAAUUUAUCCAAUAAUUAUGUAUUAUAUUUUUUUAUUUUUUGUAUUUAUCAUUAAAAUUUUAAUUUUUUAAAGUUACAAAAAAGAAACCACUUUAUUUAUAAUUCUUUUACCAUAUUUAUAAAUUUAAUUAAGCUUAUUUUGAAAAUUUUAAAAGGGAUAAAAUUAAAAUUUAAGUUCCGUUUAUUAACAAUAAGGAAAAAAUUGUGAAGAAAUACUACUUACUCUUAAUCAUCUUUCACUUAGCUUAAUAAGCUUAUUAAUGAAUGAAAAAUGUGAUAUAAAUAUGAAGAAUGUGACUAUGGUUAAAAAAACAUGACUUAGAUAUGAAAUAUAUAUGACUAAAGCACUUGAGCAUGAAAAAUAUGUUAAUCUAAGUACAAAAAAUAUAAAUAAGGUAGAAAAAAAUAUGAUCAAUGAUACAAAGAAUAUGACUAAGAUGUUAAGGUAUAAAAAUGUAAAAAGGAUAUUAAAAUAUGAAAAAUAUAACUAAUUUAGGUACAAAAAAUAGAAUUAGGUAUAAAGAAAUAAUUAAUGUACAAAAUAUGACUAAGGAAUAAAUAUAAGUAGGGUAUGAAAAGUGCAACUAUAUACUAAAGUAUGAAAUUUGUAAUUUAAUUAUGAAAAGUCUAACCAAAAUAUAAAAUAUAUAAUCAAAGUAUAAAUGAACAAUUAAUAUCUAUAAACUAAAUAAAUAAUUUAUUAUCAUUUAACAUAAAACUUUUCUACACGUGUUAAUUUUGAUAAAUGUCAAUAAAAUAUAUUUAAUUAAUUUUAUCUUAGUCAAUUGUUUUUUUAUCAAGUUAUAAAGUUAUAUUUGUUUUUUUUAUAAAGUAAUUGAUCAAUUAAAAAAGAAUUAUGAAAAAUUUUAAAUUUCCCUGUUAUAUGUAAUUAAACUCAUUUAAACUUUUUUUUCCAUGUACAUUUAUUUUUAACCAACCUUUUAUUUAUUUAUUUAUUUUAUAUAUAUACAUAGUGCCUUCAAGACUUGAUUUCAAAAUAAAAUACAUAAAAAAAAAAGUCAUGAAAGCAAACUUUAGGAUGACAUGAUGAAAUCAUGUUUUCAACAUAUAACUUCAUAAUAACACACUAAAAUCUUAUGUUGAAAAAAUAAUUUCAUAAAAAUCAUAUUUUCAAGAAGCAACUUCAUAAUAACAUUAAAGUUAUGUUGUGAACAUAUAACUUGAUAAAGAUGUAUUCAAAUCAUGUUUUCAAGACAACUUCCGCAACAUAAUAUUAUAAUAAUUAUCUUAUCUAGAGUUAAUUUGACAUAUGAAAUGCAUGUCAUAAUUCUCUCAAUAAUUUUAAAGCCAGCAUAUUUUACAAAUAGUCUUUCCAAUUCACUCGUACAUUUGAAAAAAGAUCCUAAUAGAAAGAGCAAUACCAUCAAAUGCAACCCAUAUAUGGUGCAUAAACUUGAUCCAAGCACAGCAUGCAACACUGUGUAACGAAGAUCACAACUAAAUCAUCUUUCAGGUCUUAUCGCCCGCUAUGACUCCUAACCAGUGAGAACACACCAACGCCCACAUUAUCAGAAUGACUGCUCGUUGUGAACACACUGCUCCUUGAACCUGACAAUUGUCCACUGCUUUCAUCAACACUGACAGUGUUGGAGUAACGUAACAGAGCUUCUGCGCCCUUUUCCUCACUCAGAUGCCCACCAUCCAUUCCCACCUGCUCCGCGGUCUCCUGUAGCUGCAAUGCAAACUCGAGGCCCCAUACCACAUCGCUCAUUGAUGGCCGUUCGAUUCCACCACGAAGCAGGCAACUCACUGCAAUCUCCCCAAAUUUGUUCAGGCUCUCCGGAGCAAUCUCGCCCUUCAGAUGUGGAUCAACGAUCUGAUCAAGGGUACCUUCUUCGAAGCAACACGGGCCCCACACGGCGAGAGAUACACGAUCAUUGUCCUCCGACUUGAUCACCGGUGGCCUUGCGCACAGUACUUCAAACAGCACCACCCCAAAGGAAUACACGUCAGACUUCUCCGUCAACUGCUGCAGUCGGAAAUACUCCGGAUCCAAAUACCCCAAAGUUCCCUUCACGACCGUGCUAACGUGGUUCCGGGACAUGCCGGUGGGACCCACCUUGGACAAUCCGAAAUCGGAGACCUUGGCUACCCAUUUUUCAUCCAGUAGAAUAUUGGUGGUCUUCACGUCUCUGUGAAUGAUCAUGUGGGUCGCGCCUGUAUGAAGAUAAUGCAACCCCCGUGCUGCGCCAAGGCAAAUCUGGAGCCUCUGCUUCCAUUGCAAAGGAGGAUUUGUUCCGUAGAGAUGAUCGCAGAGAGUGCCGUUGGCCAUGUAAUCAUAAACGAGGAUCAUCUCGUGAUCUUCGCUGCAGAAGCCAAUAAGAGACACUAGAUGAAUGUGGCGAAGCAUGGAUAGCAUCUCUAUCUCCGUUUGAAACUCUCGGGCACCUUGUUUUGAUUGAGGGUUCAACCGUUUGAUUGCAACUGGGGCGGCUUUAUCGUCGAUGUAUCCUUUGUAGACGUUGCCGAAACCUCCUACUCCGAUGCGGAGGAUGAUAUCAAAAUUAUUGGUCGCCUUCUUUAACUCCGAAAGGGUGAAGCGGCGACAUAAAUCUGACGGUAAUGAAGAGGCUUUAGUCUUGGUGGAUGUUGUUGUGUUAGAUAGCGUGGUGCACGUUGACGUUUGGUAACUUUGGCCGAUCUCCUUCGCUGUCUUCCGUCUCCGGAGGACAAAAAAACCUAGCAUAGAGAGGAGAAAGACCCCACCAAGAACACUACCGGCAAUGGCAAUUGUCGAUCUUUUACUUUUCUGCCGAGACUCUGUUGGAUGAGAAGAUGGCUUGGUGGGAGCAGAGUUGGUAAUAGCUUUUGGCUCCGGGUUAGGUCCGGCAAGGUUGCCUGAGGCGCUGCUCAACUUGAAAAGUUCGAGCCCAUUUAGGAUGGCAUCAGAGUAAGCAGUUCUGGCGUCAGCGUUAGGGUGGAGAUCGAUAUACAGCUUGUGCAUACCCUGGCUCCCAUUCUGCAAAAUGACGACAUAGUCUCGGAACAAUGCACGACCAUUUCCACCACUCCAAGUAAUGACAUCUGCUUCAGUCUCAGCCGUUUGUUGAUUGAUAAAUAUAUGGAAUUCCCUAUCUUGCUUCUUUGUUAUGCGGGAUGAGACCUCACAGAAGUGAAGUCUAAUAAGAUAAUUGAAACCUAAAUAUGUUGGUAAUGUCCACGUUAGAUUGAUCUGGAUGUUGAGAGUUUUAGACGGACCCAUAGUUCUGGCUGUCUGAUAAACUAGCUCUGGAGCCGAAUAGUUAGGGAACUUGUCAGAGUACUGGAUUGGGUUGGAGGUGUUUACAGGAUCUGCGCCUCUGUAACCUAAGUAUUCAAUGUCUUCUGACCAAGUCCGGAACAUUCCAGUGUCGUUCAUGGGCGAAAUGUGCUGUCCUCCCAUGUUUAACCUGUAAACCGUCUCCAAGGCAAGGGCUUCAUCUAUGGGCAUACUUGAUGAUUGACCAAUGAUGGGGACCCAUAUAUCAUCACUACCACUGUAGUAGAGAUAGUCUGGCAUAGAGACAAUUUCAAUACCGUUGAUGAAGGCAUAACCAUCUGAAGUUUCUGAAGAUGGAAUGAAAGUUAUAUUUAACAGCUGAUCUUCUGCUAAGUUGAUGCAGAAUUCUUUGGAGAAGGCCUCUAAGCCCAGAGAUUGAGCAGUAAGGGAAGCACUGAAGUUGCUAAGGAAGGUGUACGUACUGACUGUGACAGAGAAGAAGGUUUUGGAGCCGUCGAAUUCUCCGUACAAAACUGGAUAGAAGUGCAAGCGAAUAAACUUGGGACCAGGAGGAACAGGAUCAAAUACGUAAGUGAACGGUGAUCGAAAUAUCCGAGCAGUCAUGUAGGGAGUUCUGUCAAUAGAGGGGGCUUGUUGACGUGCUUCAGAGAUAAACGAUGCAUUCUGGAGUUGUUUUGGUGCCGAUGUGAAAUUAGAUUGCUCGUCUCCCUGCCAUAGCCGGGAAUCCAAAGCCAUAGUUACACCUGGUGAGCCACAGUUGAGGGUAACGUUGUAGGAAGGUUCAUAACCAGAGAUGUGGACAGCGAGAAAACGAAGGAAGAAGAGAAAGAGGUAGAUUGGAGGAGGGAUAAAGAGUCUGCUGUUCAUGCUCUUAACAAGGCAAGAAACUAAUUGAACGUCGAUGAGAAAUACCAGGCGGAGAUGUUUCUCUUGCCCCUCUGAACAAUAGCACAGUUGAUCAUGAUUGACGCGUUUGAACAGCAAUGUAAAAAGAAAAAUGAUUUCUUUUUUUCCCUGAAAUCUUUUUGUCUGUUUUUGAAUAAAAUUCAAAUGAAUUUGCCUAGUCUUUCCCGUGAAUUGGGCUGCGUGGUGGAGACGUCAUUGAGCUUGUCCGAAGAAUCAACUUUUGCCACAAUAAUUUUGCAGAGCUGUGGGAUCAGGGAUUGCAACAUCAGAAACCGUGGCCUGAGCUGCAGUAGUAGUAAUCCUAAUCGUCCCCAAAUCUAAUGUUUCUCCAGCCGAGCUUUUCAACAAGAUUCAAUAACAAAGAGUUCUUUGAUCUUGAUCACAUGUCUCAGAAUCUUUAUAAGGGAUUGGUUUUAAUCUAUGAUUAUUUUUUAAUGAAGAAUGAUCACGCAAUAAAUUUUUAAAUAUGAAAACAGGGUUUAAUAUUACUUAUUGGUACGUGAAGAUAUGAACCUGGAUCAUGAUUUUAGCAACAUUCAUGAUCAUACGUAGGGCAUCAAAUUAAAGUAUCCACACAAAUCUCAUCUAUUUUUUCUAAGCUAUUACUCUUUAGUUUGUCCAUAUAUACUUAAUUUAUUUAAUAAUUUAAAUUUAAAUUAUUUACUUUAAUUUAUUAAAUUGGUUUACUAAAUGGCCACUUAAUAUAAAACUAUGUUUAAAAAAUGCUUCUAACAAAUUGCAAGUUGCUUGGAGCUUUAAGCUCGGAUGAAAAAGUUUAGAAGUGAGGGUCAAAAGAUGCUGGGACAUAAAAUCAAGACAAAAACUAGAUAAUGAAACUCCUAGUCACUAGCCUGGGCCCUGGGGUGAUGGUAUGUAGGGGGAUGUAGGGAUAGAGAAUCAAGACAAAACUAGAUAGUCAAGCUCCUCACUACCAGCAUUUGAUGUUUUCCUAAAUAACUUCUUUUUUUAAUUUAUAAACUACAUUUAUUAGUAAUUUUGAAAAAUGCAUCAUCAAACAUUUUUCAUACGAUUCCUCACGUGCAUAAUUAGAAGACAUUGCGGGCCCUUUGCUGGGAUUAUGAACAGGACCUUGCUUACAAUUUAGUACAAUAAUGCAAUGGCCGUUGUGGCUCCAAAAUUAAUCAUUCAUCAUUCAUGUGGUUGGCCAGCCACCAGUCUUUGUAUUUACUUUAUUAUCUUUAAUUUUGUUUCUUCAUGACAUACUUCCUCAAAUAUACCGAGAAUGAAAUGGAUUCAAUGUAAAUAUAUGCCCCCUAUGUUCUUAAUCACCUUCCUCGAUUUAUUCGUUGGAAAAAGCAGAUUUUUAGUCUACUUCGCUACAUUGAUGCAUACAUUACUGAUAUCAGAAAUUGGGAAAUUCGAAAAUAAAUCCUGUGGAAAAAACACACACAGCUUGAACUGGAAAUUGAUAAAAGAGACGGAAAGCAUGACACAGGAAUAAGAAACACUUAAGCAUACAUGGAGAAGGCUAUGGGAACUGUAUGCUUCACCCAGCCCUCGUACCGUUGCUUCUUCUUAACCAACAUUUGGUGUUGGCUUUUAACAUUCAUAUACCUGCUCGGCACCGGUCAUAAAUUUGACACGGAUCUUUUGGAUUACCGUUCCUGCGGGGCAGGCAAUCUGCAGCCUUUGUUUUGUCACAAAAGGGUUUAUCUGCCAUUAGAGCAAGGCUGAUGUCGAUUCGUUUGUUUAGAAGAAUUCUUCUGCUCUCAUGGGAAUCUAACUGGAAUUCCUCAUUUUGGUCGAGACAUUCUGCAACGGUGCCAGUGCAACCUAAGGUGGAGAUGUUGACGGACGACUCUAGUGGUUCAGCUUCACUUCGAGUUCUAAUACAGAGGAGUAUCACAAUGAACGCUGGAACUAUGAAAUGGUAGCUCCGGUGCUUCAUUUUUCUCCCCUCUCUAAGAGUGACUUCUUUUUUUAUAGAAAAUUGUAGACUGAAGAGCCACUGACUUAAAGGGUACGAGUGGAAGACCAAGACAGCCGUCCCUACCAAGGACAAUUAAAAUUGGGGCCCAUAUGAGAGGGUAAAACCACUGAUUUUGGGAGAGCUGGCAGGAUUGAUCAUUGAAAACCCUCACGGGAUGCUGAAUGAAUAAUGUCAAGUGGGAUAAUCCAAUCUUGACGUCGGUUUACUAGGUCCAUCAUGCCUAGCUAAGAUACCUACUGUGAUUAUCACAAUUGCAAUGUAGUGUGAAUCAACUUGCAUAAAAUGGUUAGUCACCUCAUAUUUUGCAACCCCAAAUACCAUAAUUCAAUGAACUUCUCAUUUUGGUGCCUCUGGAGUCUGGACCACCACAUAUGGCUGGUUUUAUAUUAUGAACAUUUUGCAUCAGAGGCAUCGGAUGAUAAUAAUAAGUUUGUCCUCUUUUGCCUUGUGCUGCAAUAGGACAUCUCUUGAUUACAUAUGUUUGGUGAGUGGCCAGGGAAAAAUUUAAUAAUGAACGAUUCAAUGCACAAGUUUCUUUCAUUUUCACUCACAUAUCAAUUGAUUUUUAAGAGAGUAGUUUUAUAAUAGAGAAUGAUCAGGCAAGUUUUUUUAAUAUGCACUACUCGUUAAUUUUUUGGUACGGGAAUAUGUGAACACAUCUCCAUGCUUGGAUCAUGAUUUUAACAUUGUGGUCAUACUUGGGUGUAUGAUAUGAUAGUACGCUCACAAAUCCGAUCAUGUGAUCAAUCUAUCUUUAGUUCGUUCAUGUAUAUCAAGCUUACUUUCUAUACAUUUGCUUAUUGUAACACCCUAACCUCAAGUUUAAGUAAAUGUAUAAUUUAAUUAUUUUAAAAAAAUAAAAUUUUGGGUUAUGUAAAUUCAAUGGAGCUUUAUAAUUUUAGGGCUUUACUUAUACGAAUUAUUUUGAACUUACAGAAAAUAAUAAUAAAUAAAAGAAGGUGGAAUAUAUAUCUUGAUAUUCUAAUCGGAGUCAGAUUAUAAAGUUUUAAAGUCGUUCUUCAAAUUAGCUUAUAUACCUUGAGGUAAACAAAUCUAAUCACCUCAAGUUUGAGUAAAUGUGUAAUUUAAUUAUUUAAGAAAAUAAAAUUUUUGAUUAUUUAAAUUCGAUCAAGCUUUAAUUUUAGGUUUUAGGCUUGAGUUGUAUGAAUUAAUUUUAUAGAAAUUAAUAAUAAAUAAAGGAGGGUGGUAAACAAACCUAACCACCUCACGUUUGAGUAAAUAUUUAAUUAAUUAUUUAAAAAUAAAUAAAAUUCUGAAUUAUUUAAAUUCGACCAAGCUUUAAUUUUAGGCUUUGGGUUUGAGUUAUAUGAAUUAAUUUUGAGCUUAAAUAAAAUUCUGGAUUAUUUAAAUUCGAUCGAGCUUUAAUUUUAGAUAUAUCUUGAUAUUCUAUAUAGGAGUUAGAUUUGAAGCCGUUCUUCAGAUCAGUUUAUAUACCAGAUAUAGGUGGUGUAUGCAUCGCAUGCAGGGAGUUUAUUCUAUAUUGCAAUGCUAUUGUGAUGGGCAAAAGCGUUUGAAGAGCCUAGGUUUGAACUUGCUUCAUGCGGUCUAGGGAGGAGAUUUUAGGGGGUUCUAAUUUUUAUGCCAUUUAAUAGCCAUAUUGGCAUGACCAACAAAGUAUGUACUUUAUGCUGCCAAUGACAUGCAUGAAGAAGAAUAAGAAUAGUACAUGAAAAGGAGUAUUGUAAUAAAAUAGUGAUAUAAUAACAAGCUAAUUGUUAAAUGAAUUAAGAGUAUACAUCACUAAUUUUGUAGACAAGCUAAUUUAGUGAAUUAAAUUAUCACUAAAUUGGUCUUCGCAAUUAUGAAUUUUCAAUUUAACAAAAUUUGAGUUCGACAAAUGAUGAGUUACACACACAUUUGAUAUGUAGUAUAUAUUCAAAAGGUGACACAUGAUAAAAUUUGAAAGGUUAGAAAAUUUAGCUUUACAAAUAAAAUCAAAAUUUCUAAUUAAAAUUAAAAGAGAAUAAAAAAAAUUCUUUGUUGAUAGAUUUCUAAAAGAAAUAAAUUUUCCAAUUGAAAUCAAAAGAGAAUUUUUUAAAAAAAUUCUCUUGUUGACAAUUUUCCUUAAUGAAAGAGACAAGUUGCUAAAAAUCAAGGAAUAAAAUUCUUUGAAUUAAGCAAACUAAAUAUUAGGGAUUCCAAAUUUAAUUCCUCAAUUUCACCUAUAAAUAAUAGUAAUUUCCUUCAAUGAGGAUGACUUUGGAUUUCACACGGGAAGAAAGGUUUCACAAAGAAGAAAAGACUUUACAAAAUCUCCUUACAAACACGUGUUUUUUGCUUUUCAAAAAAUCAUUUGGGAAUAAGUCAUCUUAGGUUCUCGAUUAACUUUCAAAACAAAAAAACAUCUUCAAUGUCAAUAUAUGUAAAAAAAAAACAAAAAAGUGUGACAUUUCCUAGGAUUUAAUUCCAUGCAUAAUACAUUUGAUCCUUCUUAAUAAGUUGUUUUUCCUAAUUAAGCUAUCAAACUUGUAGUGUUUGUUUUUUUUUAUUUAAUUCUAAAUAGACUUUAAUGCUUAAUAGUGUUAAGUAUUAGAGUGUUUGUAUUUUUAAUAUUUUAUUUAUAUUAAACAUUAAAAAGUAAAGAAAAACCAAAACAAUGCUUUUUCUAUUUAGAAAAAGUCAAAUAUUUUAGUUUUUUCCAGUCAUGAAAAAGUUUAUAAGAAGUUAUGAAAAAAUAGAAAAACAAACAACUUAAAGUUUGAAAGCUAGAAAAUUGCUUUUAGCAAAAAAUUGAAAAAACAAAUGCCCUCACUCUUCUCUAUUAUUUUACUUUUCAAGUAUAAAUGAUAUCAACGAGACAUUUAGAAUAGUGGUAUUUUAUUGAGAUCACAAACAAGUUAAAGGUAUUCCCAAGUUAUUUAUUUGAAAUAAAAUUCAUGUUUGUUAAAUAAAAUGAAAAAAAAAUUCGAUUGAUGAGAAAAUUAUGAAGCUAGGUGAGAUGUGUGUGAGAGUUAUUGUUUAUGUGUAUAAUAAUGAUAUAUUGUUUGAGACAUAAAGAAAUGAAAACACAAGACUACAUAAUUAAGUUGAAUAUUUGUUAAGGAGAAUAAUCGCAAUACAAAAAAUCUUAAGUAAUAUUGAGAAAAUAACUCAAAAUCAACAUGAGUAUACAACUACAAAGACUACAUUGUAGAUUGGAGUUAGAAUGAAUAAGAAUACUCUUAGUAACUCACAAGAGAAAACACAAAGCUAUAGAUGGUUUUGGGAGCGUGUUGAGUAAAUAUCAAACUAAAAAGUAAAAUUGUGAUAUUUAAAAACGGAGUAUUAAAUUGGGAUGGUAUAGGAAAUAAAUUUUUAUUAUAAUAUGGAAUUUAAUUAAAUUAGUUAAAAAAAAAAUACAAACAUGUGGUAGGGCAUUUUUAGGAAUUAAUUUUAAUUGAAUAGUUGUUAAAGAACGAAAUAAUAAUAAUAAUAAUUAUAAUAAUAAUAUUAAAAAAUAAAUAAAAAAGAGGACGGAUCAACAUCACUUAAGGAAAAAAAAAAGAAAGAAGGGGAGACAAAUGGAGGUGGAUGACAAAAAGAGAGAAAGGAAAGGUGAGAAAAGAAAAAACAUAAAUGAAAAGAGGCAAAGCAUACCAUGGGUCUUCAGAAGUCAUUUCACAUGAAAUUCUAGGUGAACAUUCUACUUUGUUAAAGUACUCGUUUUUAGGUAGUUUGUUAAGGAUUUGUUAGUUUUUCCUAUUAAUAAGGGAUGUGCUUUUAGGUUUAUCUAUUCUUUAGUUAUAAACCAAGUUUCUAGGACUGUUAGAUGUGGAUUACUUCCAGCUAUAUUUGAGUUAUCUUGUAAGGCUAUUUAUAAGCCAGUAAAAUUCUAAUUCAAUUUGAAGAUUUCUUAACAUUUGGUAUCAGAGCAAAAGGAGUAGAAACCAGCAAUCACCGGGCCUGAUCAAAACCAGCAGAAACCUGAGAAGUAGCAGUCUUCUAAGAGUGUAGCAGUAAGGAUGGCAACUGAGAGUAACUUUGUGCAACCAGCAAUUCCAAAACUUGAUGCACACUAUGAUCAUUGGUGUAUGCUUAUGGAGAAUUUUUUGCGCUCGAAGGAAUAUUGGAACCUGAUAGAACAAGGGAUCCUUACAGCAGAAGCAGAGGUAGAACUCACUAAAGGGCAAAAGAAGGUGAUUGAAGAUGCAAAACUGAAGGAUUUGAAGGUUAAAAAUUAUCUCUUCCAAGCCAUUGAUCGAUCAGUCCUAGAAACCAUUCUGAACAAAGAUACAUCAAAGAGCAUUUGGGACUCUUUGAAGCAGAAGUACCAGGGGACGGAACGAGUGCAGCGCGCACAACAACAAGCUCUUCGAAAGGAACUUGAGAUGCUCAACAUGAAGGUAGGAGAAUCUGUGAAUGAGUACUUUGCUCGAACCCUUACUAUAGCCAACAAAAUGAGGGUUCAUGGUGAGAAAAUGGAGGAUGUUGUGGUCAUUGAAAAGAUUCUAAGAUCUAUGACUCCUAAAUUCGACUAUGUUGUGUGCUCUAUCGAGGAGUCUAAUGAUCUAGACACCUUAUCCAUUGAUGUGAUACAAAGCAGUCUUUUGGUGCAUGAACAACGCAUGAAUGGCCAUCUUNNNNNNNNNNNNNNNNNNNNNNNNNNNNNNNNNNNNNNNNNNNNNNNNNNNNNNNNNNNNNNNNNNNNNNNNNNNNNNNNNNNNNNNNNNNNNNNNNNNNNNNNNNNNNNNNNNNNNNNNNNNNNNNNNNNNNNNNNNNNNNNNNNNNNNNNNNNNNNNNNNNNNNNNNNNNNNNNNNNNNNNNNNNNNNNNNNNNNNNNNNNNNNNNNNNNNNNNNNNNNNNNNNNNNNNNNNNNNNNNNNNNNNNNNNNNNNNNNNNNNNNNNNNNNNNNNNNNNNNNNNNNNNNNNNNNNNNNNNNNNNNNNNNNNNNNNNNNNNNNNNNNNNNNNNNNNNNNNNNNNNNNNNNNNNNNNNNNNNNNNNNNNNNNNNNNNNNNNNNNNNNNNNNNNNNNNNNNNNNNNNNNNNNNNNNNNNNNNNNNNNNNNNNNNNNNNNNNNNNNNNNNNNNNNNNNNNNNNNNNNNNNNNNNNNNNNNNNNNNNNNNNNNNNNNNNNNNNNNNNNNNNNNNNNNNNNNNNNNNNNNNNNNNNNNNNNNNNNNNNNNNNNNNNNNNNNNNNNNNNNNNNNNNNNNNNNNNNNNNNNNNNNNNNNNNNNNNNNNNNNNNNNNNNNNNNNNNNNNNNNNNNNNNNNNNNNNNNNNNNNNNNNNNNNNNNNNNNNNNNNNNNNNNNNNNNNNNNNNNNNNNNNNNNNNNNNNNNNNNNNNNNNNNNNNNNNNNNNNNNNNNNNNNNNNNNNNNNNNNNNNNNNNNNNNNNNNNNNNNNNNNNNNNNNNNNNNNNNNNNNNNNNNNNNNNNNNNNNNNNNNNNNNNNNNNNNNNNNNNNNNNNNNNNNNNNNNNNNNNNNNNNNNNNNNNNNNNNNNNNNNNNNNNNNNNNNNNNNNNNNNNNNNNNNNNNNNNNNNNNNNNNNNNNNNNNNNNNNNNNNNNNNNNNNNNNNNNNNNNNNNNNNNNNNNNNNNNNNNNNNNNNNNNNNNNNNNNNNNNNNNNNNNNNNNNNNNNNNNNNNNNNNNNNNNNNNNNNNNNNNNNNNNNNNNNNNNNNNNNNNNNNNNNNNNNNNNNNNNNNNNNNNNNNNNNNNNNNNNNNNNNNNNNNNNNNNNNNNNNNNNNNNNNNNNNNNNNNNNNNNNNNNNNNNNNNNNNNNNNNNNNNNNNNNNNNNNNNNNNNNNNNNNNNNNNNNNNNNNNNNNNNNNNNNNNNNNNNNNNNNNNNNNNNNNNNNNNNNNNNNNNNNNNNNNNNNNNNNNNNNNNNNNNNNNNNNNNNNNNNNNNNNNNNNNNNNNNNNNNNNNNNNNNNNNNNNNNNNNNNNNNNNNNNNNNNNNNNNNNNNNNNNNNNNNNNNNNNNNNNNNNNNNNNNNNNNNNNNNNNNNNNNNNNNNNNNNNNNNNNNNNNNNNNNNNNNNNNNNNNNNNNNNNNNNNNNNNNNNNNNNNNNNNNNNNNNNNNNNNNNNNNNNNNNNNNNNNNNNNNNNNNNNNNNNNNNNNNNNNNNNNNNNNNNNNNNNNNNNNNNNNNNNNNNNNNNNNNNNNNNNNNNNNNNNNNNNNNNNNNNNNNNNNNNNNNNNNNNNNNNNNNNNNNNNNNNNNNNNNNNNNNNNNNNNNNNNNNNNNNNNNNNNNNNNNNNNNNNNNNNNNNNNNNNNNNNNNNNNNNNNNNNNNNNNNNNNNNNNNNNNNNNNNNNNNNNNNNNNNNNNNNNNNNNNNNNNNNNNNNNNNNNNNNNNNNNNNNNNNNNNNNNNNNNNNNNNNNNNNNNNNNNNNNNNNNNNNNNNNNNNNNNNNNNNNNNNNNNNNNNNNNNNNNNNNNNNNNNNNNNNNNNNNNNNNNNNNNNNNNNNNNNNNNNNNNNNNNNNNNNNNNNNNNNNNNNNNNNNNNNNNNNNNNNNNNNNNNNNNNNNNNNNNNNNNNNNNNNNNNNNNNNNNNNNNNNNNNNNNNNNNNNNNNNNNNNNNNNNNNNNNNNNNNNNNNNNNNNNNNNNNNNNNNNNNNNNNNNNNNNNNNNNNNNNNNNNNNNNNNNNNNNNNNNNNNNNNNNNNNNNNNNNNNNNNNNNNNNNNNNNNNNNNNNNNNNNNNNNNNNNNNNNNNNNNNNNNNNNNNNNNNNNNNNNNNNNNNNNNNNNNNNNNNNNNNNNNNNNNNNNNNNNNNNNNNNNNNNNNNNNNNNNNNNNNNNNNNNNNNNNNNNNNNNNNNNNNNNNNNNNNNNNNNNNNNNNNNNNNNNNNNNNNNNNNNNNNNNNNNNNNNNNNNNNNNNNNNNNNNNNNNNNNNNNNNNNNNNNNNNNNNNNNNNNNNNNNNNNNNNNNNNNNNNNNNNNNNNNNNNNNNNNNNNNNNNNNNNNNNNNNNNNNNNNNNNNNNNNNNNNNNNNNNNNNNNNNNNNNNNNNNNNNNNNNNNNNNNNNNNNNNNNNNNNNNNNNNNNNNNNNNNNNNNNNNNNNNNNNNNNNNNNNNNNNNNNNNNNNNNNNNNNNNNNNNNNNNNNNNNNNNNNNNNNNNNNNNNNNNNNNNNNNNNNNNNNNNNNNNNNNNNNNNNNNNNNNNNNNNNNNNNNNNNNNNNNNNNNNNNNNNNNNNNNNNNNNNNNNNNNNNNNNNNNNNNNNNNNNNNNNNNNNNNNNNNNNNNNNNNNNNNNNNNNNNNNNNNNNNNNNNNNNNNNNNNNNNNNNNNNNNNNNNNNNNNNNNNNNNNNNNNNNNNNNNNNNNNNNNNNNNNNNNNNNNNNNNNNNNNNNNNNNNNNNNNNNNNNNNNNNNNNNNNNNNNNNNNNNNNNNNNNNNNNNNNNNNNNNNNNNNNNNNNNNNNNNNNNNNNNNNNNNNNNNNNNNNNNNNNNGGCUGAGAGAUUACGAAAGUGGAAAAGGUUUACCUGAGGAAGAAGACACUACAUACCAAGCUUUGUUUGUCGGCAAUGAUCCAGUCUCCUUUGGCGAUGCUGUGAAAAGUAUGAAAUGGAGGAAAACAAUGGAUGCAGAGAUAGAAGCCAUAGAGAGGAAUGAUACAUGGGAGUUGACAGAUUUACCUAUUGAAGCAAAGAAAGUUGGGGUAAAAUGGAUUUACAAGACAAAGUUUAAUGAGAAUGGAGAAGUGGAUAAGUACAAGGCUCGGUUGGUAGCAAAGGGUUAUACUCAAGAACAUGGGGUGGAUUAUACUGAGGUUUUUGCACCUGUAGCUUGAUUAGAUACAAUUCGAGUGGUGAUUUCUCCUGCAGCUCUAAAGGAGUGGACAAUCUACCAGUUAGAUGUAAAGUCAGCCUUCUUACAUGGUGAACUAAGCGAAGAAGUCUUUGUCGAACAAUCUCCUGGCUAUGAACAGAAGGGUAAUGAGCAGAAGGUGUACAAAUUGAAAAAGGCUUUGUAUGGACUUAAACAAGCUCCGCGAGCUUGGUAUAGUCGUAUAGAGUCCUAUUUUAUGAAGGAAGGAUUUAAAAAAUGCCACUAUGAGCAUACUUUAUUCAUCAAGACUGGAAAAUGAGGUAAGAUUUUGAUUGUGUGUCUCUAUGUGGAUGAUCUUAUUUUUACUGGGAAUGAUGAAAUUAUGUUUGCUGAGUUUAAGAAAUCCAUGAUGCUUGAAUUUGAUAUGACUGAUCUUGGAAAAAUGAGAUAUUUUCUUGGCAUUGAGGUGAUGCAAAGAUCAGAUGGCAUCUUUAUUAAUCAGAAGAAAUACACACAAGAGGUGUUGGAAAGGUUCAACAUGGACAAGUGCAAUCCAGUUCAUAAUCCUAUGGUUCCUGGAUUCAAGCUUACGAAAAAUGGAGAUGGAGUGAGGGUUGACGGUACGUUCUAUAAGAAGAUUGUAGGAAGUCUUAUGUAUUUGACUACCACUCGACCAGAUGUUAUGUUUGUGGUGAGUCUCAUCAGCAGAUUUAUGGACUAUCCUACUGAACUUCAUUUGUAAUCAGCAAAGAGGAUACUAAGGUACUUGAAAGGUACCAUUGAUUUUGGUGUGUUCUACAAGAAGGGUGGAAAUGAGGAAUUGAUUGCCUACACAGAUAGUGAUUAUGCUGGGGAUUUAGAUGAUAGGAAAAACACUUUAGGUUAUGUGUUUAUGUUGAGCUCAGGAGCAGUGUCUUGGUCCUCAAAGAAGCAACCUGUGGUCUCUUUGUCCACUACUGAAGCUGAGUUUAUUGCUGCAACUUCUUGUGCCUGUCAAGCAAUAUGGUUAAGAAGGAUAUUGGAAGGUCUCAACCAUGCUCAACAUGAUUCUACAACAGUUUAUUGUGAUAACAGUUCAACAAUCAAGCUUUCUAAGAAUCUAGUGAUGCAUGGUCGCUGCAAACACAUUGAUGUUCGUUUUCAUUUCCUUCGUGAGCUUACAAAAGAUGGAACUGUAGAGAUGGUUCAUUGUCAUACGCAGGAGCAAGUUGCAGAUAUAAUGACUAAACCUCUAAAGCUUGAUGCAUUCUUGAAAUUACGUGAUUUGUUGGGUGUUUGUUUGGAUCCUGGAGUAAACUGAUUGCUAAAGCAUUCAGUUUAAGGGAGGAUGUUAAAGUACUCGUUUUUAGGUAGUUUGUUAGGGAUUUGUUAGUUUUUCCUAUUAAUAAGGGAUGUGCUUUUAGGUUUAUCUAUUCUUUAGUUAUAAACCAAGUUUCUAGGAUUGUUAGAUGUGGAUUACUUCCAGCUCUAUUUGAGUUAUCUUGUAAGGCUAUUUAUAAGCCAGUAAAAUUCUAAUUCAAUUUGAAGAUUUCUUAACAUACUUUACAUGGGAAACAUCCCCUAUGAAGUUUGAAUUCAAAGUUAUUGGUAUUUGGUAGAGUGGUUUGUUCUCAAAAAAACUUUAGUUUAAUAUAUUUUAGCAUGAAAUUUUGUAGUGAUGAUAUUAUGAAGAUAUUUUGUAAGUGAUUUUAUAUAUAGGAUAAUGUUUUAGUUUUUUUUCUUUUUAGAAAUUAUUUGAUUUUUAAUGAGAAUUUUGUCGGAGAAAAAUUCGGUAAUCAUUUGCUAAUGACAAAGGUCAUGUGAAUCAAAGAGAAAUACUUAUGUGAAGUUAAAUAGUUGUAUGAAAUGAAAAUGAGAAUAAGAAAACACUAGAAAAAGCAAAAUUGAAAAGAAAAGAAAAUGAAAAAUGAAAGGAUCCAAAAAGGGAGGACUAAGAAAGAAGUGAGAUUUCUAGUAUAAAAUAUACAAAAUUUUAUUUAGGAAGACUCCAAAUGACGAAUAUACUUGGGCAUUGAUGCAUAUCCUUUAAUGAAAGUCAAAGACUGGUAGUGUAGUACUUGAUUAUGUAUAAACAUAUACAUUAUGUUUCCAUCUUGAAGAAAAAUUUAUAUCAUUUGAUUGAAUGACAUCAAUUAUAUAUUUGGUUUAAUCAAAUUUAUGAUUGAAUAGAUUAUUAGAAAAUAACAUGAUUUAUUAAUUUAUUUUGUAUAAGAAGAUUAAAAAUAUUUAAUAUGAUAUACAUGAUUGAAAUAAGAAAAACCAUAAUUUAGGUUGACUUAAUUUUGUAUGGUUAAAGUUUCAUUUAAUAUUGUAUAAUAUAAAUAAAAUAUUAUGUUUUGGCAUAUGAUUGUAUUGUAUUGACAUAAAUUUUUUAACUCUUUGGGUGCAAGAAACCCUAUUGAGUAACAUGGAAAUGUACAUCCUUUUUCCCUAAUAUUUUUAUAUAGAUAUAGUUUAUCAAAAACUACAAGAAGAUCAAAGAAUUUGGGUGCAAUGCACUUGGUUGAGCAACAUGGAAAUACUCAUUCCCUUUUUCUUAAGAUUUUUAGAUAUAGAUAUAAUUUAUAAAAAACCACAAUAAGAUCAAUGAGAGAUUUGGAAAGUCCGUAGAGGGGAAGGAACAAUUUAAAUAAUUGUUUUGAAUUUAUAUUCACUUUUAUGACAUGUACUAAUAUGAGUCAUAUGAUUAUCAUAAUUUGAACGAUAUUUUGUUAUUUUGUAAAGAAUUAGUGGAAAUAUUUUAUCAUAUGAAUUAUCAUAGAAAUUUUGAUUAAUCACAUAAGAUAGUGAGAUGAUUAGUAGAUUUAUUAUACUCCUAAGUAGGUAAUGGUGAGUCUACAAAAAUAAAAAAAAAAUUAUACAUGAAAUCCUAAUUUAAUAUAUUUAUUUUAAAUUACAUUUUAAUUUAUUUAAGAAAGUUAAGUUAUUCGUUUGACUAACCAAUAACUUGAAUAAGAGUAACACGUAAGAUUAAAUCUUUGACUUGGAAUCACGAGUCACCUAAAUUUCGAGUCAUCACAAAAAGAGAAAAAAACAUAUACCUAGAAUUAUGAGGUCAAAAUUUUAAACAUCCAUUUAAAAAAAUUGAAGUAUGAGUCUUGUAGUUUAGGAGAUUUUAUAAAAUUGAUUAGCCUUUUGGGUACUUAUAAACUUGCUGUAACCCUUUCCGAGCGUUUUCCCCUGCGAAUCCAAUUUGUUGUAGAUGUGCUGCGGGCUGAUAUAACCCCAACAAUAAUCUGUAAGGGCUUGUUUUGGGGUUCGCAAUACAACUCCUCUCCUGUCUGAUUGGGCUUGCCUCGCUUUAGCACAACAAAACUUUUAUGGGUUGGGUUUUGGGUUAUGCAUGACUCUCUCAUCUGACUUCUGACAUCAAUUUCUCUCAAUGCCCAUGACAGAUAGACAAUGGUAAUCUAAGGGUACAGUAAAAAGACAAAUUAGCAUAAUGUUGUGUACUGACCAUUCUUAUUUGUUGAAAGUGAUGUUUUUAUUUGGUUAUACGAACGGCUUUUGAAUUUAUUGGUUGUAUAUAUACACUUCAUUUUCAAAAUAUCGUUCUGAAUUUAUACUAAAAACGCCAUUUCACAACUACGUUUUUAUCAACUUAAUUUACACGCCACAAAAGAAACAGAAGUCCCAACAGAAAAAAGCAGGAGCCUAAGACCUCAGAAAACAUUCGCCGAUGUUCGCAGUAUAGUGGUACCUUCAUUUUGCGCUUGUUCAUGAUCGUGUGGCACCCUCUGGUAUUCAGAAGGAGAUGGUCUAGGUCGUUUGAUUCCAGCCUUGUCGCUUAAAAAUCUGAUGAGUACUUUGGGAGACAUACUUCUCUGCCAAAGGGCAGGGCAUGUGUAUGCCAGACUUUCUGCUCUUGAUGGUAUUGACAAGAGCUCAAUUUCUCUUGGACACAAGCAUACCGUCUCAUCAAGUUUUUCACUGUAAGCUCCACCAGGCUUGCUAUCAAAUUCCCCAUCAUCCGCGCUCUGCUGCAACUCCAGAGCUCGCACAAGGUUGUUCAAUACAUGGGCCAUUUUGGGGCGUUUAAGUCUUUGAUCCAGCACGCAUCUAUAAGCUAUACUGGCGAACACCUUCAAACUUUCUGGCGCAAUCUUUCCCAUCAAAUAAGGGUCAAUGAUCUGUUCGAGGGUUCCCUUCUUUACACAGUGCUUGGCCCACUGUACAAGACUUUGCUGCUCCUCUUCAAGCUCCAUAUCCACAGCCGGUCUCGCGCACAGCACUUCAAACAACACCACCCCAAAUGCAUAAACAUCAGAUUUUUCUGUCAGUUUCUGGCUCCAAAAGUAUUCUGGAUCUAAAUAUCCGAAGGUACCCUUGACAUCCGUAGUUAUGUGGCUUUUUGACAUAUUAGCCGCCCCCACCUUACACAACCCAAAAUCAGAAACCUUGGCCACCCACUUCUCAUCUAACAAAAUAUUUGUGGUCUUGAUGUCACGGUGAAUGAUUUUGUGCUCCGAGCCUUGAUGUAGGUGCUUCAGUCCCCGAGCAGCACCAAUGCAGAUCUCGAGCCUCUGCUUCCAUGUCAAUGGAGCCUUAUCUGUUUUAUAAAGAUGAUCACGGAGGCUUCCUUGGGCCAUAUAGUCGUAUACGAGGAUCAUCGCUUGGGGAUGGUUGCAAUAGCCUAUAAGAGAGACUAGAUGGAGAUGACGGAGCCUUGAUAGCAUAUCUAUCUCCGUCCAGAACUCAUGGGCUCCUUGCUCUGAUGUCGGUUCCAACCCUUUAAUAGCAACAGGAGUUUCUCCCCCAUUGAUGUAACCUUUGAAUACUCUACCAAAGCCACCCUCUCCAAUUACCAGAGCUUUAUUAAAAUUAUUGGUGGCAGCUCGAAUCUCGGCGAGUGAAAAUUGGCGACACUGUUCUUUCGGCACCGAAAGCACUUCUCUCUUUUUGCUCUUUCCCAGCCUCCGCCAACAGAGUACAAUGACAACUAUUAUAGAGAGUAGAGCUACACCACCUAGUGCACUCCAACCAAUGGCAAUGAAUCGACUUGAAUGCCAAAAAAUUGCUGGCUGUGGUGCUGGAAAGGGGACGGGUACAGGACUGGGUCUGGGAAGGCUCCCAUCAGAUUUCUUUAUUUUGAAGAUCUCCAACCCGUUUAGUAUUGCUUCGGAAUACCGAGUCUUUGAAUCAGAAUUAGGAAGCAAAGCUAUAACGAGGUGAGGAUUACCCUUCUGAAUAAACACAACAUAAUCUCUAUAGAUCGGAAUUCCAUUGCCGCCGCUCCAAGUGAUUACAUCAGCAUUAGCCUCCGCUGUCUCAUUGUUUAUAUAGAUGUGGAACUUCCUAUUGCCGCUCUUCUUUGUCUGACCCUGAAACGCGCAGAAAUGGAGCCUGACAAGGUACUUAAAUCCAGGAUCCACAGGGAGUUUCCAUGUUAGGUUGUACCUCAUGUUCACUUCUUUAUCCAUGCCCACCGACCGCGCCGUCCGGUAGACUUGGGCAGGUGCGAUAUAAUUGGGUAUCCUUGUGGAUCUGAUCCUCUGAGUAGUGUUAACCAGGACACCACCUGAUUCUAACAAGUAAUUGGUGUCUUCCAACCAGCUUCUGAACAUGCCAGAAUCAUUAUUUGGUGAAAUAUAGCUCCCGCCAACGUUUAAUCGGUGAACUGCCUCAAGAGCAGUGUUCUUCUUGAUAAGGAAAUCAUGCUGAUGGCCUGAGGAAGAGACGUCAAUAUCCCUGGAGCGAGGGUAAUAAAGAUUGGCUGGCAUAGACACAAUCUCAAUGCCAUUGAUAAACGCAAAAGCAUCUUUCCGGGCAUUUGAAGAGGGAAGAAAAGUAAUGUUGAUGGAUCUCUGAUUGUCAUUUAUGUUUACAGAGAACUCUUUAACCAAAACUUUUACCCCCAAAGCAUCAGCAGUGUGAGAAGGACUGAAGUUGCUAAGGAGAGUAUAAGGACCGGCUUUUACAGAGAAGAAGGCCUCAGACCUCUCGAAACCUGGGAACGAAGCUGGGUAAAAGUGCAAGCGUAUGAAUUUCUGGCCUGGCUUGACAUGAAACGUGUAGGUAAAUUGAGAGCGAAAGAACCGAACAGUCAUGUAGGGAACGGGAUCGAUGGAGAAGCCAUGGCUAUGAGGGGCUUUGGCAGAUACUGAUGUCUGGUUUAAAAGCCGUGAUGACGUGAAUUUUGAGCCAACAUCUCCCAUCCAUCCUCGGUCAUCCAGCGCUGUCGAGUUGCCGAAGCUGCCACAAUUCAGGAGGAUGAUGUCGGUGGGGUAGUACCGAGAUGGCGACAAAUCAGAGGUUGCUGCAAUUGCUAGAUGGCCAUGGAAGAAGGAGGAGUAAACAAAGGUGAGAAUGACCAGGUAUCUGCAUGAGUUCUUCUGCAUGGGAGCAAUCACGUGCUGUAAGAACAUCAAGAAGAUGGGAAAAAACUGCUUUGAAUGCAAUUGCUUCUGCAGAUUUCAUGUAAGGGCGCUUAGAAGUAGUGUAGGACUGUCCGGCAGCAGCGCGUGAGGGUGGCGUGUGGGGACCAGAGGCCACUAUUGGGUCUCAGGUAAUAGGUCCCACUUACUGCACUGAUUCAAAGAAAUUCACUCUCGUGCAAGUGGUUGGAAGUCAGUGACAUUCACCUUCGUCAAGCCGCGUCCACCUUUAAUGCUUCGUUACGAAGACUUUGUUGGAUGGCUGCUUUCAAGUUUUUACAAUCUUCAUCAUCCAAAAUAUGUUAUAAAAUUUACGUUAUUGGAGAAGAGAUAAUUAAUUUUAUCAAUAUAAAAAUAAUAAAUAAAUAAAAAUAAAUGAAUUAAAAUCUAAAAAUAUAUGAUCAAAAUAUAAAGAAAUAUGAGAAACUUGAUACAAAUUAAUGAGAUUUAAUCAUACGGUAUAAUUUCCAAUUUCCAAAUAAAAAGCAUGCUUUUAAAAUUUGAUUUUUGAAUCAACGGCAAUUAUUGUAUACAUAACAUGUCAGUGGAGCAGUCAGAGAAGCGAAAUAAAUUCCACCACGUGCACUCGUCAAAAUUUGGACGCGGACUAAAUAGGACUAAUAAAAUAGCAUAAUGCUAAUACCAACUUCCUCACUUCAGAAGUCAAUGAAAGGAAGCAGUGGACUGCAGAAAAACUUUACAUAGCUUUUAUCUUUUGGGACUGGUAUCUCAUUUUCCUCAAUUUAUAAAUCACAAUAUAUUUAAGCAAUUUCAUUCCAUUUAUAAGCAACUAUUUUUUUUUUUUUUUUUGUCUACGAUGGAGCGCUUCUCAUUAUUAAUUAACGACCAACUAUAAAUUAAACCAAAACUCUAAAUUACUUUCUCUCGUUCCCUUGCUGUUGAACCACGUACCACUAAUUUUACAUUAGCCUGACAUUUUAUUACUCAAAAUACGAGAAACCUCUUAUUUUCUUUGAAAAGAAUAAGGAAAAAGAGGAAUAAGAGAGUUGUUGAAGUUAGGUAGACAUUUUAAUUUAUUAUUACUAAAAAUUUGGACGUGUGAGAAGUAAUAGCAAAACAGAAACGUGGCUUAGACCAAACUUUUCCUGGGUUGAAGGAAUAAAGGAAAAGGAGCCCCAGUGCUUUAUCGUUUGCGUUGUCAUUUCGAUGGCUCAACCCUCGUGUCCGAAAAAUGGAAAAAAUGACACUGAUGUUUUCUGUAGCAUAUGAACCUUUACUUUAGUUUAAUUUACUUUUCUUUGGAGCAGAAUAAUUAAAGGCGAAGCGUCGUGGACACUCAUCUGUUUUAGAUGAGGAUAAAAUGGAUUCAAUUUGAUUAUUUGAGUAAAAAGAGCAUAUCUCGUGCGUCAUGCACGUUGUGAAUGAUCAUUGCGUGCCCUUUUCUCUGACCAGCUGAUUAAUCUUAGACAAAGCAGUCAUGCGUCUACAUUAAGCUGUUGCUAUCAAUGUCACUGCAACCGUGUAAUUAUAUAUAAGUUUAAUAGUUGGGAUGUACCACUUUGUAACACCCUAUACCCCAAAGGUAAGGGUAAUCUUGUGGAAUCUGCAAAUCCUAACAUAAAGUUUAAAUAUACCAAAAUGACUAAAUAAUGAAAACCAUAGGUUCUCAUUUAAGAGUGAGUUCAUAAAGCUAAAGCUAUCUUUUCAAGAUAAAAGUUUCAUAUUUCACAUAAUUAUGAAAUAUUAAUUCAGUUUAAAUUAACUUGAUAUUUUAUUUUAUUUUAUAAAUCUAUAUUCUCUGAAUGCAGUUUAAAAAAAUUUGUAACUCCCCAUUCAUGAUUUAAAAUUGUAACUUCUUUCUGUUUUUUUUUUCCUCUUUAAAAAGGAUUUUAGUCCUCUAAACUUUGCAUACCUGAAAUAAAACAAAAAAAAAAAAAAAAAAGAUGUGGAUAUCCUCAAUAUAUAACAAGGCUAAUUUGUCUAAGGACUAAGUAGUUCAAAUAGGCCAAAAGUAAGCUAAUUUAGUCAAUCUAUCAACAAUCACCCACACAACAGUACUACCAACCACAAAUUUAGGAAGACUAGAAACAAAAUCCAUUGUAAUAUGCUCUCACUUCCACUUAGGAAUGAGGAGUGGUUGUAACAUACUAGAUGGACGUUGAUGCUCAGCUUUAACCUGUUGACAAACCAAACAUUGGGCAACAAAUUGAGUGACAUCACGUUUCAAACUAGGCCACCUGCAAAGUUGUCUCAAAUCCUGAUACAUUUUGGUCUUACCAAGGUGGAUUACAAACUUGUAGGAGUGAGCUUCUUUCAAAAGUUCCUUCAUGAGAUUUCCAACUUGGGGCACAUACAAACGAGUUCUAAAUCUCAAUAUUUCAUCAUCCGAAAGUACAAAGUUAGACUUAGUUCCUCUUUUAACCUAUGAACCAUCUCUUUGUAAGGACUUGAUCCUCUCAAACAAAUUUGGUUGAACCUUAAGAUGAGCAAAUAAUACUCCAAACUAUGAAACUUCAAAUUGAAUUGACAAUUUAUUAAAUUCAAAUAACAUAUAUGGUAGUUUAACCCUUAAGGCUACUAAAGAUUCAGAAGGCUUCUUAUUUAAAGCAUUUGCUACUACAUUCGCCUUACCAAGAUGAUACAAAAUAGAGCAUUUAUAGUCCUUGAGGAGUUCAAGCUACUUUCUCUAUCUCAUAUUCAAUUCUUUUUGAGAAAGAAAAUAUUUCAGGCUUUUAUGAUUAGUAUAGAUCUCAGAUGUCUCACCAUAUAAAUAAUGUCUCCAUAUCUUUAGAGCAAAAAUCACUGCUACUAAUUCCAUAUCAUGAGUAGGAUAGUUUCGCUCAUAGGGUUUCAGUUGCCUAGAAGCAUAAGCUAUGACUUUCCCAUUCUGCAUAAGAACACAACCAAGCCCUUGAUGUGAAGCAUCACUAUAAUUAACCUAAUCCCCAUAACCUAAGGGAACUAUUAACGCUAGAGGAGUUACCAAUCUAUUCUUUAACUCUUGGAAACUUUUCUCAUAAUCAUUAGACCACACAAAUUUGACCCUCUUCUAUGUAAGCUUGGUUAAAAGUUGAGCAAUAUUAGAAAAUCCCUCUAUAAAACAUAUGUAAUAACCAACUAAACCUCAGUUAUCGAGUUAGGAAUGCUCCAAUUGAUAGUGGCCUCAACUUUACCAGAGUCUAUUGAUAUUCUCUCCUUAGAAAUUACAUGGCCAAGAAAAAAAACUCUAUCCAACCAAAAUUCACAUUUCUUAAGCUUAGCAAAUAGUUGAUUGCCCAUCAAAGUUUGCAAAACAAUUCUCAAAUGUUACUCAUGUUCUUCAUUACUUCCGGGGUACACUAAGAUAUCAUCAAUAAAAACAACCACAAAUCAAUCCAAAUAGGGUUUAAACACCCUAUUCAUCAAAUCCAUAAAAUUUGUUGGGGCAUUAGUUAAUCCACAAGGCAUCACUAAGAACUCAUAAUGCCCAUAACGAGUUUGAAAAGCAAUCUUGGGUAUCCCUUUUCACCUUGUACUGAUGAUAACCAGAACAAAGGUCAAUCUUUGAGAACAUAAAAGCAACUUGCAUUUGAUCAAAUAGAUCAUCACUUCAAGGUAGUGGGUAUUUAUUUUUUAUAGUCACCUUGUUAAGUUCCCUAUUGCCAAUACAAAGGCUCAUCAACCCAUCAUUCUUUUUAACUAAUAACACUGGAGCACCCCAAGGUGACACACUAGGCCUAACAAUGCCCUUUUCCAAUAUUUCCUCAAGUUGUUCCUUCAACUCCUUAAGUUCCAUGGGUGACAUACGAUAAGAUGUCUUAGAUAUAGGAGUUUUCCUAAGUAUUAACUCAAUGGUGAAAUCUACCUCUCUUUGGUGGAACUCUGGGCAAAUCCUUAGGAAAGACAUCUAAAAGGUCUCUUACAACUAGAAUGUCUUUUAGGCUUAAAUCAUAAACUAAUUGGAAGAGUUCACAAAGAGAAGACCCCAAAAAACUGAACUUAGGUUGACUUGGAGUCUAAAAGGUCACCUUCUUAUUAAAACAAUCUAAUAUGGCAUGGUAGGUAGAAAACUGAUCCCUCCCUAAAAUCAAAUCGAAAUCAUAGAGAUUAAGCAAUAUCAUAUCCAUUGGUAGUUCUCUAUCCCCAAUCAAAAUAGGGCAAUCCUUGAGAACUUGUGUGGCUAAGAAAGACCUCCCAACAGGUUUAGCAAUACAUAGAUCAAACUCCAAACACCAAUGGGUAAUCUCAACAGAUCAACAAAUGAUAUAGAAAUAAAGGAUGAGUAGAACUAGGGUCAACAAGAAUUCUAGCUGGCUGAGAGUGAAAUUGGAGAAUACUUGUGAUAACAUCUGAUGAAACCUGAGCAUCUUGGCAUGUAAGAGAAAACACUCUUCCUUGAACUUUUAACUUAGAUCUUUUCUCAUUUCUCUCUAUUUAUGAGUCUUCUUCACUAGACAAUUAUGAAUUAGAUGGCCUUGUUGGCCACAAACAAAACAAGCACCAGUCUCCCUAUAGCAUAUCAUAACACCAUGUUUUUUUGCCACAUUUGGUGCAAUGUGCAUCUAACUUGUGAUCUUUCUUUUGUGUUGGUCCUUUACCUUUGAAACUUGACUGGCAUAAUUUUUUAUGCCUUUGACCACCUUGAUCAACAUUAUUAGAUUUACCUUUUUUUUGUUGUUGAUUCCUAAACUUCCAAAUUUAUUUACUACCUCUCUCAGCUAUGAGAGCCCUAUCCACCACCUUUGAGUACACCUCUAGUUUCAAGAUUGAUAUUUUAUCCCAUAUAAAUGGAUUUAGACCAUCUAGGAAACAAAUCACCUUAUGCAUUUCAGUAGCAAUAAGAUCAGGAGUGAAUUGAGAGAGCUUAGUAAACUUAGCUUCAUACUCUGCCACUGACUUGUCACUUUAUACUAACUGUCAAGACUCAAGCUCCUUUGGCAUCGUAUACUCUCAAGAAAGUACUUUUUAUAGGAUGCUUCCUUAAGUUGGUCCCAUACAAUUGGUUCUUGGCCCCCUAUGAGUCUUUUCUCCAUUCUCCACCAAUGUUCUACCUCACCCACUAGCAUUAAAGUGGCAAAGGUCACCUUUUGAGAUUCUGAGCAGCUUAGAACAUCAAAAUGCUUCUCAAUAUCCAAAAUCUAUGCCUCGGCCUUUGAAGGAUUUGGCUCUUUUGUGAAGGAAGGAGGACCCAUCUUCUUGAAUUGAAGAUAAAAUUUUGGGAUUCAUCCUUCGAUUAGAUGAAAAUCUUACUUUUAUCCUUAAUUAGUAUUGUUGUGUCAUUCACCAACUUAACCUCUAAAUUAAGUCUCAUCUAAGUUGGAAAGCUUUUUUUUUCCUACUACCUAUAUGAUUACAACAACUUAUAUCUAAAAAUCAUGUAUUUUUAUGUCAAUAAAAAAGUUUUUAAAUUUUCACCUUUAUUUUGUAUAGCAUCAGUUUGAAAAUUCCUUCCAUUCGAUCUUUUAGCCCUACAUGUUAUGUUAUAAUGACCAUGUUUUUUGCAAUUAUAAUAUUGAAUGUGAGAUUUAUUAUUAUUUUUUGAGUUGAAGUAUUAUCUCUUUCUUUUUAGCCUAAUAUGGAAUUUCCUUAUCCUCCAUUAUGAGAAUUUCGACUUUUCCUAUUCAAUUUAAAAUUAUUUGGAACUUAGCUUUUUAUUUUUUAAGAUGUAGUUGGCUUUAUAAUGCUUUUUUCACCUCAACUUGGAACCUUUUAUUCAAGCGUUGUUCAUGGAUUUGCAAGAAACCCAUCAAUUCAUCCAACAUCAUAGUAUCAAGAUCUUUCAAUUCUUGAAUUAUUGCUAUUGCCUUGUACUCAAAUCACAUGGUUAGGGUUCAAAAUUUUCCCCAUAACUUGGAUAUUUGAAAUAAUUUCACCAUUAAAUUUUAUCUUAUUGACAAGAGCUAAUGACAAUGAAAAAAAAUUAGAAACUUUUUAUGUUUUCUCCAUUUGAAAAAGCUUGAUGUCUUCUCAAAGUUAAUAGUCAAACUUGCUUCACCUUUUUUUCCCCUUUUGUAGGCGGGUGUUCAUCCAGAUAUCCUAUGCAUCAGCUGAUAGAUGUGAAUAUAAGCCUUUAAAUCUUUAUUUUUAUAAUUCCUCAAAAUGUCUAUAUGUACUUGUGUGAAAUGUGUUUGAUCUCUUGGUACCAUAAAUCCAUAAUCUACUACUCCCCCUAAUAUCUUAAUACUAGAAUAAUAAUUGCAUUUGGAUUCUUUAAAAUUCAAAAUUAUUAUUCCUACCGAACUUUGGAACUUGAAGUUGGAUUAUAUUAUUGUUAGUUGCUUCUUCUUUAAUUGUCAAGAUUUGAUGCCAAAUAAGAACAAAAAAUAAAAAUAAAAAAUAAAAAAAAUAACAUAAGAAUAAUUUCUCCACAUAACAAAAGAUGAAAAACUAUAAAGAACAAAACAUAUGAUUAUAGAACAAAAAAUUUACCAACAUACUUUAUAUUAUUAUAUUAUGUAACAAUUAUAAAAACCUAAUUCUAUCAUAAAACAAACCCGCAAUAAAACUAAAAUUCCAAAUCUCAAAGAGAAUAGAACUCAAAUAUUAGGAAACAUAAUUCUAACAAACUAAGAAGCAUAGUCUUGGUUUUAUUAGACUUAUACAUUACAUGUACCACAUUCAUGUUCAGAUUUGAGACUACAUCUUACACGUGGGUGACUUCUUUCGUCUCGGCUUUCGAAAACUGGUGACAGACUUCCCACGGAAGCAGUGAGGCUUUUGUCUCAGUAAACUUCAAUUUGUAGCCAUGGUCCUUGGACUCCCUUUGUAGCCGGAACAUGGUGUAAAGUCGCAGUGACAGCAAUACUAACCCGACCGUGACAAUCACACCCACAGCAAUGAACGUUGUUUUCUUAUUUGAUGAUCCUUUUAUGGUCAGUUGAGAUGGCUCAGUCAGAAAUAUGGUUUUGGGAGGUUCGGGGUUGGGUCCUGCGAGACUGCCGGUAGUGCUGUUUAACUUAAAUAUUUCGAUCCCAUUUAAGACUGCAUCAACGUAAACACUGAAGCCAGCUCGACUGUGUAGAUCAAUAGAGAGAUUAUACUUACCUUGUGUUCCUUCAAAUCCAAUCAUUGCAAGAUAGUCUCUGUAUGCCGGUAUACUAUUACCGCCACUCCAGAUAAUGGCAUCGGCAGCUUCAUCAACCAUCUCACCAUCUAUAUAAAUAAUGAACUGCCUAUCGCUCACCUGGGUUAUGGCCCGAUUUGUUUCGCACAAGUGGAGCCUGACCAGAUACCUGAACCCCAAAUCAACAGGUAAUACCCAUGUCAGAUUGUUCCUCAUAUUCCACGUCUUGUUAGGACCCAUUGAUCGGGACGUUUGGUAGACUUCUGCAGGUGCAAUAUAUGCAGGGGUUUCUUUUGUGUAUUUGAUUGUACUAUUUGCCUUGUCAGGGAUUACUCCUCCACCCAUGAAAAACUGAUUAUCAUCAGACCAGAAUCGGAACAUGCCGGAAUCUCCUGUUGGGGAGAUGGAGUGCCCUCCAACGUCUAACCGGUACAUGGUCUCAAGCGCAGUGAUGUUUUCAAUUUCAUAAAAAUAUGUUUGGCCAAUAAACGGGAUCCCAUCAGCACCUGCUGGCGUGUAGUAGAGGUUGUGGGGCAUUGAGACGAUUUCAAUUCCAUUGACAAAGGCAUAGGAAUCAUUUGAAGAACUUGGAGAUGGACUGAAUGUUAAAUUCAGUAACUGAUUCUCCUCCACGUUGAUGCAAAAUUCUCUAACAAAAUAUUCCAAGCCCAAAGAAUCAGCAACAAGAUCAGCGCGAAAGUUGCUGAGAAGAGUGAAAGGCCCUGAUUUGACGGAAAACAAGGCCUUAGACCUGUCGAAACCUGGGUACCAACUUGGGUAGAAGUACAAUCGGACAAAUUUUAGGCCGGCACUGACGAGGAACGUGUAGGUGAAUUGGGAAGAGGACAUGCGAGCGGUUAAGUAAGGGAUGCCCUCAACCGGACCUUGGCGAAUGGCCCUAGCAGCUAUGGUAGUGUCAAGAGGCUGCAAAGUGGCCAAAAUUGAGCCAAUAUCCCCUGUCCAUGCCCGGCCAUCUGAUGCAGUUGAGUUUCCAGAUGAGCCACAAUCAAGAGCUAUGUUAUCUGUGGGGUUGUAAGUCGCUGCAUAAUUACUGGCGGUGACGGUCGAGAAGCAUUGCAAAAGAAGGAAGUAGAAAGGGCUGAGAAUCGAGAUGCAAAAUAGGCUUUUGUGUUGGCGACGGUACUUCAUGAUCCAAGCAAGAGACUGGUCGCAACAGUUGGGUGAAAAGCUUGACUAUGGAUGAAAAAUCUGCAGCGCUCUUCUCAGAUCAAGUAGAUGGUGCAAGGUAGCUGUGCACUGAACGCGUGAAGACACAGUAGCUGCGAGUGGAAGACUUGUUCAACUGAGGAAAGCAAAUGGUUAAGAGUCAAAAGUUGGAGAGGGUGCCUGCUUUUGGAAUUUGGCAUGAUUCGAUUGUUACUCGGUGCGAAGAAGCUUUACUGCUUCGCGAUCCAUGUGCACUGCAUUGUUGGCAAAGCACACAUCUGAGAAGUGACGUGACCAUUUUAUUGAUUGAAGAAGAAUCUUCUACUAUUAUUCUUAAACAAAUACUCGUUAAGGUUUAGUACAAAAUCAGCUUAAUUAUCAUUAAUUUCAAAUUUGGGGAUUAAAAAUUUAUAUUUAAGAGAAUAAAAUUUAUUUAUUUAAGAUAAUUAUUAAACAUAUUUACCUAAAAUCCCUCUAAAAAUAAAUUUUACAAAUAUUAAUUAAAGAAAUUUAAAAUAAUGAUGGUGAGAUGUUUUUACACCAAACUUUUGAGGGUAUGAACUAAACUAACCCUUAAAAAAUAGUAAAAUUUAGAAUGUAUUUGUAUAUCCUCUUUUUUUUUUCCCUAAUUUUAAAAAAUAAUAGUAACACUUAUAAAGAUACAAAAACUCUUAUAAUAAAAAAGUACUAAUUUUAAAAAUUGUUUUAAAAAAAUUUUGGUAUCAAAAAUUUUUUAAUACCUUAAAAUUUAAUAUUUGUGAUUUUUAAAGGUAUAAGAUAAGUUGUAUACUUUGCUCCACUCUUAUAUAAAAAAAUUUUAUUUUAAAAAUAAAAAGUAGACGGUAUAUUCAAACAUACACCUGUCAAAAUAAUUAUUAUAUUAAUUUUUGUCCGCGGUGGUAAGUUCUCAUGUAGCAAUUUUUUAUUUUAAAAAUAAAAAGUAGAGAGUAUUUUCAACCAUACACCUGUCUAAAUAAUUAUUAUAUUAAUUUUUGUCGGCGGUGUUGAGUUCUCAUGUAGCUCCACCUUCAUCAUAUGACUGUACAACUCGAGAGUGUCCUUAUCUUGCCAAACAACACUGACAAUGCAACCAGUCCCAUCCCUAAAUGAUGAAUAAGUCUCAAAGUAAAGAACAUGAGAGUGCCUAAUCAAACCAAAACCUUGUUUCCUUAGUAUGUUAGUUGUAGACAUAAAAAAUUUAGUGAAUUAAAUUAUUUGUAAAUUACUCUUUAAAAUUAUGAUUUGUUAUCUUAGGCUUAAUAAAUGAUGAGCUCUACAUAUUGAACAUGCGGUAUGCAAUUAAAAAGGUGACGUACAUAUGAUGAAAAUUGGAAAACUAUAAAAUUAAGUCUUGUAAAAUAAAAUAAAAUAAAAUAAUUGAAGUUAAAAGAGAAUUAGAAAUAAAUGCUUUUUUGUUGGCAAAUUUCAUAAAUAAAAGAAGCAAAUCUUUUGAUUGAAAUUAAAAAAAGAAAAAUAAUUUCACAUGAGGAAAGAUACUUCACAAAAAGAGAGAAAAAGAAAAAUAAACUUUACAAAAUAUCCCUACAAGUCUAAGAAAUCGUAGAAGUCUUGUAUAUGCGUUCCUCACCAUUCAACGAAUUCAUUCAGGAACAAAAUACUAUAGGUCCUUUAUUAAUCUUCAAAUUCAAAAAAACACUUUCAUCAUCAUCCUUCAUAUUGUGAUCAAAUAAUUGAAUAAGAGGAAAAUUAUUCUUUUGUAAAGAAUAUUACCACAAAAAUUAUAUUCCACAAUUAUUUUAAUAUAAAGUUCUAUUUGCAUAUUAUUUUUUCUAUAGUUUUACUUAUUUUAUAGGACUUUCCGAAAUUUGUGUAUACAAUUAAAAUUAUUUUAUUAAUAUUGAGUUUGGUUUUGAAGACUUGCCUUUACAUCUAUCAAUUGAUUGAACCACCAACUUUGAGAAGAUUACCAAUGCAACGAUGACUGAAGGAGCAUAAGACAUCAUAAUGAAUGCCUACAAAGGGGUAGAAAAGGUGAAAAAGGUUCUAUUACAAACUUUAACGAGGUAAUAUGAGUUUCUUCAUAUUGAGAAGAUAGAAAGAGUCCAAAAUUUUUUUUUGGCGGAUAUGAACUUUUGUCAAUUAAAGGAAAUCUAAUAAUAAAAAUGUUUUAGAUCUCUUAGUCAUCGAGAAAAUCUUUGAGCAUAAGGCAACAAUUAGUCCUAGAUUGAGGUGAAAAAAAUAUUACAAAGCCAACUAAAUGUUAAAAAGAGAAACUGUGUGUGUGUGUGAUUGAGGUGAAAAAAAAUUACAAAGCCAAUUAAAAAGAGAAAGUGUGUGUGUUUGUGUGUCAAUUAAAUGAAAUCUAAUAGUAAAAAUGUUUUAGAUCUCUAAGUCAUCGAGAAAAUCUUUUAGUAUAAGGCAAGGCAACAAUUGGUCCUAGGUGAAAAAUAUGUUACAAAGUCAACUAAAUGUUAAAAAGAGAAGGUGUGUGUGUGUGAGAGAGAGAGAGAAAGAAGUUCUAAAAUAAUUUAAACCAGGUAAGAAAGGUUAGAAUUGGUGGAAUGAAGGAUAAAAAAAAUUCAAAUUAGACCAAAAGGAAGAAAGGUAAUACUUCAACUUAAAAGACAUAAUAAAUCUCACAUCAAAUAUUAUAAUUGCAAAAAAUAGUCAUUACACGUCAAAAGGUAGGGCUAGAAGAUUGAAUGGAAGUAAUUUUUAGGCUAAUACCAUAGAAGAUAAAGGUGAAAAUUUAGAUAACUAACUAUUAGCAUACAAUGUUGUAGAAGAACAAAACAAAAGACAUGGUGUUUGGAUGUUGGUUGCUGUAGUAAUCUUAUGUGUAGUAGGAAAAAUAUAUAUUUUUUAGUUAGAUGGAACUUUUAAUUUAGAUGUAAAAAGUUUGGGAAUGACAAAAUAAUACUAGUUAAUGGUAGAGGUAAGAUUUCCAUCAAAUUGAAGGAUGGAUCAUAAAUUUUUUCUCUAAUGUAUUAUAUGUUUCAAGUUUCCACCAAAAUCUAUUAAGUAUGAGCCAAUUUUUAGAAAAAGGAUAUGAUAUAUAGAUUUAUAAGGGGUUUGUACCAUUAAUGAUGAUUAGAAAGGACUAAUAAUAAAGGUGAAAAUAACACAAAAUCAUUCAUUUCCAUUGAAUAUUAAUUGUGGCAAUUUACCUUACUUUAGUUUUAUAAUUGAUGAUAAAAAUUGAUUAUGACACAAAUUUUGGAGACUUCAAUUUUGGAAGUUUAAAUUGCUGCUAUGGUUUUUUGGUUGCCUUUUAUUAAUCCUCAAAAUGAAGUUUAUGAAAUAUGUGUUUUGGGAAAGAAGCAUAUAGACCUUUUCCCUAUAGGAAAAUCAUGAAGAGUUCGGAAGCCUCUUGAGUUGAUUCAUUUAUAUCUAUAUUCAAUGAAGGUUCCCUUAGAAUCUCAAAUAUUUUAUUAACUUUAUCGAUAAUUUUAGUCAAAUGAUUUACUUUAAAAAAAAAAUUUAAAAGCAAGUAUAUAUGACAAUUGAAAUUUUUUUAAAGCUUAUAUGGAAAAACAAAGUAGGUUACUAGUAGUGCUACUCAAGCGGUAAGGUUAUAUCGAAUGCUUUUUGACUUAAAACAUACUCAAGAAGUUCCUACAAAAACUUUUUAUGAUAAUAAAUCAACAAUCACAUUGACAAACAAAUUAAUUUUUCAUGGAAGAAACAAACACGUUGACAUCAAGUUUCACUAUAUUUGUGAUUGGUGAAAAAAAAAUUAUGGUUGAGUUUUAUUCUUUCGAAAAUCAAAUUGCAAUCAUUUUUAUGAAGCCAAUCAAGGUGAGAACAUUGCUGAAGGUGAAGAAGAUGGUGGGUAUUAUAAUGAAAUAUGAAGAACUUAGUUUAAAGGAAGCAAUGAAGGAAUCUAAGUUAAGCAAAAACUAUAUUUCCUUAGUAUAUUAACAUUUGAGUUUGGUUUUUCUUAGUAUUUAGAAUCUUAGUUCUAUUAAUAAUUUAGUUUGUAUUAGAAUUAGGUUUUAUAAUUGUUUUUCUCUCUCUCUAUGUAUAUAUAUAUUUUCAAAAAUGAUAAUGAUAAUUUUUUUUGUAUAAUUAUUUGUUUUCGUUUUCAUAGGAUUUUUCCUUUUAUAUGGAAAAAUUGUUCUUGUAUCGGAAAAGAUUUUUUUGGUCGCUCAUAGAACCUUGUAUCUCCUUGAAAAAUUCCUUUGGAUAGAGCUUGUACAAGAUGACUAUGCCCCAUAUAUGUGAUCAUCUUGAUAAAUGUGGCUAUGCCCCACUACUUAGCAUGUACUAGCUUUGAGUCACUUAAAAUAUUCCAUAAGAAGUGGAUCUAUUUUAAUGUGAUGUCCUAUAUUGGAUGGAGGGAAAAAUUUAUGACACUAUAUAUGUAUAGAUUUGUAUUAACCAUUUAUAUACAUUUGAAAGCCAUGAGGACUCCUUAAGCAUAAAAUAGACAAUGUUUCUAUGAUUGAGAGUUGAUUGUUUACACUUAAAUACAUCAAUGAAGUGGUUGUACUCAUGUAGGAAACAUAUCCUUUGCAAUGCACAAUAUAAAACUAUCUAAUCAAUGAAAACUAACCAUCUACGCCUAACCCCAUUGUGUAACCUUAUAUCCCAAUCAAUCACUAUGCUCUAGGGGAUGAAUAUACAAUCUCCAAACUCAAGCAAAUCCCAAUUGAAAAAUCGGAAAAUAUCGCCAAUAUUUCGAAGAAAUAUCGGAUAUCGGUCGUCACCGAAACGAUAAUCGCCAAAGAUUAUCGAUCCACGAAAAUAUCACCAAAAAAUCGGCAAAUUGCCGAUAUAUAGGCGAAAUAUCAGUGAAACACCAAUAAAUCGGAGAAAAAUCGCGAGUGGAUCAGACACGCGGAGCAACCGGAGGUAUUUUAACCGAUUUUUCGAAAAAUUUCCCGAUAUUUCCUACCAGUCCAGCCCGCGCAGUUGUGUUUUUCAGCUUGGCUCAAAAAUCAUGGAUUUAGGGUUCGUGAAAUUUAAAUCCAAUGGCACAACAGCAAAGAGACCCCUAAAACAGAUCUAGAAAACACAGGAAGCAAAAGAAAAGCAAUUUUUUUUUGUUUUCUUUGGGGGUUUUGAAUGGAUUUUCUCGGAAAUCAAACGAGGAUGAAUUUUCCUGGAAAUCGAAUGGGGGAUGGAUUUUCUUGGGAAUCAAACAGGGGUUGCAAAAAAAAAAAAAUAAUAACAUGAUUAGAUUAGUACCUGCGAGGAUUGAGAUUUGAGAGUAGCAGAGGAAAAUAGGGCUUUUUUUUAGGGUUUCUCUCGUUGGAGGACAACUUCAGAAAAGGGUUCCUGAUGCCCCGUGCCCGAGUAAGGGUCUCCAACGGGCGGGCCGGGCCGGGCCGGGCCGUAAAUAGGAGGCCCGCGGCCCAGGCCGGGCCGGGCCGUAAAUAGGAGGCCCGCGGCCCAGCCCGGGCCGGGCCUAUGGGCCCGUUGACUGGUCAACGGGCCGGGCCGGGCUGGGCCGAGCUCAAAUGCUAGGCCCGCGGCCCGGCCUAUGAACCAGCUGGCUAGCGGGCUGGCGGGCCGGGCCGCGGGCUUUUUUAAAUAAGCCAAAAUGGCUUUUAAAUAAAGGAAGGAAGAGGGGGGGAUUCGAAUCCCUCCCCUCAAGCUUAAAUUCAAUGUUUUCAGAACCGGACCGGUGAUCGAACCGGAAAAGUUACCGGUUCACGGUUCACUGGUCGGACCGGCGGUCGAACCGCUAUCGAACCGGUGACGUCAUAAAUAUAUAAUUUAUAUUUUAUUAAAAUUAAAUAUAAUUAUAAAAAUUUUAAAAUAUAUAUGAAUAAAUUAAACAUCAAUAAUAUUAUUUUAUAUCUUUGAUAUUAUCAAAUUAAAUCAUAUUAAUAUUUUAAAUUUUAUUAAAUGAAAUAUGUGUAAUAUUUAAAUAUGAAUAUAUAAAAAAAUGAAAAUUUAAACUAAUUUCAUAAUUUUUAAAAAUAUUAUAUUAUUUUUAUUUAAUAUUAUAAAAAAAUUUAAAAUCUAAUAUGUGUUGUUUUGUUUGGCAUAGUAGGAAAUAAAAUCCAUGUAGCCGAGUGGUGUUCUAUGUGGACUUAGUAUAGGGGUGGUCCAAGGUUCAAACCUUCUUGGAGUUUUGUUAUGUUUUUUUUCUUUGAUUUUUAGCAAUCCCACAUCGGCAAGAAAGGGGAACAAGGAGUCAAAUGACUCCUAUAAAAGCCAUCCUCAGCAAAGGCUUAAGAUAGGCUUGUGGGCUCAAAACUUGGGCUCAAAACUCAGCCCACAUAAAGUGGAAUGGGUAUGUGGGUUGUGGGCUGUGUCAUAAGACAAGCCCAACAUCCUUUAGUAAAAUUCAUUUUAAAUUCUAUGGUAAUAUUUUCAUUUUCUAAUUUUUUUUUUAAAGAAAAAUUAAAAUCUUUUGAAUUGGUCGGUUUUUUUGGAACCGGCCGGUUCGUCCGGUUCACCGGUUGAACCGCCGGUUCAAACGGUUUAACUCCGGUUUGAUCUCAAUCCGGUCUAAAUGACCGGAUCGGACCGGAAUGGUGACCGGUCGACGGUUGGACCGGUCCGACCGGCCGGUUCGGUCCGGUUUUUAAAACAUUGCUUAAAUUUCAAGGCUCUAACCAAUUGAGCUACAUUUCUUUUGUGCUUAUUAAAUGAGUUAGUUAUAUAUAUAUAAAAAUAUAGUAUAUUAUUUUUUUUAAAAAAAUUAAAGGCGGGCCUAAGGGCGGGCCUACGGGCCGGGCUUGGGCCCGGCGGGCUUGGGCCGGGCCGGGCCUAAAGCGGGCCGUGGGCCGCGGGCUUUUUGGAGACCCCUAUGCCCGAGAGAGAAGUGGGUGCCUUUUUUAUUUUUUUAUUUUUAGAUUUAGUGGAGAUAAAAAAAAAAAAAAAAAUCAUGAGAACAAUUUUCCACUAUCUAUAUAAAUAAUUAUUAAUUAUCAACCUUUAUUUUGAUUAUUAAAUAAAUUAAUAUUAAUAGAAAAAAUUGUUAUCACAUAUUUUUAAUAAAAUUUUAAAAAUUAAAUCUCAAAUAAGAUAUUUUAUAUAAAUUAAUUUAAUUUUUUAUUUGAAAUAUAAUAAAAUAUACUUUAAUAAAAGUAUUUUAAAAUUUUUAAAAUAAAUAUUGUCUUCAACAAGAUGAACUCCCUUCAUCUAAUAAUAUAAUGAAAUCACAUUGAUAUCUUCCUUAGUAUAAGGACUAUUGCAAUCUCAUAUGUAUUAUAUUUAUAUAUAAAUUGUUUUUAUUUAAUAAAAUUAAAUAUUUCUUAACUCAAUUUUAACUUUAUACACUUUCAAAAUUCAUAUAUAUUAUUUUUAAAAUUCAAAUAUCGAAUUUACCAAUAUAUCUCUGUUUACGAUAUUUUUCUUCUUAAUUAUAUAUAUAUCAAUUACACUUAUAAAAUAACUUUAAAAUGUGUAUUAUUACUUAUUUUAUCAUUUUUUGAAGUUUUUUCAAGCAUUCCUAUUAAUUUUAAAUAAUUUUCACUCCACCAAUAUUUAUGAAAAAAUAUCCACCGAUAUUUCUCUGAUAUUUCCGAUAUAUCCGUAAAAUUGAAGUACCGAUAUAUCUGUAAAAACCGAUAUUUCAAUCCUUGCUUAGGAGUCGAAAGCGAGAUGUAGGCUAAGGAUAAAGGGAAAAAAUUGAGUGGACACUAGGCUAAAAAUGCAAUGACACACUCCAUGCCUCUAGUGUACAUAAUGAAUCAGAUGAAUAAAUGAGAAGAACGAACGAAGAAUAUAGACAUACCAUGAUAUCAUUGAACAAUCGAAUGACCGAAGACAGAACAUUGAGGCAGUGGAUAAAUAAGAAUGUGACUAUCCUGAAAGGUGAGUGAUAAAUGAAGAGGUAGCAAUACAGACAUAUGUGCAUGGUGGACAGAACCUGUCACAUAGCUUACCUACGUACCCAAGAUGAGAUCAGGUCCAACAUAGUUGGAAACACUACAAAAACAGAGAGUCUACGCAUGAGCUGGGCUAUGCACAUAGGGUCAAACGCACACUAGUCUAUGCGUACUCCCCUGUGUUUGUUCCAAAAUCAUUCCUUCUGAAUUCCAAGUCUCAUUUACAGCUUACAACAUCUCUACUACAGGUAUGCGUGCAUGCUCCAAAGCAGUAAACUCAGAAAACUGAUCAUAAUAAGGUUUUAAGCGCUUCUCCAAAAAUUUAAUCAAUGUCACCUGUUAUAGGGGAGCUGCAUCUCCUCUGCCCUUUUCCCAAACUUUCACUCUCAGACCUGCAUAUUCCUUUUUAUGAGUUAUAUAUCCUAAAUCUCAUACAUGGUUCCAGCACCCAUAAUGCAAGAAAAUUUCAGUUAUUAACUGAUCAAGCUUUACUCAUCACAUUUUCCAAAUUCAACUCCAACAUCAAGUUAUGCAUUAACCUUCUCUAAGCAAGCUAUAAAUUUAAUCUAACUAUUUCUAAAGAAAGAUGUAUAUCUUUAGAAUUUUUAAAAUAAAUUUUUAUGUUUGAAAAUAAAGGUAGUUAAAAAUUUUCAUUGAUUUUAAAGAAUUAGCCUAAAAUUUUAAAAUAAAAAUUAUUCUUUCUUUAGAAAAAAAAAUACUAUUAUCAAAGAUUUUAAAUUUAUCUAUUAAGAAAAGCCAUUUUUUUUUAAAGUGCCAUUGAGAAACCAUGACAACCAUGAUCGCUAGAGGUAACGGUGCUUGGAAAAAAAUAAAAGCAAAUUAGGAAAAGGAGUCUAACCAUUUGUACGGUAGUGUACCUACGCCAGUUUGUCAAAAAUAUAAAGAAAACCCAUCAAAAUUUAUUUGGGAAAGCAUGAAUGCCAAAACUAUAAAGUUUAUGUAAUAAAGUAAAGCUUACGUGAAGGAGAUGAGAGAAAAAAAAGGUGGGGGAAAAGGCAAAUAAUGAUAGCUUGAGUGCUUAUAAAAUUAAUGCAUUCUUCAUUCAGGUCCGGUCAUUCUUUAUUUUUGUUUUCCAUGUAUAUUUUUUUAAUGACCCACUAACUGCACAAGUGCGUGAUUGCUUUUCUGACUUAUCCUUCCCAUUUUUUUUUUCCACUUUGUGUUUUUUAAAAAUGAUUGAUGUUUUAAAAAUUAACUUUUAAAUCUAUUUUUGAGUUUGAGAAAUUCUUCGACAUAGGAUUAUGACCAAGGUCUAGGCAAAACAAAAAAGAAAAAAAAAAGGUUUGAGGAACAUUUAUGAUAGGUCAUUAUUAUUUGGAAGUAAAUUAUUAUUUCAUGUUGUUAGUUGUAGUCAAUGUUUUCCAAAUUGAAUGAAUUAUCAUUAAAUUAAAUUGGAAAAGUUAUUUCAUCAUGAAUCAUUGGUUCAAUAUAAUUUGAUGAGGAGUUACUAAUUAGAUUGAUAGUUCAAGAGUCCAAACUACUAUGGUCCAAUCAUGAUUUUAGAAAUAUGAAUGGUACGUUGUUAUAUAGUCCAAUUAGUUCCCAACACAAGAACACGCGCGCGAGUCUCUCACCUAGACCAAGUGGGAUGAUUUUUGAAGAGGGCACAAUCCAAUUAAAGCAGCUAAGGGUCGGAUACAGAUUCUUCCAUCCAGAAAGACGACAUGGCUGUGGGCUCUGCAUGUUAUUCUCUUUAAGAGUAUUGUCCUCUUACAUUCUUUUCCAAAGUUAAAGCACUGCAAUUGUCUUGUUUUCGUUUCCCGCUUUUGAUCUGUUUUUUUCCUUUUUCUAAAGCAGCACCAACAAAGAAAGGACCAAGAUACAAAUAAUAUAUAUAUAUAUAUAUAUAUAUAUCAAUUUCAAAGGGAGUGGGAUAAGGUAUAACAAACAAAACACUUUCAUAACUAAUCGCUUUUGCUUUUUUUUUUUUUUAAUAUUUUUUACACUCAUGGUAUAAAAUGGAAUAUAAAUGUUCACAUCUUAGUAUACCAUUAUUAAUAAUAUUAAUUGGUGUUUUAAAUUAGGUUGAAAGAAUUUUAAUGAUUUGAACAAGUUCAAGCUAUUAAAUGUCAAGAUGAAUUAACUUUAUGGAUGAAAGGAUAAUCUUGUAGACCAUAGUGAAAUGAAUUUUAUUUUUGCUUCAUAUACUCAUGAGUGUUUCAAGGUUUACUUAUGGUUAUUAGGACAUAUUAGUCUAUUAAAAUUUCAAACUUUUAGUGGUUAUUAAGGUAAGAGUUUCUUUUAUUCCAAAAAACCAAAAAAAAAAAAAAACAAAAAAAAGAAAAGAAAAUGAUUUAGUUUUGAUAAGUUCACAUUGAUCUAAAUAAAAGAAAAAAACAAGACUGCUUUAACAAUGACAAUAAAAUUGAUCAUUAAUGAUGAUUCCUCUCAAAUGGAAAUUAUAAAACAAAAAAAAAAAGAUCAAAAUUGAAUUUAAAAAAACUAAUUUUAUGAGAAAAUGCUUAAAUUAAUUUGCUAAUUGUUAUCUUUGUAUGCCAUGUCUUCUAUUUACUACGAUAACACAUGAAAUUUUUUAGAAAUAAUGAUUUAAUUUGCAAUUGUAAAUAAUAAUAAUAAUAGUAGUAAAAAUAAUAAUUUGAGAAAUAUUAGAAAUUGUUAUUUAUUUAGGUUCCUAUGUUAAUUAGGAUUCUUGGUCUAAUAGGAAUUGAAGUCCUAGUGCAAAUAUGAUUAGUUUAUUAUAAAUAUACUUGUUAUUAUGUUGAAAAGUAGAAUGCAAUAAAUUUUUAAUUUUAAUAAAAGUAUUAUCAAUUCUCAAUUGUGUUGUUUCUAACAAAUGGUAUCAGAGUUAGAAGAUUGGGAAAGGUGAAAUGCCAAAUCAAAGCUAGAAUACCAAGGAAUGUGCAAAAUCAUAAAGAAGUUGCAAUCUUAGUGAUGAAAUUAUGGUUGUAAAUAAUAACUCAAUUCAUCCUCAACUCCCAAAAUUCAUAGGUAAGAAUUUUGAUAAUUGGUGUAUUCAAAUGCGUAUCUUAUUUAGAUCUCAAGAUUUAUGAAAUCUAGUAAAUAUUGAUUGCAACAAAGUGACUGAUUCAAAAGAAUCUGAGGCACUAUCAAGGGAGCAAAAAGAUUCAUUGAAAGAUUUUCGAAAGAAAGAUAAAAAAACACUAUUUUGCAAUAUUCCAAGUAGUGGAUGAAUCCAUAUUUGAGAAAAUCUUAGAGGUAGAAACAACAAAAGAGUCGUGGGUUACUUUACAGAAAUUAUACAAAGGUGAUAAAUGUGUCAAGUGAAUGAAGUUGCAAACAUUAAGAGGAGAAUUUGAGUCUCUUCGCAUGAAUGACUCUAAAUCUAUCUCAGAUUGCUUUGAUUGGAUACAAAUCAUUGUUAACCAGAUGCGGUUUAAUGGCAAAAAGCUUGAUGAUCAACGAAUAGUAGAGAAAAUUAUGUGAUCUUUAAGUACAAAAUUCAACUAUGUUGUUGUAACAAUUGAAGAAGAAAAUGAUAUUUUCACUCUCACAAUUGAAGGGUUGAUGAGUUCAUUCUAUUUGCAUGAAUAACAAAUAAAUUAAAGAAUCAACUCUACAAAUUUGGAGCAAGCCUUGUAGAGUAAAGCAUCUAUCGGAGGUCAUGGUGCCCAAUAAGGUGGUAGAGGCCGUGGCCAUGACAAAGGUAGAGAAAGACGCAACAACUUCAAUAAUAAAGAUGGAGAUGGUAACACAAAUUCUUCUUAAGGAAGGGGCAACACUUCUAAACCUAAAGACAAGUCACACAUACAAUGUUUUAGAUACAAAAAGUAUGGACAUUAUAAAUCAAAAUGUUAAAUGAAAUUGUAGAAUGAACAAGUUGAACAUGCAAACACUGUCGAGGUAAAACAGAAUUUGGUAUAGAUCGCUAAGAUGUUUGAUAUCUUGAUAUAUGAUGCAAUAAUCACAUGUGCGGUAAGAAAGAAUUGUUUUCAUAAUUAGAUUUUUGGAAACAAAUUCAAAGUUUCGAUCAUAGACAAAGGUAAUGCUAAAAUAUGUUCUAAAGAUGGUACUAAUGUUACUAUAGCGGAUGUAUUUUUUGUUUUGGAUCUUGUUUAGAAUUUGUUAAGCAUAAGACAAUUAACAGAAAAAUAUCAUUAAUAUCUCUAAUGGAGUUUGCACCCUUAGUGAUAAAAAUAAGAAGAUGAUUGUAAAGGUGCAGAUGACAAAAAAUAUGUUGUUUUCUAUGUUUCUUUAAGCAGAAACUUUAUUUAGCUUAAAGACAACAAUAAAAGAUAACAAUUGGCUUUGACAUCUUCAAUUUGAUUAUCUCAAUUUUCGUGGGGUUGAAGUUGUUAGUGCAAAAGAACAUGGUAAUAAGAUUUCCUAUGAUUGAUAUUCCAAACUGUGCAAGUGAAGGAUGUCUCCUAGGAAAACAACAUAGGAAUUCUUUUCCAGUUAGAAGAUCCAAAAAAGCUAAACAACCUUUAGAGUUAGUACAUACAGAUAUAUGUGAUCCUGGCUAGGUAAGAUCUCUUGGUCACAACAAAUAUAUUUUGAUAUUUAUAAAUGAUUUUACAAGAAAGACUUGGAUUUAUUUGUUAAAAGAAAAUUUUUAGGCUUUUAACAAAUUUAAAGAAUUCAAAGUUCUUAUUGAAAGACAAAGUGGUUGCAAUAUUAAGAUAUUGAGAUAUGAUAGAGAAAGAGAGUCACCUCCAAUGAAUUUUAUAAUUAUUGCAAAAGUCAAGGUAUUCAACGAUAAUUGAAAAAUAAUUAUACACUUUAGCAAAAUGGUAUAGCUAAAAGGAAGAAUAAAACCAUUGUUUAAAUGACAAAAAGCAUGUUGAAGGCCAAGUCUCUUCCAAAAACUUUUUAGGUAGAAAUUAUUACAUGUGCAGUGUUCUUAUUAAAUUGGUGUCUUACUAAAGCAGUAUCUAGAAGAACACCUAAGGAAUCUUGGAGUGACCAUAAGUCGGAAGUUUUUUUUUUACAAAUUGUUGGGUGUAUUGCAUAUUCCCAUAUACCAAAAGAGCAAAGAAAAAAAUUUGAUGAUAAAAACAAGAAGUGUAUUUUCAUUGGUUAUAGUGAUGUAACUAAAGGUUACAAACUAUAUAAUCCAGAAACAAGGAAGUUGAUUAUGAGUAGAGAUGUUCAAUUCCUAGAGAAUGAGAUUUGGACAUGGACUCAAACAUAAAGUGAGGGAAAAGAAGUUAUCCUUGAAGAAGACUUUGUGGAAGACAAUGAGAAUCAAAAGGAUUCUACAACAAAUAUUUCUACUUCAAAGACACUUUCUCCUAUUUGAAGUUCUCCUAUGCAAACAGAAAUAGGGUAGGAGUCUAAAUCACAAUGUUGUCCAAAACGUUCGCAUAUUAUGCCUGCACAUCUAAAAGAUUAUGAAGUCAUGAAAGAUACCAAAAUCACUAAUGAAGGUUUAGUUAACUUUUGUCUAUUUGCAGGUUAUGAUCCGAUUUCGUAUAAAGAAGUAACAAGUGAUAAGAAGUGGAUUCAAGCAAUGAAUGAAGAAAUUCAAUCCAUAGAGAAUAACAAUACAUGAGAGCUAACUAUUCUACCAAUUGGAAAGAAGCCUAUAGGUGUUAAAUGUGUUUACAAGACAAAAUUUAAACUUGAUGGUAAAGUUGAUCGAUUUAACGCAAGAUUGGUUGCAAAAGGUUAUAAAUAGAAGCUAGGUAUUGAUUAUUUUAAAGUUUUUGUACUAGUUGCUAGAUUACAUAUCAUUUGCAUGAUAAUUGCACUUGCAACACAAAAAAUGUGGAAAAUUCACCAAAUGGAUGUGAAGUUAGCUUUUUUUAAUGGUGUACUUGAAGAAAAGCUUUUUAUUUAUUUAUUUUUUAACAACCACCAGGGUAUAUUAAGGAAAGACGAGAAAUAGGUUUAUUGUUAGAGCAACAACCAGAUAUAGUUUGUUUUAUUUGUAUCUAUCUUAUUGUUGUAACUAUCAUCCUUUAAUCAUGUAAGUAGUUAGCUGAUUUUAUGCUAUUUCAAACUCUGUAAUUCAGCUAUAUAAAGUUGCUCUUGUAUUCAUUAUUAACACAACAAUAUAAUACAAACAUUCAUUCUCAUAUUAUCUUUACAUGGUAUCAGAGCCUUCAUUCUAAUUUUCUGAUCAAUCAUGACUUUUUCUCAAAUGAUCCCUUCAAAUUCAAUCUCUUCUUCUGCUCAUCAUACCUUCUCUGUCAAGCUUACUCCAAGAAAUUAUCUUGCUUGGAAAACUCAAUUUAAUCAUCUUUUUAAUUACCAAAAUCUGACUGGGUUUAUUGAUGGUUCAACUGUUGCUCCAUUGAAAACAAUUAAAGAUUUUUCUACUUCUCCUGUUGAGAUUCCAAAUCCAUAAUAUGAAACAUGGUAUAAAAAGGAUCAGAUGCUUCAUUCCUGGAUCCUUUCUUCUCUUUCAAAAGAGAUAUUUCCUUAUGUUAUUAGGUUAUCUUCAUCUUAUGAAGUAUGACAGGCUCUCUCAAGCUUUUGGUUUAGUUUCUCAAAACCAAUAGCUGCAAUUGCACAUUGAACUCCAAGAAUUGAAGAAAAACGAUCUCUCUAUCUCAGCAUAUUUGCAACGUGCUAAAGCUCUAGCUGAUGAACUAAAUGCGGCAGGUCAUCCUCUUGCCCCAACAGAAUUUAAUGCAAUAAUUUAUCGCAAUAUUGGCAGUGACUAUCAUGCCAUUAUCACUGCCUUAAAUCUUCAUUCUGAACCAGUGUCAUUUCAUGAACUCCAUGGUCAAUCCUUAUUGCUCAUGAAAUUUUACUUAAGAGCUCUACUGAUCUUCCUCAAGCAAACAUGGUGACUUGUUAGUCUAAUUCUGCUCCAUUGCUUCCCACUCCAUCUCAGAAUAAUAAUCACAAGAAAUCUUCGAAUUGGAAUGGAAAUCUACCCCGUGGUCCUUGCCAAAUUUUUGGUUAUAGAAACCAUACUGCUGAUCGUUGUCGUCGUCGAUAUUCUCGUUACAACUCUCACAACCAAAAUGCAAUUCCUCAUGCUAAUUACUCUUCGGUUGGUAAUUCUCAAAGUAAUUGUGCAAGUUCUCAAGUUCCUAUUGCCAACUACACUCAUGGAGGUUCCACUAUGCCAUGGUAUCCUGACACAACAGCAAACUAUCACAUCACCCCUGAUUUAGCCAAUCUCAGCAUUGCCCAUGACUAUAACGGACAUGACUAGCUCCAUGUUGGUAAUGGACAAGGUUUGCAAAUAACUCAUACUGGUAUCACAUCACUUCCUUCAUCUUCUAGUUCUCUUUCUUUAAAAAAUGUUCUCUGUGUUCCUCAAAUUGUCAAAAACUUACUUUCAAUUCAAAAAUUUGCCACUGAUAAUUCCUACUUCUUUGAAUUUUAGCCCUCUUAUUUUCUUGUCAAGGAUCAGGUGUCCAAGAAAAUCCUCCUGUAGGACCUAAGUGAAGAUGGAGUGUACACUUUUCGCCCUAAUGUUAAGCAAGCAUUUACAACUGAAGCACCAACCAUGGACGAAUAACAUGCUGCUUUGGGACAUCCUCAACGGUGUAUCGUGUCUAGUUUAAUCAAGCAAUUUCAUUUACCUUGUUCCAGUAAUUCUAGUUCUCUUUGUUUUUCUUGCAUUUUGGGUAGACAUGCUAGACUAUCUUUAGGAUUAGUUCAACAUAAAAGUACUGUUCCUUUUCAACUUAUUUACUCUGAUGUUUGAGGCCUUGCUCCUUUGUUGUCUAGUCUUGGCCAUCGCUGUACUCUUAUUUUCAUUGAUGAUUAUUCCCGUUACACAUGGGUUUAUUUGAUUAAAAAUAAAAGUGAUGUUUAUUCUGUCUUUCUUCAAUUUGAGCAAUUCAUUCAUCGUCAAUUUAAUUAGAAAAUUUUGGCAUUCCAUUCGGACUAGGGAGGGGAAUACCGAAAACUAAACACCUAUUUUAAACAAGUUGGCAUUGUUCACAGACUUGCACGUCCUCAUACUCAUGAACAAAACGGUGUCGCAGAACGGAAAAUUCACCAUCUUGUUGAUACUAGUCUUGCACUUCUUGCUCAUGCUAAUUUACCACUACGGUAUUGGAAUUAUGCAUUUUAAAUGAGCUGUUCUUCUAUUAAUAAUUUGCCCACUCUAGUUCUUAAUAAUUCUUCCCCCUACUUUGUUUUAUUUCACAAACAUCCUGAUUAUUCUACUCAAAAGCCUUUUGGGUACACUAUUUUUAGCACUCCUUGUGUCUAUCUUGGUCCAAGUCCCUCUCACUCAGGUAGUCGUUGUCUUAAUUUAUCAAAUGAUAGGGUCUAUAUUGCUAGGCAUGUUGUUUUUAAUCCUAGCCUUUUUUUGUAUUGUUCUCAUAUUGCAGCAUCUCAAGCUCCAAAGGACUCUUCAAAUUUCUCGUGGCUUCACAUUAAAAGUGUAUCUCCAUCAUCCACGGGUUAUGUUGGAAAUUCAGGUCAAACCUCUACUCGCUCUAAUAUUCCUUUAUUUUCUACCACUGAUCAAUCUUCAAAUAAUUCCUUAUUGUUAGCUCAGUCCCCAUCUUUGACCACACCACCCUUCUUUCACUCUCCUAUCCCACAACAAUCACCCUCAUCAGAUUCAACCACUGAUCCUCCACUAUCUCUUAUUGUUGAUCUCACCCAUUAUCCAGCUCAACUGAAUGCUGUGUCUUCUACCUCAACCUCUCCUCCUCGAAUUCACCCCAUGCAACUUUGUUCUUCCACCAUGCAAAAACAACAUGCUUGUCUUUCCACCAAAGCUAAAAAUUACCUUAUCCCAUAACCACAAACCUUCACUCAAGCCAAACCAUAUGCUGAAUGGCGUGAUGCAAUGCAAAGUGAAAUUAAUGCCUUGCUUCAGAAUCACACAUGGGUUCUUGUUCCUCGACCUCCAGCUGCCAUAUCAUUAGCAGUAAAUGGGUUUAUCGAAUUAAAAAGAAAACUAAUGGGGAGAUAGAUCAGUUUAAGGCUCAGCUCGUUGCGAAGGGUUACUCGCAGCAGCUUGGUAUUGACUACACUGAGACCUUUAGUCCUGUGGUUAAAGCUACUACAAUUCGGACUAUUUUAUCAAUUGCUACUUCUUCACAUUGGCCAGUCCGUCAACUUGAUAUCUUAAAUGCAUUUUUACGUGGUUUUAUUGAUUCAGAUAUUUAUAUGGAGCAACCCAUUGGCUUUCAUGACUCUUCACAUCCAGACUAUGUGUGUAAGUUGUCUAAGUCAUUGUAUGGUCUGAAAUAGGCCCCUCGGGCCCGGUUUCACAGACUCACUUCCUUUCUACAGGACCUUGGUUUUCAAGCUUCAAAGGCUGAUUCUUCUUUGUUUAUACUUCAUCAAGGUGCUCUUAAAUUCUAUGUUCUAAUUUAUGUGGAUGAUAUCCUCCUUAUUUGCUCUGAUUCUACAAAACCGGAUUGAUUUUUAAGUAAGAUCAAAUCAACUUUUCCAAUUCGAGACCUUGGAUCCCUUCAUUUCUUCUUGGGUAUUGAGGCACAAUUUUUAACUAAUGGUCUUCUCAUCACCCAAUGAAAGUGCAUUACUGAUCUACUGGCUAAUUCUAACAUGUCUGAGUGCCAGCCUUGUCAUACACCUAUAUCGACCAGCCCUCCACUUUCCAAACUCUCUGGUGAUCCUUUAUCAAAUGCAGAGCAAUAUUGCCAAAUGGUUGGAUCCUUGCAGUACAUUACUCUGACCAAACCCUUAUAUCUCAUUCUCGGUCAAUAAAUUAUCUUAAUUUAUGCAUCAACCCACUCAAGAGCAUUGGAGAGCAGUUAAGAGGUUAUUGCGUUAUCUUAAGGCUAUUGUUGGUUUUGGUUUGUUCUUCUCCAAGCAUUCCACUCUUGAUUUGUAAUGCUUCAUUGACAGUGAUUGGGGUGGUUGCCCCGAUGAUCGUCGAUCAACAAAUGGUUAUGCAGUCUAUCUAGGCAAAAAUCUUAUUUCAUGGACUUCGAAGAAACAACUAACCAUUGCCUGGUCUUCCACCGAGAGUGAAUAUUGUGCUCUUGCUAACUCUACUGUUGAAAUUAUGUGGCUUCGAUCACUUCUCUCUGAACUUGGCUUCUCUUCCUCAAAUCCAGCUACAUUGUGGUGCGAUAAUGUGGGAGCUAUUUAUCUAUGUUCGAAUCUUGUCUUUCAUGCUCGAACAAAACAUAUCGAACUUGACUAUCAUUUCAUUCAAGAACAAGUCCAACAACACAACAUUCAGGUUCAUUUUAUUUCUUCAGAUGACCAGAUUGCUAAUAUUCUUACCAAACCACUUGGUCAACAUCUAUUUGUUAAGCACCGAGACAAGCUUCAACUUUGUUCUUCUCCGCCUUCAGCUUGACGAGUGGUGUUAGAGAAACAACCAGAUAUAGUUUGUUUUAUUUGUAUCUAUCUUAUUGUUCUAACUAUCAUUCUUUAAUCAUGUAAGUAGUUAGCUGAUUUUAUGCUAUUUCAAACUCUGUAAUUCAACUAUAUAAAGUUGCUCUUGUAUUCAUUAUUAACACAACAAUAUAAUACAAACAUUCAUUCUCAUAUUAUCUUUACAUUUAUAAACUCAAUAAGGCAUUAUAUAAAUUAAAGCAGGCACCACCAGGCGUACAUGCAAAUUAAUACUUAUCUAUUACGACAUAGAUUUCAAAAAAGUCAUUUUGAGCAUACACUUUAUAUCAAAUCAAAUUCUAAUGGUGAUAUAAUUAUUGUAUAUCUCUAUAAGGAUGGUUUAAUUUUUACAGGAAACUGCCAACAUAUGUUUGAAGAUUUUAGGGAAACAAUGAAACAACAAAUUGAGAUGAUAGAUUUGAGAUUAAUGUCCUAUUUUCUUGGAAUUAAAGUCCAACAAAGAGAUGAUGAUAUCUUUAUCUCAUAAAAAAAAUAUACUUUAGACAUUUUAAAGCCAUUUAAGAUGGAAUCAUCAUUAGCAAUCCGUACUUCUAUUAUAGAACGACUAUAGAUGAAGAAGAAAGACACUAGAGAAUUAGUAAAUCUUACAUAUUUCAAUGACAUACUAGGAAUUUUUGUUAUUUAACUUCUACUAGACCAAAUAUUGUUUAUAGAGUAAGAAUUAUUAGUUGAUUUAUGAAAAAACCAUAUCAGUCACACUUCCAAACGACAAAGCGAAUUUUGAGGUAUGUAAGUGAUACUCGUGGUCAUGAAAUUUUCUACUCUUACUCAAACAACUUUAAUUUAGUGGGCUACACAAAUAGUGACUAGGGAGGUGAUGUAGAGACUAGAAAAAGUACUAUUGGGUAUGUUUUUUUAUCUUGGAAUAGGGACAGUCUCAUGGUCAUCAAAUAAGCAACAAGUUGUAGCAUUAUCAACUAUAGAAGUUGAAUACAUGGCAAUUACUUUCGCAACAUGUCAAGUAGUUUGACUUCACAAGAUGCUUAGUGUAUUAAAGUAUGAACAAAAGGGUCUUACAAAGAUUUUAUGUGAUAAUAAGUCUACUAUUGCAUUGACAAAGAAUCCGAUGUUUCAUGAUAGAAGUAAACACAUAAGCAUCAAAUUUCAUUAUAUUAGAGAACUUGUGAAAAAGCAAGAGAUCAAACUUGAGUAUUGUAGAUCAGAAGAUCAAGUUGUAGAUAUUUUCACAAAGCCACUAAAGAUAGAUGUGUUCAAGAAGUUGAAGAUGAUGCUUGGUGUGAUUGACUUUACAAUUCGAAUUAAGGAAAACCGAUAAAAUUAUAAUCCGACUUAAAGUCAAAUUAAAAUAAUUUUAGAAAAUUGAGAAAUAUUAAGAAUUGUUAUUUAUUUAGGUUCCCUAUGUUAAUUAGGACUCUUGGUCUAAUUGGAAUUGGAGUCCUAGUACAAGUAUGAUUAGUUUAUUAUAAAUAGGCUUGUUAUUAUGUUGAAAAGUAGGAUGCAAUAAAUUUUUUAUUUUAACAAAUUAUUAUCAAUUCCCAAUCUUGUGGUUUCCAACAAAUAUGGAUAUGCAUAAAUAAUAUUUUUACAAUAAAAGAGCUACUUUAACCUAAAUCCUUAUUCUUCUUGAAAAUAUUAAAUCGAAAUAAAAAUACUAGAUUUCAAAUAUACUUAAAAUUAAGAUAAUAAACGAGGCCUUUCUAUUAGAUUUCAAAGCGAGAUAAACCCUAAAAAAAAUAAAUCAACAUAACAAGUUGAUCAUUGAAAUACCUUAUUUGAUUUUUUGGCGUAUUUUGGAGAAAAGCGAUAUCUCUACUCAAUAGUACAACCAUUUGGUAAACCAAAAGAUGUUGGGUCUAGACCAAUGACAACAAGCAUUUAUGGGGUCAAAGAAGUUGACAUCCUUGCUUGCAAAGGCAUUAUCAUUUGUGGCUACAAAAUAGAAGUUUUAGGCUCUACCUCAUUCUCUACGAUGGGGGUAUCAGAGUUCGUAUCUCUUAAGAUGGGGUUAUUAGGGUUCAUCUCUCGAGGUUCACCAUCUUAAUGGAUAGAGAGAAAGAAGUGUCAGGGUUUUAAGGGCAAAAAAUUGACAAAUAUAUAACUGAAAUAUAUAUCAAUGACACCAAGAUUUGGACACAUAGUAUUGAGCACACAAUCUUGCAUAUCUAGUUUUGGACAUUAUAGGAAUAGGCAUAUGGUGUUUGGUACAAUCCACUUAUGUUAUGUUUUUAAAUGGUAAAUUAUUCUAUAUUUUUUGGUAAAUUAAACCAAACCACCUUACACUGGUUGGUGACCUUAUAUCCAUAUCAACCAUUAAGAAAUGGAAAAAAAAAAAAAAAGACUUUAUGGACUUUGCCUUAUCUUUUUAUACUCCUAAUAUUUAUAAAAAUAAAAAAAUAAGCAUCUAAAAUUACCUUGUUACCCUUAUCUAAAAUUGACAAAUAUAUAACUAAAAUUUGUAUCAAGGACACUAGGUUUUGGGCAUAUAGUAUUGAACACAUAGUCUUGCAUAUCUAUUUUUGGGCAUAGAAAGAUUAGGCAUAUAAUAUUUGGUACAAACCCACUUUGUUAUAUUUUAAAACUUCAAUAUUAUAUGAUUAGUUAUAAAUUAACUUUUUAAAAGAUUUAUAAAAUAUAUGGAAAAAUUAAAUAAUUUAAUCAUAAUGGUCUUAAUUUUAAAUUUUGAAUAUAAAAAGUAUGCAAAUAAAUAAUUAUAUAUGGGUUGAGCCAUAAGUCUUUUUAUCAUGAUAUGUUAAUUAUAUGGUCAAGUUAAAAAGGGUUGUGUGUAUUGAAGCUAGCCUUCAACUACGACAUGACUUUUAAUAAACAAGUUAAGUAGGUAGGGAUGCAUAUAACACAAACAUUAUUUACCUUAAUCAAAACUCAUUAAUUUUGUGUCAUUUCAAAUAUGUUUGUAGGUUAAACAAAAAAUUAUGACUUAUUUAUAGGUUUUGUGAAUUUCUCUUCUAAUCCUUUGUCUUUGUUUUAGGCAUGAGAAUGCUUAUCACAUCCACAAUAAGUAUUAAAAAAAAAAAAGGUGGGCCUCCUAGUCUAACCCUUUAAAUGUCUUCACCCACCCUUUAGCACAACCAUAGGUUAAGACAACAAAAGCUCAUUGAGAAUGAGUGUCCCAAUUAAAUCUAAAUCUCCAUCUACAAUGAAAAUUUUCUCAUGUAAAACUUGGUUCAAGAAUCCUUAAAUCAACUUGGUUAUAAAUUUUCUGAAUUCAAUUUCUUAUGAUCCGAAUCUUUCAUUGAUUAAUUAUUUAGCAAUUAAGAUUAUUAAAAUACUUUUUUCUCAAAUAACAUGGUAUCAGAACAUCAAUCCUAAAACCCUAGUCUCAAUAUGCAUUUCCUAAAAGGAUGCAGGAGCAAUCAAAUAGAUAUCAAUUUUUGUCUAUUGAUAUUGAAAUUCAAAAAAGAUAAGAGGGAAGAGUUCUAGAUUGUUCAAUUUUUCUUGAGCAUGGAAAGGGAUCCAUUCUUUUUCAUCACUUGGAUUUCUUCCCUGUGUAUCGAUUCAUGUUUGAAAAUUAUGUGGUGGAAAUCCUGGUCAUUAAAAGUUAUUUCUGUCUACUUUGAUUUCCUAACAUUUUUAUUUGUUGGUAACAUGCAUGACAUGUAUAGUUAUUCUUGUUCCAGGCCUUUUGGCUUUUGGACAACUCGCUACUUGAGGAUUUUCAGGGGUACAAAUUAUCAUUCCUGUAGUUGCCAUAUUGUUUUAUCUUGCUUUGAUUUUUCAUUUUAAUCUUUGUUUUCAUGCACUGAUGAUUUCAGCUAUAUAUGGACCCUUGCAUCGUUAACAUCUCGGAAAAUGAAUCUCUCUUGAAUGCAGUGAUCCACAAAGCAUUGUCAAAAUUGGUGAAGGUACUUACAGUGAAACUUUCAGGGCUGGUAAAAUUGUCUGCAAAAUGGUUCCAAUUGAUGGAGAAUUACUAGUGAACAAGGAAGUACAAAAGAUGUUUAGUUAUUUUACCUUAGUUGCAUCUUUUUUUUUUCCCAGUUAUUUUUUAGUGUGAGAAGUUAUUUAGAGGUGGGGGGGAGGAAGGUUUGUCAAGUUUCUGUGGCACAAUUGUUUUCUCAAUAUAGUUUGUGGUUUUAUGUGUGCCUAAGCAGUUAGGUGAUGCUGAACUAGCUUCCAUUCAGCAGGACACUUAUUAGGUUGCAGGGUACAUGCAUAUGUUAACUUCCAUUCAGGAGUGUUAAAGCAUGGACAGUCGAUCAUGCUUUGAGUGUCUUAGUGCCUAGUUUUGAAGAAAAUCCUAUCUCCCAGGCACCCACCAUUAUCAGCUUUGGCUUGUUAGUUACUUUGUAUAGACUACAGUUCACCUUUUGCUCAUCCAGUUCACAUCCUUUGUGUUUAUACAAUAUGUUUCUUUACAGAAUUUAAAGUUGAUAAGCAAAUAUUGGAAGAUACUUUUUGCAGAGCUACCCUUUUAUUUAUUUCUUUAAUUAAUGGGGUUUGGUUGGGGAAGGGGAUGGGUGUUCUGGAUUGUGGAGUUGGUUGUGUUAUCUAGCAACCUUGUUUAGUUCCUAAGCAUGUGGUUUUCUAUGCUGGAGAGAUUAGGUGAAUUGCUUGAGGAGGCCAUGCUUCCCCCAACUCUUAAUCAUUUAUGAGGAGGUAGAGGUCACAUUAACAAUUCCUGUACCACCUUCAUAGAAACACUAGAGUAUGUUUCCCUUGUGAUUUGGUAUAACUACCUAGAGCCAGUUCAGGAUAAAUAUAUAUAUAUAUGAAGUGUCUUUGCUUUAGUCAUAAGAAUAAAGAAAGAAUGUCUCGAGGAAUUGAAGGAAAUUUAGUAAUGUAAUUGGAAUAAUAAACAUACCAAUGCUUUAUAGAAGCUAAAUGUCCAAUUACAUGCUACAUAAAUUAAAGCUACCGACUUAAGGCUUUCAGGUGAAACAUUGAAAUUCACUACAAGCUUCAAGGAUAUGAUAUCCUCAUUAUUUAAAAAUACUAGGAAUAUUCUUGAGAAAUAUUAAUCUUAUCAAGUAAGGCUAAAAUACGGGUACAUUACUCUAAAAGUUCCAAUUUACUUUGGCAAAUUAGGGAUUCAAUCUCUUCGUAACUAUUACUAAGAAGUUCAACUUGUUCUUUGAAUGUUCCAAGUCUUUCUUCAUUACUUACCAACGUGACUAAAGAGACUCACAAUUUAUGUUUGGUCAUAUCAUCCUUGGAUAACAUCUCAUCAACAAAUUGAGCAUCAAGAGCUGCUCUUAAGAAUCGCUAGUCAAAUUGUCCACAAUUGAGAGAGCUUUACUCAUAUAUGAAGUAGAGAUUGCAACACCAAGGAUGAUAGAGAUCUUGAAAUACUGAUAGACUUAGGGCAGAAUAAUUUUCAAGUAGAUCUUGAGCUCCACCAAGGAAAGGGAAACGAAUCACCAAGGGUGAAACAAAAUAUUGUUAGACUUAGGAUAGAAUAAUUUUCAAGUAGAUCUUGAGCUCCACCAAGGAAAGUGAAACAAAUCAUCCAAGGUGCAAAACGACCAACAAGUGGUUGAGCCAACCAAAGUCUUGUAAACUAGCAAAGUAUUCUUUUUACAAGAAUCCAAAGAAUCUUGAAAGAAAAUCAUCUUUGAAACUAAUGUGGUUAAAUGUAUUUACAUCCAAUCAAAUAUAUUCAAAAUUUACUCACUUUUACACAUUCAAAUAUGUAAAGAAAUUUUGGAGGAAUUGUAAAAUGGUAAAAAAAAUUUACUACUUAGUGAUUACCCUGUCUAAAAAAGAUAUGUAAUAAAAAAUGCAUAUAAAAAAAAAGUAAUAGCACUUAUAAUUCUAUCAAAUCAAAUUGUGAUGCAUAUCUAUGACCCACACAAAGGAAAACAAGUUGAUUUUAAAUUAAACAAAGAAAUAAGAAAUUUGGUAAUUAAAAUAUAAUUACCAAAAUAAAUAAAUAAAUGGUGAAUCUAAUAAGUGAAAAAGUAAUUGUCCAUCAUUAAUAAAUUAGAAGGUAUCCAAAUGUAUUUUCCAAAGUUUCAUAUAUAUUUUGUAUUUUUAGUUAAAUAUCAUAUUUUAAGGGUCAAAACUAUCCAAAUUAUGUUUAAAAAUAUCUCCAAAUCUACUUUGAUUAAGGAAUAACAUUUAUAAGGAAUAAGAAAAACUAUUCAAAUAUAGUAAAAUCAUGAUAAAUAAAUUUUCAUUAAAUUAAUAACAAUGUUUAAAUAAUAAAAUUUUUUGGUUUCAAGUUGGAUCAAUAUACUAAAUUAAUAACCUUUUUAAAUGCAUAAAAUAAUAAUUUUUUUAGAAAUAUUUCAAGAAUCAAGGAAAUAUAAAUUAAUAAUUGAUGAAGUACAUGAAAAAUAGUAAAUAAAAAUUCAUAAUACCAACUCUUUAUCAAAAUAUGCAUCUAAAACCGUCUAUCCUUUCUUUGUAUUUAAACUAAAUUCAACUUAAUCCUUAAUUUUUUGUAAUUCAUACACUAUAUUUUUUUCAUGUAUAGGUAGUAUAGUAAAAAUAUAAUAUUCUCUCUAAAUUAAUAAAUAUUCAUUUAUUAACAAAUCAAUAACUCUAUUAAAAUAAUAAUUUCUUUUGGUUUUAAUAGUAUUGUUUAUGGGGAUUUUAAUAUGUCUCUCUUAUACCCUAUAAAUAAAGGGUCUCUUUAAUCUACAAAAUUGAACUAAAUACGAGUUUCACACUUGAAAAGAAUUAUGGAAAGCUCCCCUCAAAGACUCAAAAAGUUUUUUAAAGCCUUUAAAGAUUUGAAGGGCAAGGUUCAAGAUUCUAGAUUUGAAGAUUUGAAAAUUUUGAAUAUCAAGUUCGAAACUUUGAAGAUCAAGUUUGAAGUUUCAAAGAUUAAAAUCGAGACGUUUUCAAUUCGAGAUCAAACAUUUAUACCUUGAGUUAAUGUGAUCCAACUAAGGUCCAAGUCCAACCCAAGGCACUCUAAGGUUCAAAUCCAAAUUGAAGAUACGCAAAAAUCUAGGCCUAGCCCACUACACACCAAGGUCUCAACAUAUUAAACUCCAAGCUGACACAUCAAAGUCUAAGCCCAAGCCAAGACAUGCCAAGGUCUAAUCCGAGUUAAGACUAAGGUGGUGUUUGUUUUUUUGGCUUUUUGUUAAAAGUAAUUUGUUUUCAGAAUUUAAGAUAUUUGUUUUUCUAUUUUUUCAUGACUUAUUAUAAACUUUUUACUAAAUAGAAAAAGCUAAAAUAUGUAGCUUUUUCUAAAUAGAAAAAAUAACAUAUAUGAUUUUUCUUUACUUUUUAAUACUUAAUAAAAAUAAAAUACCAUAAAAAUAAACAAUCUAAUAUUGAACACUAUUAAGCAUUAAGGUUCUAUUUAGAAUUAAGUAAAAAAAACAAACAUCAUCUCAAUCAAAUUUAUUAUAAAAAGAAUUUUAGUACUUGUUCCUAAAAUUAACAAAUUUUCAAUUUGACUACAAGUUUUUUUUUUUUUUUACAAAAAAUUGUAUUCAAUAUAAUUAUAAUAAUAAUAAUAAUAAUAAUAAAUGUUACCUAGAUAUUUUUAUAUUUAAAUAUUAACUAUCUUUAAAGUAUUUUUAACAAAAACAUUAUUUAGGGUCUGCCAUACCUCCCCUUUUUUUACCAAUCAAAAUAUGACACAUGUAAAGUUUACAUUAAUAAAAAAUUGAAAAACACCAAUACUACAAGUUACCAACCGGUUAACCAUGUAUUUUAAAAGGAAGCAAUCUCAUACACCCAAAAUUUAAAUUAUCUUUACAACAACCAAUUAUAUUAUUCAACAAAUUAUUUUAUAAAAGUUGUAAAAUAUUUAAAAUUUUCUAAAAUAAAAGUUUCCACUUAUUUUAUGAUAUAAAGUUAUAACAUUAGGACGUUGUGAAAAAAUCAUUUAUAAAUAAAUUAAAAUAAGUAUUUAUUGUUAAAAAUUAUUAUAGUGAUCAAUCAAUUACUAAUUGAAAAUUGUAUUAAUAAUUUUUUUACUUAUUAUAAUUUUAAUUUUUUUUAUGGAGAGGUUGGUACGAGUGUCUUCCAUUUUUGUAUUUAACUUUAAUAUGUUUUUUUUCAAAUAUUUCAUUAAUUGUAACUCAAUAAAGGUAUUUUAUUGUUAUUUGAAAUAAAAAAAUCUUAAAAUUAAAAAUAUAUAUAUAAAGGGUGCGAGAAAUAUGGGAAAUGGUACCAAGAAUGUGAGACCCUCUCUAAUUUUGAAGCUUAGUACUUAUAAAACUAUUUUGUUCAUAAUUUUCAUCAUUGUAAGUGUAACUAGUAGGAACAAAGUAUAUUAUUGAUAUUUGAAGUGGAGAAAAAAUUCUUAAAAUUUAAAAAAGAUAGAAUAGUUUGUAGGGUAAAAAGAAUGUGGGGAAUGAUAAGAAGAAUGAGAGGAAUCCUUAUAUUCUUAAUACUCUUUCCCACAUUUUUUGUAUUCUCUCCAAUUUUGAUAUUUUUGCCUUUUAAAUUUAUUUUUGUUCAUAAUUUUCAUCAAUUAUUAAGUGUAAGUAGUAUGAAUAAACAAUAUUAGAAUGAGAAAAAAAUUCUUAAAAUUAAAAAAAAAAAAUGAAAAUUUUGAAAGGUAGAAGAAGUGAAGAUUCUUCACAUUUUUCGUAUCAUUCCUCAUAAUCCUUACCCUUUCCAAUUUUGAAGUUUUUUACUUUUAAAUUUUUUUUGUUUAUAAUUUUCAUCAAUUGCAAAAUGUAACUGGUAUAAAUAAAAAAUAUUAAAGCUAUUUGAAGUGGAGAAAAAGAAUUCUUAAAAAAAAAAAAAAAAAAAAUGAAAAUUUUAGAGGUUACAAAGAGUAUGGGAAGUGUAUGAAGAAGGUGAAGAUUUUCACAUUUUUCAUACUCUUCCUCUCACAUUCUUCUUAUCAUCUCCAAAAUUUUAGUGUUUUAUUUUUUAAAAAGAAAAAUUAGAAUAUUUUUUUAUCAUUUAUAAGCCUUAUUAAUAUGGGUAAACAAUAUUAUAUCAUUUUCAAGUGGGAAAAAAAAUCUUAAAAUUGAAAAAAAAAAUGUAAAAUAUCUAGGAUACAAAGAAUGUGGGGAAGGAUAUGAAAAUUUUAAGGAGUCCUCACAUUGUUCAUAUUCUUACAUUCUUUGUACCCUAAAAAAAAAAAUUGAAAAUUGAAAAAAGUGUAAAAUAUCAAGUGUACAUAGAAUGUUGGAAUGGUAUGAAUAAUGUAAAGAUUCAUCACAUUAUUCGUAUUUUUCCACACAUUUUUCGUACCAUCUCCGAUUCUUUUAGUAUUUUAAUUUUUUAAGAAUUUUUUUAUCAUUUAUAAGUCUUAAUUAGUAUGAAUAAACAAUAUUAUUGUAUUUCUAAAUAAAAAAAAAUCUUAAAUUUUAAAAAAGUAUGAAAUAUAUGAAAUGCAUACCUUUCUCACAUUUAUGAUACCCUCCACAAUUUUUUAGUGUUUAAUUUUUAAUUUUUAAUUUUUACAUAAUUUCCACCAAUCCUAAGUGUAUAUAAUUGGUGUUUUUAAAUUUCAGUGAGUGAAUUUGAAUUUUUAAUAAUUUGUUAAAAAUAAAACAAUGUGAAUGAUAUGUGAUGAAAUUUUUAUUUUUAUUAAGUAAAUAUGUUUUAUAAAUUUUAUAUCAUUUUUAUUUUUAUUUUUAUCCAAUUCUAUUUUUUAUCUCAAUAUUUAUGUGUUAUUUAUUUCAUUCCUAUCCAUUAUCCAUUUAAAACUAAUCAUUCCUAUUCAUAUACUAUUUAUUUUAUAUAAACUCAAAUAACUAUUAUCCAUUAAAUUUAAUUAUAAAUUAUGUAUUAUUGUGGACCCCGUAUUUUCGUGCUCAACGCGUUUCACACUCGAAUGGCGAGCUCGAUUUUUAUUUGAAAAAUUAUUUUAUUGAAAAUGAUUUGGAGUCGCCACUUAUUUUUGUUUUAUUUUUAAAGGGUAAACAACAUAAGAAAGAAAAACCCUAAAUAUGACUCAUUGUUUUGGAAAAGGUAGUCUGUGAAAAACCGGAUCGGGUUCGGGGGUCAGGUUACUUAUCAGGAAGGUAUGGUAAAGACCGUAGCACCCCUCUAAGUCCUUAAAGUCGGGUCUCUACUAAUAAAAUGAAGUUGACAUGACAACCAAUGAGAAAGUCAAUGAAAACUCAAAUUGAUCAUGCACGUAUGAGAAUAAAAACAUGAAUAUAAAGUGACCAGAGUGAGAAUAGGUGUGUACCUAGGCAACGAACCGUUAUGCGCUAUCAAGAGAGGGGGUUAGCGCACAAUUAAAGAAUAAUCUCAUGCAUGUCAUAGAGCAUAAUAAAAUUAAUCAUGUAUGAUAAUCGGAUCAAUCAAUCAAUCAAUCAAUCAAUCAUAAAUUCACUUAUGUAAGGCCCCUACCAAAGCCCGUUUAUUUUAGCAUGAAUUAAUUUCAUAAAUUCUAUUAUUCGGAAUUACGGAAUUUAUUCUUUGCUUAUUUUAAAACUUAUUCAAAAAUCAAAGAAGUUAUGAAAGUUGCGUGCCGAAGGGAAAUGGCAGCAAAUUUUAUUAAAAACAGGAUUUUGGAACCUAAAAGAAACUUAAGGAUGAAAAAUGGGAGAGUUGAAUUUUAUUUGAAAAUCGAAAUUUGAAAAGUUAUUUACAAAAUAGACUUUGAAAAAUGAUUUGAGGAAUAAGAGUGGGAAAUCAUUUAUAGGAAUAAAAUAAGGAUGGAAAGAAUAGAAGGGUGGCACGUGACAUAAAGGUGUUCAUGCAUAAUGAUGUCUUGCACGUGGGCCCGAGGGGCAACUGAUGUAGCUUGUGGGAUUGAUGAUAUCAGCUGAUAUAUUCUCUGACUUUCCCCUCCUGGCGACCACCAUAUAAACCAUGCAUGCCUUCAAGCAUCUGGUAUUUGCUUCACAAGCAUAACAGAUGCAGCACACACCGUCGUCACCAUCUUUUUCAUCACCACAGACUAUGCUCUCCACUUCCCAUGACUUGAUUUGGCUGAUAAGGGGACUCGAGAAUUGUUUUAACUGGGCAAGUUUAGCGAGACACGUGUCUCCUAAUCAUUGGUCAGACUUUUGUAAAAUGCGGCAUACUCUUCUUUAAUAAUCUCCCCAGAUUUCCUCAUCCAGAUGGUCAUUUGCUCGUCGACCAAGGACUACUCACGUGAAGCUUCCUUGAUUUUCUUCUUCAAAAAUUUCCUUCUCAGUGGUCUUUCCAAUCCUGUGACUUCCAGAUAUACUCUUCAUCAUCAUUGUGCUUGGUAGCGACGAUCACCUUCUCAAACACCAAGUAAGCCAAGUAGAAUCCUAUACCAAACUGUCCAAUCACGUUCUCGUCAAUGCCAGCAGCUGAAACUUCCACAAACUCCUCAUGCAGGCUACAUGGUGUGAAAUACGGGCGUAAAAGGUUUGGCAUAUAUGAGUACCUUUAGGGAACCGGGUAGUGAGAGAAAUGGACGGGUGGGCAUUGGAAGGUGGUGGUGAAAUUAAGAUAGAUAAAUUGUAGGAGAUGGGCACGAGGAAAUGAGAGAUGAGUUGGGUAGUAGGCACACUAAUGGACAAGGUGGAUAUGGAUGACGGGAGAGUGAGAUUGUGGGUAUGGUGAGAACCCUUGAGAGCGAGGAAAGCAGUGUAUGGAACCACAGUGCUUUUUCCAUGAGUUUCGAUGGGUCGGUAUGAUGAGCAGGAGUCAACUAUCCAUUCCUUUGUAUACAGCCUGUUUGUGAUACACGGAUUGAAGGUAGUGCUCUCAAAGACUAUAGACGAUAACCCAGAAAGACCUGCAUCGGAUACUCACGUUGAAGGCUCAUGCUCCGCAAAGGGACAAACCCCAUUUGGGGAUUUUAUAAUACCAAUCCAACCACGCUUCAAGGAUGAAACCGCAGACUUCUUCAUAUGAUGCAUCUUCAGGAAAUUAGCCCCGCUCCCACUGAUCCAAAACUGAAACUGGAUAAUCAUUAAUUUCUUCAACUCUUUCAGAGCAAUGAAACUGAGACUUUUGCAUAAAACCCAGUUAGCCCAAUCGAAAGAAAAAUCAAAGGCUGAGACACAGUUUCCUCGAUUGCACAAACUUUGAGAGCAAUAUCUGUCACGACCCAAAUUCCGGGCGACCCAAAAUUUGACCCGUGAUCCCAGGUCAAAGGUUUGACCCUAAGGGUUCCUCCUAUUCCAUGUUGGCAGUCAACCAAAACACUCUGGAUUUUUUUUUUUAUACAUCUCACUAGAAUUCUCAUAAUUUACAAUAUCCCAAAACUACUCAAAACAACAAGAUUAAAUAAAUAUUCAUUAUAGUCCAAAAUAAAAGUUCUCAAUUAACAACUUAAUCAAAUAAAGCUUCAUAGCAAAUCCAUGAGUCAUAAUUGCUAAAACAAAUCCCCAAAAUCCAAAAAGAAACACAAUAACAAAUAAAUGUCACGCUCCACUAGGCCUCUCCAGGAGCAUCCUGAAGUCCUCCCUGUCCCACCUGUGGAUCCUCAGGAGAGAUAUCUGCAUCUAAAAAGGUGUAACAAGGAAGGGGUGAGCAUUUCCACAUUGCUCAGUAGGGUGCCUAACACCCAAGGGGUUAAAGGGAUUACUAAGUUCAAAGAAUACGAAAAGAACACUUCAACACCACAGGAACAAUUCAACAGUGUCAAUCAAACCACAUAGUUUAAUAUAUAUAAUUUUAUACCCAAUUUCACAAUAUUCAACAAUUACAUGAAUGCACAUGAACGUGUGACACACAGUCAUACAAUGCACUAUUGUUCUCGGGCUUUCACCGAAGGAUACGCGUCCGCACCCAAAUACACUCCCCAUUCGGAGUCUUCCCGGGGUAAACUUUUGGGNNNNNNNNNNNNNNNNNNNNNNNNNNNNNNNNNNNNNNNNNNNNNNNNNNNNNNNNNNNNNNNNNNNNNNNNNNNNNNNNNNNNNNNNNNNNNNNNNNNNNNNNNNNNNNNNNNNNNNNNNNNNNNNNNNNNNNNNNNNNNNNNNNNNNNNNNNNNNNNNNNNNNNNNNNNNNNNNNNNNNNNNNNNNNNNNNNNNNNNNNNNNNNNNNNNNNNNNNNNNNNNNNNNNNNNNNNNNNNNNNNNNNNNNNNNNNNNNNNNNNNNNNNNNNNNNNNNNNNNNNNNNNNNNNNNNNNNNNNNNNNNNNNNNNNNNNNNNNNNNNNNNNNNNNNNNNNNNNNNNNNNNNNNNNNNNNNNNNNNNNNNNNNNNNNNNNNNNNNNNNNNNNNNNNNNNNNNNNNNNNNNNNNNNNNNNNNNNNNNNNNNNNNNNNNNNNNNNNNNNNNNNNNNNNNNNNNNNNNNNNNNNNNNNNNNNNNNNNNNNNNNNNNNNNNNNNNNNNNNNUCUCCCGCGUGCUGCACUUUUCCAAUUUUCACCCUUUUCCUUUUUUUUUUUCUUUUUCUUUUUACUAACAGCCCAGCCCACUUCACAUGGCUUUUUAAAAAAAACCACCAGCCCACUUGCUCCAAGCCCAACUCAAAAACUAAGCCCAAUCCAUUAUUAUUGUUAUUAUUUCUUUUCUUUUAUUUUCUUUUCUUUUCUUUAUUCUAAUUGUUUUAUUUAAUUUCCAAUUCAUUUUUUUUUUCAUUUUAACACACAAUUUUAUUUAUUAACACCAAAUAAAAACUAAUUUUCUUAAUAUUAUUAUUCAUCAAUUUACUUUAAUUAAUUAAUUUAUUUUUCUUAAUUAAUUCUAAUUAAUCUUAAUUUAUUUAUUUUUCAUUUUUCGUUUUCGUUUUUCGUUCCCGUAAAUUUCCAAUUUCUAAAAUCCUAAGAAUUUUCUAUCCUAAGGCUGACAUGGCAUAAAAUUUCAACUCGUUUAAUUGACCGACGCAAUAAAACGAAAUUCACCAAUCCGAAAUUGACACGUGUUCUCCAAACGCUUUUCUUUUUGACUUUUCAACCAUCACAUAAAUUAAGACUUUUCAAACUAAAAUUGCUAACGUGGCAUAAAAUACCCGGUCAUUACAAUAUCAGUGAUAAACCUCCGAAGGACUUGCAGAGAAGCUUCAAAAAUCCUCCGUCAUGUCCAUCUUUGCAAGUCACCCGAUAUAGUAACCGCUAAUUCAGAGGAGAGCCACCAAGCGACUCCAUAAGCAAUGAGACAGCAUUUACUCAAAUUCAGGAACCGAACUUUUAUGAAAUCCCAAGGCCAUGAUAGCCAAACCCUUAUUCUUGUAGGUGUAAACAGCCACCGAGAAUAGAGAAUAAACCAUGAAAGGGACAAGCAUAAAGAAAAGAAGAAAAAGAAACAGAGCAUCCAAUGGAUGGGUGGGAAGAAUCAGAUGAAAGCAAGAUCCAGGAAUAUGACACAGACAAACAAAAAGAACUAAAGAAGAGUUAGAUCAUUCUUAAUCAAAUUUCAUAUGAAGAACCAAACAUGUGUUAUGCAUAGCACCAUAACCCAGAAGAUAUCAAUGACGAUCAAAGCAUGGUUUGGCGAACAUACCUGAGAAAACUCCUUUUCUCUCUCACUCUGCAGCUUCAAGAAUCUCACUGGAGAAAAGAAAAUCUCCCUCAAAAGUCUCUAUCUCCUAGCUGAAAAUAUCUCCUCCUCCACAGCAAAAAGGGCACCUCCCCUCCCUAUCUGCAGCCCAAACUCAAAAAAAAACCUCUCUGCAACUCUCUUUCUCUAAAAAGCUCCUCUCCCACAGCUGAAAAAACACCCUCUCCCCCCAAAACACCACCCCCUUUCCACCUGCAGCUGGCCUGCUACUCUUCAACAGAAACGCACUCCUCUCUGAAGAUCCCUCCCCAGGUGUCAACCAUUCAUUGGCUCCUUCAACUCCACUACCUGCUUCACUGAAGGCCAAUUACGAGGUGACACGUGGUUCCUUGAGAUUGUGACACCUGUCCAAAGUUAGCUGCAGAAAAUGAGCCCCAAACGGGAUCUACAAUUAUCCAUUUAAAUCCACCCUUUUAGAAUCAAACAUCAUAUUUUAAUUAAAUAAAAUUUAAAUUUAAUGAAAAUCAUUUAAUAACAACCGGUUACUCCCUUAACCGGUCAUAUCCUUUUUUUUUUUCAUUUUUCUUUUUUCAAAUUUAAAAUGGAUGGUCAAGAUCUAAUCUUGGACUUCCAACGGAUAAAAAAAAGUUUCGGUACAGUACCGCAUUCGGUACUGUAGAAUUUUCCUUAACAAAGUCUACUAAAUUAAAAUGACUUCCUUCCAAUGGGACCUCUACGCGUUUUUUCUGGUUUCUUAUAAAAGGCCCGAUAAAUCCAAGAAAGUAGUGGAAUUCCAGUCGCCACAGUCACCAGUUGCAGAUUGGCUAUGUCCUCCACUUCCACCACAGCCUCAACUACGGAUCCAGCUGAACGGUCUCGGCGUUCGCUUGUGUUGCUCUGAUCCUUCCACCUUCGACUUCCUACUUCCAUCUUUACUGCCAGACUGCCAGUACCAAUCCUACGCACCGUCUGAAACAUCAGCACUCCUUAUGUCAUCACACCCGGCUGAGACCCAGCUGAUCCCUUUAUUUUCGGUUUCAUCAAAUUAAUGAGUUUGGAUCAAAUCAAUCCCAUGCUCACCUUGGCUGUCUAUCUUUCUUCCUUCUUUCUUCAAUUCCUCAUCUCCAUGGCCGGGGAUGAGUCUCCGCCUUAUAGGCCCACUGAUAAUAUUCUCCUCGACUGCGGCUCAUCCAUCAACACAAAGUCUCCUGACGGCAGGACUUGGCAAGGUGAUCAAGGGUCAAAAUUCUCUGGAACUUCUGAUGUUCAAAACUCAUCCUCAUCAUCCAAAGCUUUCCGGCAAGACCCAUCGGUCGACCAAGUUCCAUACAUGACCGCUCGUAUCUUUAACUCCUCGUUCACAUACAGCUUCCCUGUUUCAGCCGGACCCAAGUUUGUCCGCUUCUACUUCUACCCAACUGCGUACUCUGGCCAUAAUGAAUCCGAGUUCUUCUUCUCCGUCACAUCAGGGGUGUACACCCUCCUAAGCAACUUCAGCGCUUCUCUUACAGUUGCUCCUAUGGGGUCCGGAGUAUCUUCCCUUGUUAAAGAAUUUUCCAUCAACGUGUGGGACAACCAAAUACUCAAUAUAACCUUCUCUCCAUCCCCAAACUCCUGGGCCUUCGUUAAUGGUAUUGAAGUCGUUUCCAUGCCAAAUCAUCUCUACGGACAAAUUGACCUUAAAUUGGUUUCCGCGGUUCAGCAAUUUGAAAUGGAUAACUACACAGCCCUUGAAACUGUUUAUCGUUUAAAUGUUGGUGGCAAUCAUAUCCCGGCGGAAGCAGACAGUGGAAUGUUUCGGUCCUGGAGUCAGGAUGACUCUUACAUAUACGGAGGAAAUUUGGGGUUGACACCUAACCUGGAUAUCCGCAUACAAUACACUCAGACGACACCGCCUUACAUUGCACCACGUACAGUCUACACCACUUCACGCACCAUGACUAAACAAGAGGAGAUAAAUAAGAGAACCAACUUGACGUGGCUCUUCCAUGUGGAUUCUGGGUUUUAUUAUCUUGUUAGGCUUCAUUUCUGCGAGUUGCAAUUGGAGGUAACCCGUCCAGGUGAACGAGUUUUUUCUAUAUUUCUUAACAAUCAGACAGCUGAAGAAGAAAUGGACGUCAUCGUUAGGAGUGGUGGCACAGGAUAUCCAAUUUAUCAAGAUUAUGUUGUUUAUUUGUUAUCCGAUGGCAGCCGAAGGAAGCAGGAGCUGUGGCUCGAUUUACAUCCUAAUGCGGAUAGCAAGUAUGCUAACGUAAUAUUAAAUGGAUUAGAGAUGUUCAAGUUAAAUAAUUCCAACGGUAGUCUCGCAGGACUCAAUCCUGAUCCGGUACUAAAUCCUCCUCCCUCGGAACAGCACCCAAACUCCCCGGUAAAGCCCAACAAUAGGGCGCCACUGGUGCUGAUAACAGUCAUUGUAGCUGCGGUCGGCGGAGUAGUCGCACUCUCUCUUCUCUGGUUCUUGGUUCUCCGACCGCGGAUGAGAGUGAAACACGUUGGUGGCAUCAGUCGGGCAAAGUCAUCUUGGGUCCCAUUUUCCUACACGACAAGGUCCACAAGCACCAACGGCUCGUCACUACCGGCCGAUAUCUGCCGCCACUUCUCCCUUGCCCAGAUUAAAGACGCCACAUGCAACUUCAACAAGAACUUCAUCAUCGGCGAGGGAGGGUUCGGAAACGUUUACAAAGGCUUCAUCAAAGGCGGCUCCACCACGGUUGCGGUUAAACGGCUGAAUCCAUCAUCAAAACAAGGUGCCCGCGAAUUCGAAACAGAGAUCAGAAUGCUGUCCAAGCUCCGCCACAUCCAUCUCGUGUCUAUGAUCGGUUACUGUGAUGAAGAAGGAGAGAUGAUCCUUGUCUACGAUUACAUGGCUCGUGGCACUCUUCGUGAUCAUCUUUAUAAAACAAAAAACCCUCCACUCCCAUGGAAGCAACGCCUUCAAGUCUGCAUUGGGGCGGCGCGUGGAUUACACUACCUUCACACAGGCGCGAAGCAUACAAUCAUUCACCGGGACGUCAAAUCCACCAAUAUCCUGUUAGACGAGAAAUGGGUGGCCAAGGUUUCGGAUUUCGGGUUGUCUAGAGUAGGCCCCACGAGUAUGACCCAGACCCACGUCAGCACAGCAGUGAAGGGCAGUUUCGGUUACGUGGAUCCAGAGUAUUUCCGGUUGCGGCAGUUGACGGAGAAGUCUGACGUGUACUCGUUCGGAGUGGUGCUGUUUGAAGUGUUAUGCGCUAGGCCGGCGGUGAUUCCCGACGCUCCAGAAAAGCAGGUGUGUUUAGCAGAGUGGGGCCGGAGAUCUUAUCGGAAAGGAGCCCUAGUUCGGAUCAUGGACCAAAAUCUGAGGGACGAGGUUGCGCCAGAGUGUUUGAAAAAGUUUGGGGAGAUCGCUGAUAGCUGCGUGCGUGACAAGGGAAUCGAACGGCCACCAAUGAGCGAUGUGGUGUGGGCCCUUGAGUUUGCACUGCAGCUCCAGGAGACGGCGGAAAGGAACUCCCAAAUCAACAGUGGGGAUGAGGUGUACAUUGGUCGGGUUGGAAUCAAACCGGACGGCUCACAACCGAGCCCAAUUACUGUGACACGUGGAGGUACCAGCACCAGUGAUCACGAUGACCUGAUCUCAGUGUCAAGCUCAAGCACUACCGUCACGUCUAGGGUGAGCACUAGUCAAAUGAGCGUCCCCAGUUACGACCACGUCAGAUGGGUGUGCUCUGAGAUAGAUAAUACAAAGGGACGAUGAGAUCAGCCCGGUCAGGUCAUGCUCAUGGAUCUCACAGCAGAGAAGGGUAGUCAGGAUUAGGUGUCAGCUGAGUCAACUCGUAGAGUAGAGUAGCUUCUACCCCGGUUUAUGUUGACUUAGACUUAAAAGUAAUGAUUAAAAUAUCACGUAAAAUGAAACGCAGAUAUAGAUAUAUAUAUAUAUAUAUAUAUAUAUAUAUAUUUUAUAGGUUAAAAGUGAGUCAAGUCGUUUACGCGUUUAUUGAUAUGUAGACGUGAGAAGUUGGUGUGUGAAUAAUGGCCUACUUCGCUUUCACGCGGAUGGGAAAAUGGUGGCCAUGGAAGACCACUUGGGUUGCUGCUUUGAAAGUGGAGGUUCAAAUAAUGCACAUUAAAAAGGAAAAUGAGAAGAAGUGGGAAAGGAAAAGGAUGUAAAGCGACAAAGCGUAGCUUGAGAAUUUCAUGGUGUAUAAAAAAGAAAAAAAUAAUUAUUCCCUACUUUGUUAAAGUUUGCCAAUUUUCUAAACAAGAGAUUAUAUGCAACAAUUUCUCACAAAAAAAAUGUUAAAAAAAAACUAUGAAAAAGAAAACAAGCUAUUAUGGUAAAAUAAAAAUAAAAAUGAGGAGUUUAAUAAUUUGUUAAUAGAAGCAAUGAGUUUAAUUUUUUAAAGAAAUUUAUUAAAAAAAUGUAUUAUGAAUUAUGCAAAAAUAAUAAUAAUAAUAAUAAUAAAUGUUCAUAAAGUAAAGAAAAUAAAUAUUAUUUCUUAAAUUAAAAUGAUAAAAUAUUAUUAAUCUUUGAUUGCUCUUUAUUUAUAAAAAUAUUGACAGAAGUGGAUUCUUAUCAUUAUGUGUUUAAUUUUGUACAUUUUUUUCAUGAUUUUGUGCAUCUCCUUUAUUAUUCUCAUUUUAUAUUUUGUCAUUUUGUAUAUUUUUUAUUCUUUUUCUUAAUACGUUUUCUCAAAUCGGAGUGGCAAUAGUCUGAAAACAUGGUACAGACAUCUUUUGGCAAACACUUGAUAAAAAUAUAUAUCAAAUUAUUCUUUUUUUUUUUAGAAUUGGAAUCCAUUAGAGGGUGAAGUCUAUUCCCUUUAAAUUGAAUUUUUGUCUCCUCAACUAUUAUGACCAUGGCUUUAUUAUCCAAAUAAAAACUUAUGCAUACUCUAAAAAUAUUUUCUCUCAUCUUUUUUAAUACUAAUUAUUGAUUACUUAUAUCUUUGAAGAGCUACUUUAUAUUGACUAAAAGAAGGGUAAGGUUGUUUAGUAAGCAUAGCAAGUGAAAAAAAAAAUUCAUAUCUUUAUCCUAAGCUAUGAGCGAAUUGAUAAACUUUGUCUUGGUUUAAAAUUGGUUUUUGAUCGCAAAGAAAUUGUCACAAAUGUGAAGAUUUUAGCUAUACCAACUAAAGGUAAAACACCCAAAAGAUGGGGUGAAUUGAGCGUUGAUAUCUUUUUGCAAAUUUAAACAAGUUAAUUUAGAUGAAUGUAAGAAACAAAUGAACAACAAUAUAACAUAUAACAAUAAAUGAAACAAUUGCAUAGAGUAAAUAGAGGAGGGAUAGAGAGAAUGCAAAAACAAGAUUUUUAUUAUGGUUUGACGUAACCCAACCUACAUCCAUUUUCCUCAAACUCCAAUCGAGAUGAUUCGAAUUCCACUAAUUUAAAGCUUUUAAAGCCAAAGCCUUCAAACUUUUUGCUCUUGGAUUCCUAGUUCUAAUGGAUCUUCCAUAAGCCUCAAGAGAUGUCUCACUCUUGAACAAUCCUUCAAAUAAUACCCUAAACUUGAUAAUUCAUAAGUGAUACCUCGCAUUUGGAUUUCUUUCCUCGAGUGAUACCUUACACUUGAGCUCACUUCAUUAGGUUUAUAAGAAUUGAAUUUUCAAUACAUGCAAAUUCCUAGUUUAUAAAUUUUUACUCAAGGAUACAAAAAAACUAGAAUUGAUUAGGUGCACUAAGAAUGGAAUGUAAGUUUAAGCUCAAUGCACUCAAAAUAUGUUCCUAAGGCUCAAGAGAUGAUUGAAUAAUAGUUUGGAACUUUUCUCUCAUUUAUAAACAAAGUAUAGAACCUUAUAUGGGAGCUAAUGGUCAAAUUAGUCGUUAGAAAUAAGCUUCCCAGAAUCGAAUGUCCACUUGGUCAUCUAUUUACUAGCAGUUGAAGGCUAAAAGAUAGAAAUGGACAAUCAGUUGGUCGUUCACCUUGCCAUGUGGACAGUAGCUAAAAACCCUUCACUAGAGCAAGUGGCCGACUAGGUGGACAUCAACUUAAAGGUGUCCAAUGGACCAGGUUGCCCAUUUUGGCCCAUGGCCCAGCAGGCCAAAAGGCUAGGCCAGGCCGACACAACCCAACUACUGUAGCGGGUUGGGUUGGCAUGACCCAAAGGAGCAUGUAGUGCUGGGCCUAAGGAGAUGGCUAGUUGUGCCAUCAUAUCGGCCCAUUUUGAUUAAAAAAAAAAAACCAAAUUCAAAUAUGAUUUUUUUUUUACUAUUUUUAAAAACAAAAAAUUAACAUUUCUAUAGAUUUUACAAUUACAAACUUAAUAAAUAUAAAUAUAAAAAAUAAAAAUCAUAAUUAUUAGAGAUGUUUAAAGUAACAAAAAGAAAUUUCAUUUAAUAAUGAAAAAAAAUAAAGACAAAAUGACUUAAAAAAUUAAAUUAAAAAUUUUAACAAAGUCAGUGGCCCAUGAGUUGUGGGCUGCUGGCACAGCCCGUUAGCAUGACCUAUCGACACGACACAACAUGACAUGAUUGGCACGUCACAACAUGACACGAUUGGCCCAUGAGCUUAUGGGUCGUGUUGGGCCACCUAUUUGGUUUACAUAAGUUGGCUUGGCCCGAUACGAUUUUUAAGUGGGUGGUGUUAGCCUGACACGUUGACCCAUAAUGGCUCCCUAAACAUUGGGCCUUGGACACCUCUACAUCCACUUGGCCUCUAAUAGAGGAAGCCCAAAAACAAAGCAUCUAAAUGUUGACUUGUGCUCUUUUGACAUAAGAUUCUAGCUUUAUGUUGCCUACUUCAACUAGUUGUAACUUAUUUGUUUCACAUUCAAUUCACACUUUGUUUGAAGUGUUGGAUUCUUAACUUUGAGUUCAAAUUGACAUGUGGCUUGCUCCAAAAUCAAUUUGGUCAAUUUUUCAAAAUUGACCUCAAAAUGAAAAAAAUUGACCUCAGAAUGAAAGUAUAUGCAUCUACCAAGUUUUGAAAUCUAACUCUUGUCCAACUUAAAAUUUCAAACCUCUUUUCUCUUAUUUGUUGAACUUUAUAUCUCUUUCCAUGAUUUUCUCUUCUCAUUUCUUGUGCUAUGCAUUGCUCCAUUUGCAUUUAUUGCAUCUUUUUAUCCUCUUAAACUAUUUCUUUGUUCUUUUUGAGUUCCUCUCUUGUUCCAUAUAUUUUCUUUUUAAUGGCUCCAAAGAGAUCUUCUUGCCUUUCACACUUAAAUAUAAUUAUUAGAACCAAACUUUGUUUUGUUAUCAUCAAAAUAUGAGAUUAACCAAAUAUUGGUCUAACCAUAUGUAUCUUCAAAGUCUCUUAAAUAUUCUUCAAGAAAUCGUGAACUUUUUUAUUUUUAUUUUUAUUUUUUGAGCUAUCAACUUACAUUUUAUAUAUAUAUAUAUAUUCCCAACUGUAAUAGGGUGCAAUUGCUUUUUAAGAGAAGUUCACACCUCAUAUAUCAUGUUAACACAAAAAUCAUACUAGAAGCAUCUUCUUUCAUGGUUCUAAGAACUCAUGAAGUGAGAAAUCCGUCAUUAUCGAUCCAUAAUUGAUAUUACAAGAUAGGACUUUCAUUUUCCUCAUCAUUCUUAAUUUCUUCAAUAGGUUUUUCCCAACUUAAGAAAUGGCAAAGAACAGUGACACCAUGAAUUAAGAGGAUGAUUUGAUUUUCUCAUAAUAGGAAAUUUCUGGUUCUUGACUUGAAUAAAAUCAAACUAGGAUAAGACUUUUGCUUCCCUCCUUAUCCCUAAUUUUUUUAGCAUGUUUACUUAAGACAUGAUGAAGAAUACCAACAACACAAACUAAGGGGAUGAAUUGAUUUCCCCAUAGUAGAAAAUUUGUGUUGUUUAGCUUGAUUGAGUCAAACUAGAAUAUUGAUGGGAGGCUUGGAUAUUAAGAUCAAUUUUUUUUUUCUUUUCAAAAAGGAAAACAUGAUUUUUGAGCUAGAGGUAAAGCCUUUUUAUGACAUUUGACCUCUUUUGGAGAAGGCUUGAAUUCGACUUUCCUCUCCUAACUCUAAUAAUAUGAAGAAUUUAAUAAUUUGGCAAUAAAAUCAGUAAGUUUUAUUAAUUCUUUUCAAAAAUAUAUACAAGAAUGUAUUGUCAAUUACACAAAGAAAGAAAUAAUAAAUAUUUUAAAAUUAAGAAAAAUAAAUGUCAUUUCAUAAAUUAAAAGAAUAAAGCAUUAUUAAUAUUUGAUCGCUCUUGAUUUAAAAAAAUAUUAACUAGAGUGGAUUCUUAUCAUUAUGCACUUGAUUCUAUGUGCCUUGUUCAUGAUUUUGUGUAUCUCCUUCAUUGUUUCCAUUCUAUGUCAUGUCAUUUUGCGUCCUUUUCUAUUUUUUUUUAAUAAAAAAUAGACAAAAAAAAAUGGAUAAGAUAUAAUAAGAACAAAAUAUUUGAAAAAUUAUGACAAUUUUUUUCUUUUUCAUUCCAAAAAUGUUUAAAAUGAGUUUUAUUUCAUUUUAAGGGACUAAUUAUUGUUAUUUUGAGAUAAUGAUUAAAGUACCUUUAUUUUACCAUUUUUAUAAAAAUAAUAAUAAUAAUAAGUAACUUAUCUUAAUCUAUAUCGAUUCAAUCUCAAUAAUUAUUAAAAUAAUAAAAGAUAAUCCAAUUUUUUUUUUAAUUGUAAUGAAAAGGAUAAAAAAAUUAAUUAAAUUAUUUCAAAUUUUUAUUCUUUGAAAUUCUUAAUUCUUUACUUAAAAAUAUCCAUAAUGUUGUAAAAGAUUGAAAUUAUAUUUUAUUUCUCUUUCAUUGUAAUUUUUAUAUUUCCCUUCCCUUAAAGUUAUUGUGUUAAAAAUUGUUUCAAUAUAAUAAUGCUUCAAUUUUUUUUUUCUUUUCAUUAUGUAUAUCUAUAACUAAAGAUGUGAUACAAAUAUUCACCAUUUUGUGGACCCGUAUUUUUCAUGUGCAUUCCUACUCGACAACAAAACUCAUUUUUUUGGUUGAAAAACUAUAUUUUUUUUUUAUAAAAAUUGGAGUCACUACUUCUUUUUAUUUAUUUUUAAAAGAGAAAAUAAAAUAUAAAAGAAAAACCUAAAAAAAUGACUCCUUAAGUUUUGAAAAAACAAGUCUUUGAAAAACCAGAGUUUAGAUCUAGGAAUUAGCUUACCUAUUAGGAAGGUACCAUAAAGGUAACACCCCUCUAAGCCCUAAAACAAAGGUUUUUACUUACUAAGUUGAGGAAAACAUGAAAAUUAAUUGAUGUAUCGAGGAUAACAAGGAAGGCCAAAGCUGAUUAUCUAACAAUAUGUUAAACAAGUCAAACAAUCAUUUUAAGAUACAAGCAUACAUGAAAUAUAGUGUGUGUACCUGGACUACCAUUCGAAGCACUAUAAUAAAACAUCAAGGUUAGUUCAAAUAACAUACCACACAACAUGCAUUUCCUCUUAGUCAAAGGAUCAAGCAACAAUCAAAGCAACCAAUAACAAUAUUAAACACGAAGAUGUUCACACAUGAAACAUGCAUAUUUAUAAAAUUAAGAAACAAAAGGUGAGAAGCAUACCUGAAUAACAUGAAUUAUUUAGAAUGUGCUUCCAUAAGAUUAAGAAAUAAUAUGACAAUUCAUGAAUUAGUAAUUUACUAAACAAAGGAAUCAAUUCAAAUAAAGCCUAUCCCAAGUAAUAGAACAUUUUGUCUAACACGAUAAUCAUCUUUGGAGGUAGUGAAUGGAUUAUUUCAUCUUUAAUUUCAUCCACAAGAUAAGUUGGAUCACCAUCAUUCUUUUUUAACUCCCAUUUUUGCUUUUAAGUUUGCUUUUCCAUUCUUUAGAGUCAAUAACUAGUGCAACACUAGCUAUCACAACAAAAGUUGAGUAUUUUACAAGAAAGUGGAGUUACAAACCAAAAGCAGUUCCUUAACAAAUGCAUUUCGAUCAAUCUGAUCAUCAACUAAUGUUGCCUUUAGUUGUCCAGGUUUAUUGUUACAACAACAAAGGUGUUCCUUAUAUGCUUUCUAGGUAGGCAUGACAACCAAGUGGGUUGGAGACGUUGGCCCCAUUCCUAACCUCAUCUUGUUUAUUCAAAAUAUUUCUCAUCCUCAUUCCAUUUUAAAAAUUAAACGAGGCGGGACAGAAUGAGGCGAACAUGUGAAUUUUCCAUACCUGCCUCGUCUCGCGCUGUUUAUUAUUAUUAUUUUUUAAUUUUUUUUUUGAAUUACAUUAAAGUAAAUACAUUUUAUAAAUAGUUAAAAUAGUAUAAUUUUUUUAUAACUUAUUUUAUUGAAAAAUAUUUAUUAUUAUUAUUAUUAUCAUUACUAUCAUAUAUAUAAAAUAGAGAAAUAAAAAUUAAAUUAAAUUAAAUUUUAAAAUGAAUUUUAUAUAUAAUCGAGGUGAUGUGAGACAAGGCAAUGCCUAAACCUACCCUGAACUCGUUUUAUGUUUUAAAAAAAAAAAUCUCAAACUCGCCCCAAAUUUGUUUAUUUAAAUUUGAAACCCAUCCCAUUAGGGGUGGAGUGAGGUAGGUACUCGAAAAAACUCAUCCCGUCACCAUCGUUACUUCCAGCUAUUGAAUGUUGAUCUAACGACAUUUUGCAUUCCAAUUAUAUACCCAUGUUAGCAUUAUGGCAACAUAGAGUAGGAUAACAAUCACAAGAAGAAAAAAAAAAGUUGUGUCAAUACAUGUUAGUCUCAUCCCAAUAUAGAGAAGGAUAACAAUAAAAAAAAAAAGAAAAAAAAAAAAAGGAAGUUAUUCUUAGCGUAGAUUAAUUUCCUUUACCUAAAAGAUAAUAUACGUCAUUAUUAUCAGGAAAUAUUAAAUAAUAAAAUUAGUGAAAAGCUAUUAUGACUUAUGAGAAUAUAAAAGCUUGAUAGAAAAUUAUAAGUUAAUGUAAAAUUAAUUGAUUGUAAGUUAAUGUAAAUUUAUGUAGCAUAGCUACUUCAACAUAUAAUUCAUAAAUCAUGGUAACCAUUUUCAAAUUUUCCAAGGUUUAUUAUGUUAUAAAUAUGUGGAAACUUGUUUCUCCCUUUUCAAACCCAAUACCCAUCUUUGAGCAAGAAAACUUGGUAGUGACAAGCAGUGAGUCUUGACAUCCAACAACUGUGGACAAUUACCACCACCAAUGAGUUUUGACAUCCAGUGAUAAUUGGAGGCCACCAAUAGUGGCUAUAUCUUCUCACAAAGGUAACGAGUUUUUAUAGAUUUCUUUGAUGCUAGUUGGUCUCAACGUUUGCUCUUCGUGAUUUCUUGCAAAUAAAGUGAUAUAUAUUUUCACAAAAAUUCUAAAUCCUCCAUUUGGUGCAAAAGUGCAUAGAGGAUGCCAUCAAAUGUGUGUGUAUACAUCACAUAUAUAGCCCUACAAAGAGAUGAGCUUGUCCAAUGUCAUAAGUAGAUCAUAGAGGUGUUGGUAUGGGGAACUAAGCCUUAUUAAUGUUUUUAGCACUAUUUUUAAAAUUGCAAAGAGUAAAAAUGAUAAUGGCUCUUUAAUUAAUUAUUUUAGUAGAUAUUUUUUGGAUUCUUUUUAAGAUCUAUAGAUGGGUAGUGUGGGAAGGAGCAAUAGAUAACAACAUUUAAUGGAGAAAGUUUUAGAUUUCUAAUUAAGAGAGUGUUCGCUUUGUUGUCCCUAUCAGCUAUAUGUGUGACACGGAAAUGCUCUUUAUUAAUGUAAUAGUUUGGUUAGAGCUCAAGUAAGUAUUAAAUUUGAAUUUAGGACAAAGCAAUAAGGUGAUUAAUAUUUUAGUUGUAAUUGAGCUAUAAAGUCAUGUAAAAGAUGCUUGACAACAACCAAGCACUACAAGAAAACAAUGAAAUUAUCACAAGGCUUUAGUAGGGGCCAAAAAACACCUUAACUAAAGAGAAUUUACUAUUGCAAUCAUAGUUUGAUCACAUAUGAAGGUCUUGGUGGAAUGCAGGAAAGUUACCCGCUAAGGUUUACAGCUAGAUGGAGAUAUUAUUUUUAUGGUCCUAUAGUUGCAAUCUUAAAGUCCUGCUAUUAUACAGUAGUUUUGGACAAAUGCACUGUAGAUAUAGGCCCAUUAUAGUCACCCAACCCAAGCUUGCUACCAAAAAGGUUCAUGUAAAAGUAAGCCCUAAACCAUCUUUAAAUAACUCAAUAGCCAAACCCUCGUUCAAGCCAAACCCUCAUCUCUACUUCUCUUUAACUCCGGUUCUUCAUCAUUGAUCAUCAUCGUUUAGGCCAUGGAGCUCAUUUGAUGAAUCCAAUUGAAUUCAAAACUCUGCUUUUUGAUUGAUUUCGCAGAUUUUAUUCUUUGAAAAUCUUUUAUAAAAGGCUCUUAGAAGUAAUUUAGUUGAUUUUUUACUCAAUUUUUAAUGUGGUUUAUGAAUGAUUUUUUUUUAUUUAUUGUUUCCAUGCUUUAUCUGGUUAUUGAGAAAGUGUAGCAAAGGAAAAAAGAAAAGAAAGAAAAAUAAAACUUGAAAUCUUAAGACUUUGGUUACACCUUAGACUAGUGGAAGAUUCCAAGUUUUUGUUUACUUUUCAUGUGUUAUUGGGAAUUCAAAACACCCGAAGAAAAAAAGUUUUGAUUCCCUUGUUUUAGAAGAUAUAAUGCUUCUAUAUUUCAAAGAUGAAUUUGGUUUGUUGUUGACAUGAUAUUUUUGUUCCCAAAUUCAAAAUUAUCUUAUUUUUUUCUUAUGUCCUUAUGGAAUAUGUUUGAAUUAGUCAUUCUUUUUUUUAGUUCCCCUAUUUUUGAAGGUUUAGACAUUUGGCUUCACUUUUCAAUGUGUCAAUCAAUUAUCUAUUUUUUCACUUUGAUUAUGUUUGGUUGGUAAGAUUUGAUUUGAGGGGGUGGGGGGAUAGGAUUUAAAAUUCCAAUCCCAUGUUUAGAUUAUGACCGAAUAGGAAAUAAAGAGGGAUUACUAACCUGAAGUUAAUUUUUAAUCCUUUCUUUGAGGGAUUUAAAAAUCUCAUGUGUUAACAUGGGAUAUUCUUAUACAAGGAUUUAAAAAUCUCAUCUCAUUUCCUCUUAACAAACUAAACUCGAUACAAGCCAAGAUUUGCCAUGGAUGAGCUUUAAGCAAAUCAGAUGAUUUUUGAAAGAGGGUUAUGUUAGGACAUUAUAUUUUGUUUUUGUUGUUGGUAAUUUUAUUCCUUUUCCUUGUGGCAUAGGAUCUUUUUAGACAAUGACUUAUUCUUCAUUGAAAUUUUGAGGUUAUCGUUUAGUCAAUCAGACUAUUACAAAUAAGUUUGAUAAGGUUUGAGUAGAGACAAAUUAGUUUUUUUUUUCCUAAUAAGGUAGGGUUGGGUUAGAAGUUUUAAAAUUAAUCUAGAAUGUCUUAAUUAAUUUAGAAAGAAUUUUAAAUUGAGAAUUUAAAAAGAAAAAUCUUUUCAAAUAAUAAAAAUAAUUUGAAAAGGCAUUUUAAAUUGAGAAUUUAAAAAAAUGGAAUAUUUCCAAAUCUUUAAAGGAGUUUGGAAAAGAGAUUUGAAAAAGAAUUUAAAUUAAGAAUUUUAAAGAAGAAAAAAUUUUCAAAUGUUUUUGAAUUUAAAAUACGAAAUAUUUUCAAAUCUUUUUAAAAUUCUUAAGUUUCUAAAAUUGUUUUUAGUAAAAUAUGAUUUCUAAAUUGAUUCUAAGUCUACUAGGUUUUCUCUUAUAUAUGCCUUACCUAAAUGUUUUCCAAGGAUGGAUGCUUUGAGAGAAUAAACUAUAACUUACCCUAUCAUUCCCAAACUUUCUUGAGAAUUCAUCGAUUAUAUUCUAUGUUGUUAGAAAGACCUGCAUCCAUUCAAAGGUUAAGGCAAAUCCACUACAACAUUGGAUGUGCGAUGUUAUGGACAUGGAUCAUGAUAUAAGUAUUGAAGAGUAAGUCUUUAGGAUAGGCAACUAGAUAAAUUUAUUUAUCUUGUUUUCAUAUAGUGGAUUAUCAUUUUAGAGGUCUUAGACCUCAUAAUUUUUUAUCUCCACAAUUAGUAUGAGGGUUUUCUAUGUAAAAUUGUUUGUCUCUUUUGUGAUUGUGUUUGAAUUGGAUAUUCUUAUUAUCAAUCAUAAUUUAAUUACUUUCAAUUGGCCUAGAUUCCUCUCAUAGGUUAUUUUGGGUUAAUAAAUUCAACUUUUGUUUUAAAUUUUUAAUUUCUACCCAUUCAACCCCUUUUAGGGGUUACCUAAUUGAGACAAAAGUUUUUCAAUUGGUAUCAAAGCAUGCUUUUAAUAAAAAUCAAUUUUUUCCUUGAUCCUGCAAGUCUAGUUUGAAACAACCAAAAGUGGGAUGUUCCAUUAAUAGUCCUUUAUUUUUUAAUGGGGAUAACUAUUCCCACUAGAUGGUUGGAUAAAAUGUUUCCUAAAAAUACAAGGAGAAAAGGGUUUGGAAUGUAGUGGAAUUUGGAUGGGGACCCCCAUUAAAAUUAAAUGUUAUUGGAAGAUUAACUAGUGAAUUAAAGCCUAAAUAAGAGUAGGAUAAAUUUGUAGAGGCUAAUGCUUGGGCUCUCUACAACAUAUUUAAUGGAGUUAGUCCCAACAAGUUUUGUAGGAUUGCCAUAUGUAAAUGUGCUAAAGAAGCUUAGGACAUACUUGAGAUAGCUUAUGAAUGUACUUCAACGAUGAAAUUGUCUAAGAUUCAAAUGUUAACCUCCAAAUUUGAGAGCAUAAGGAUGUAAGAGGAUCAUAUCUUCUAUGUAUUCUAUUCUAAGCUUAGUGAUAUUGUAAAUUUUUUUUCUUUUAACUUAGGAGAGAGGACCCCUGAGUCUAUAAUUGUUAGAAAGAUUUCAAGACCCUUUCUUGAAAGGUUUAGACCUAAGGUCACAACCAUGGAGCAGAGCAAGGAUGUCGAUUCUAUGAGAUUCGAUGAACUUGUUAGCUCUUGACAAACCUAUGAGAUGACACUUCCAUAUUCUCAAAAGCCUAAAGAAUUAGCUUUUAAGGCUUCUAAGAAUGAAAAAAAAAACCAAAAAUUUUGAAAAUGCAAAUAGAGAUGAUUUUUUCAUAUAUCUAAACAUGUUAAUGAGGCCUUAAGAUUUUAAAAAAGGUCUAAUAGAAAACAAGACUCAAGAAAGGGAAAAAGAUUUGGUAAAUCCUCUAAAGAAAAUGACAGGAUAUUUUAAAGGGAAAGAGGUUGAGUGCUUUAAUUGUGGAUGUUUGGGACAUGUUUUUACUAAUUGUUCAAGUCCCGAGGAUAUUAAAAAAUAGAUGCAGGUUACUUAGAGGGACGUUAACUCUAAUAAGGGUGACUCCAUGACUUCUAAGGAUCAAAUAUAUGAAUAGAAUGAUUUUUUAGCUUUGUUGCAUCUAUUGAAUCUAUGCAUGAGACUGAUAGUGAGCAUGUUUACUGAUACAUAGAAUAAUAGCUUUCUUAAGAAUAUUGUUGUUGAAUAUCAAUGCUUGAUUGAGAAAUUCUUGAAAGUUAAUGAUGUUAUCGACUCACAAAAAUAUGAGAUUAAUUUACUUUGUGAAGAAAAGAUUAAUUACAUUGAGAAAUUUCAGUUUCUUAAGUUAUAGUAUCAAUCUCCUUGAGAGAUGAUAUUUUAACUCGAGAGAUUGAAUGUCAAAAUUCAUCUUUAUCUUCCAAUGAGGCCUUUCACCCUAGGAUUGAAGUGUUAAAUGAUAUUCUUGAUAAAUGUAAUUCCCAUGGAAAGAAGAGAGGUUUGGGCUAUAUUAAGAAAAUUGAGACUCCCACUAGUGGAGACACAAUCUUUGUUAAGGGUAAGAAGGAAACUCCUAACCAAGUAGCCUUUCCUAGCACUCCCUUACUAUGCACCUAUCGUAAAAAGUAUGGACACACUUAGAGUAGAUGUCAUAGUAGACUUGAUGAGAGGUAUGAGUCUCAAUUAAAUAGGCUAAUGGGUUGUUAAAAGGACCUACAUCCUCUUAAAGGUUAAGGCAAAUUAGCUAGAGCAUUAAAGGUGUUGUGUCACAUAUAUGGAUCAUGAUAUAAGUACUGGAUAAUAAGUUUUUAAGAUAAGCAACUUGAUAAAUUUGUAUAUCUUGAUCACUUAUAGUGGAUUAUUAUAUUAAAGAUCUUAAAUCGUAUGGUUUUUUUAAUCUCCAUAAUUAGUGUGAGGGUUUUCCAUGUAAAAUUGUUUAUUUCUUGUGUGAUUGUGUUUCAAUUGAAUAUUCUUAUUAUCAUACAUGAUUCAAUUACUUUAAUUUGACUUAUACCCCUCUCAUAAAUUAUUUUAUGUUAGAAAUUCAACUUUUGUUUUAAAUUUUUUAAUUUCCAUCCAUUCACCCCUCUCUUGGUGUUACCCCAUUGAGACAAGGAUUUUUUAAGUUGCUUGUCUCUAACCACCAAUGAAGCUUUGGAUGGUUGAAGGUAAGUGUUUGGUUUUCGAGAAUCUUUUAUUAAGCCUUUUAGGGUUGGUUUCUUUUUUUUUUCUUUCUUGGAUUUCACCAUUUUUCAUUUGAUGUACAUUUGGAGAUUUUCAAGUGGUGCUCUGUUUGAGAAUUGGUGUUCUCUGUUUGAGAUUUUCAGGUGGGUCGGCUUGAUUUUUGGUGAUUUGAAGUGUGAAAGGAAAACUGCUCAAGCUUGUACUCUAUAAAUUAAAUCCAUGGCAUUUUUUUUUUCUUUUCGAUUUUACUUUUCUCAUCUUCUUAACUAUAUUCUGGAUUGGUUUGGUACAUACAUAUAUGGAUGAGAAUUGACGUGAAAGGGAUAAAUUAAAAGUUUAAUAAAAAUAAAUUUUAAUUUUAUUAUAAUGAUUUUUUUUUUUUUGAUUUUUAAUAUGUAAUAUAAAUAAAUGGGAAAUUAAAUUGAUUGUUUAUUUAUAUUUAAUAUUCUAACAUUCUAAACAUACCGUCUAAGUUUGUCACUUUUCUUGCCCCAAAAAGAGCACCCAUUCUUCUUAUAAUAAUGUUGGGCAAUUUAAUAACCACUUUGCUAAAUCCCCUACUAGGACAGUGAAUUAGUAAAGGUAAAACAAUCAUCAUUUAAAAUUUGAUUGUCCUAAAUAUGGGGAGAGACGCAUCAAUAUAAAACAAAAUCGGGAUUUACUAUUUUAUUCAAACAUUUGAUAGGCAAACUAAUUAUUCCAAUAACAAAAAUCAAUUUGAUUUAAUUAGAACUUUUGAAGAUGCAUAUUUAAGACUAUUUUUCAUUCUCGAAAGUUUGAGAGAAAAUGUAAAAAAUAAAAAAUAAAAUUAGAUUUUAAAUUAAUAAAUUAUAUUUCUAUCUCACUUCAAAUUUAUAGAUAAUUUAUUAUGCAUAGAUUUUUUUUAUUUAUUUUAAUUAUAUUUGGCUUUCCAAUAGUAAAAUUAAAUAUGUAAAAAUUGGUAACUUUUUUUGCAUUUACAUAAAUGCUAUGCAGAGGCACAGGUUAGUAAUUGCUCACAUCUAGCCCCCAAAUGGGAGCCAUACCCUUACCAGAAAAACUAUUGGAAAUUCGAAUCUUCAUACAAGAUGGGGAGAUAUAAAGGUAGAGUGAAGCCCUCUUUUGUCCAUUCAAGUCUUACGAUACUCAUACCCGACAAAGCAAAAAAAUCAUCCUUUUAACUUUAUGAGUGGGUCCAAUUACUUUAAUCUUUAUUAAAAAGCAGUGGUAACAUAAUGGAAUGACACUCGCAUAAAGGCCAGCUGACGUUAAUAGCCCCAUCAUAGGCUAUUUAUGCUUGAUUAUAUAUCUCUUCAUGACAAGAUCGUUCAGAUAAUAUUAUUGCAUCAUGCCUAACUGGACUAUAAAUUGAAUCUGAUUAUAGACUUUCUUAAAUUCUUUAUCCUAUUGUGACUUAGGCUUUAUCCAUGGCUGCAUCAUCCCUAAAUAGACUUACAAGACUCUCCUGGCCCCUCAACAACCACAUCAUUUUAGUACCCUGUUACUGCUAUAUUAAAGUUCGAUGUGCUUCCUUGUGGUGAAGAAGGGCCUGCAACUAGCAAGAAUAAAGUAGAAGAGAAUGGGAUAAAUGAAAAAGAAAGUAGGGACAUUAAAAGCUAAGGGACGGGGAAGGGCGUAGCGAAAGAGCAACUUUUUGUGGGUUUGGCCCUCUCGUGAUUGGCUUUUCUCUUACUCGUGAUGAGAUUAUUUUAAAGUGUAUUUGGAAUAGUAGUAAUUUUAGGAAGUGUUUUUAAUUUUUUUAUCUUUAAAAGAUAAAAAUUUUUAAGUAUUAAAAAAACUAAAAACGUUUUUUUAAAUCAUUAUCAAACACACUUUUAUUUCACUAUUGAUACUAGGAUACUAUUUUCACACCUCGGCUAAAACCCAAAUGAAAUAAGUUUAUAAAUGGGAUACUUUUUCAAAAUAACCCUUUGUCUUUUGUUUUUGUUUUGGUUUUUUUUUUCAAGAGAUGAGAAAAAUGACCUUUUUUAUAGACAAAAAUACCAUCAUUAUAUUUAAUCUCAUAUCGAACCUUUCCAAAAAACAAUAUAAGAAAUAGUUUUGUCCAUUAUGAGAUUAUAUUUAUGAAUUCAAAACAAUGGAAGCUACUUUUAUAAAAUAAAGAUUAUUUUGACUUCUUUAGUCCAAGUAUUUCUUUAUGAAUACUUACUGAGGUUGGUAGAAGACUAUGAAUGAAAGAAAUAAUUAAUUUUUUGUCCGUACACAAAUCACCGGAGAUCACCAAUAAGGAGCUAAAACUGUUGAAGAGAGCCAAACCUUUGCUAGCUAGAAAAGCAUGAACAUGAAAUUAGAAUCUUGGCAUAUUAUAUUCUCAAGUGUCAUGGUGAGGUCUUUCCACAUCUAAAAAGCAUAGAAUAUAUCUAAUAAUGUAUCCUUUUAACUUUGGGGUGCUUUUUUAGCAUGAGCUAC